AAGAAACAUGUGUCUUCAAGUUUACUUUAACGACAAUGUCAUAACCAAAUAAAUGGAAGAGUUUUGGACAAUUCGUUUGCGUAUGAACCCCGAAAAAAAAAAAAACAUAAACUACCAAAAGGUUUUAACUUGAAAUCAUUAGAAAUUAUUUUUUUUCUUUUUAACAAACAAACUUGAAAUCAAUUCUUUGUAGAUUGAGAAUUGAUGAGAUAAUGGUGGGCCAGAACAUUGUAGAAGUCAUGGUGGGCCAACGUCAACGCAAAUGAACUAACAUCUUAUUUUGACAAUUUGGACCAUGGCCGAAGGGUUGGCUCCACAGCCUCUACUAUUAUUAAUUGGACAUGCCCGAUAUUUUCUAAAUGUUGAAUGGUAUUUCUGUAAAUUCAGUUUACAUUUCAUCAAACCUCUCCCGACUCUCCCUGUCCACUCUAACUCCAUUUCUCGGUCCAGAAGCAGAGAGCGACUGAACCAAAGCAUCGUCCGUACAGUUUACAGUUCUUAAUUUAUCAAAAAAUGGACUGGGGUUCGAAUGGUGAAGAACCCACUUCCUGGGAAGAGCUUUACAGUAUUAAUUUGAUACCAUCAGAGUUGUUUCUCAAGUUCCGGAAAGAAGUGCAAGGUUUAAGGGUCGGCCUCAAUUUGGAGGUAUAUGCAUAUAUUAUAUUUUCUUCACGGUUUUUAACGGUUAUAUUAUGUGCCCAGUUCAAAUGGUUUGAAAUUUUCGAUAAGCCAAUGCUCAAUUCUCUGUUUGCUAUGUUUAAGGAGUAUUUACUUUGCUGGGUUACUCUCCAUGCUGGCCACCAGAUGUCCUGUUUUUGUGAAGACUGGUGUUUGAAUAAAGUUUGGUUUGGAGAAAGUUUUAUUUUUUAUGAUGUGUAUGUUUUGAAUUUGCAAACUUUAAACAACCCAUGAGAAUGAUGCUAUUCAACAGGGGAGCAGACACAGGGUUAAGUGGAAGACAAUUGUGGUGGUGUAGGAUAGUAAAACUGUGUAAACACAUGCUACCUUUCUGGUGCCUUAUAUACAAUUCUGGUGUUUGAUGCAUAUGUUGGGAUACACAUCCCGGGUUAAUCAUAUAUGUUUAAAGGAGGGUGCUUUACACAUUUUGAAGUGUCAUGAUAUGACAAAAGAAAAAUAUUAUAUCUAGAUGGUAUGAUUGUGUCUUUUUGUUGCUUGUGGAUUGGUUUUUGUGUCCUAGUUUGCAGGUUCUUCUUUUCUUUUCUUCUCUUUUUCUCCUGAUGUUUAAAUACUGGAUUUCUAUGUGCUUCAUAACGAGUAACUGCAACAUACUUUAUAAAAUCUUAAAACUUUCAUUUACCAAUAAAAAUGUCCUGCAGUUAUUGUGUAUACAUUUUUUUUAAAAAAAAUAUAAGCUGCUAUGCAUAGAAUCUUAGCUAGAAAUAUUAACUCAUAUUGAGUGCUUCUGAAAACUGAUUCAUUGAGGUCAUUAUUUUGGUUCAGUUCUAUAAUGCUCCAUGCAAUGAGUUUCAAGGAAAGCUUGUCUUGAAGCCCUUAGCUCCUGAACGGAUGUGGAAGUUCAUCUAUGAGCCUAUCCAUCAGGAUGUUCGUAUUCUUUCAAAAAAGAUUCCUCUAACUGGAUAUUUGAAUCUCCAGGUUUGAUGCUUUCAAUCUGAUCCUUUAUUCAACGCCCCACCCAACUUUCCUACACCACCAAAGCAUAUUAUGAAUCCUUUGCACCAUCUCAAGCACACUUGGCUUAGCAUAUACCAACCUUACUAGUAUCAUAAUAAUCACACUGCAAAAUGUUGGAAAAAGCAGGUUGGAGUAGGCCAUAAUUUUCAAAUGAAUGCUACUGGAUGGAAAUGGAAACUUACUACAUGUUUUGGUGGAGAUGGUAUAUCUCGGAUCCGGAAUAAGACAUCUCUCGGUGUGUGCCCUGGUGUGGAUAUGCGCUUUGGGUGGAGGGCUGAUUAUGUACUUCCAGAAGUUACUGGGCAAGUACCUUAGUCUUGUAUGCAUUUAAGAAUGUAGAGAUUUUGCAGCCUUACAAUAGUCAAAUUCAAAGUACUCACUACAAGAGAGAGUCAGUAUAUCAAAUCAAAGUACUCACUACAUUAAUGUAGUGAGCUUUCAAUAUAUCAGUAUUUCUAUUUUCCUUUUCUGUGAAGGUUUUACUGUUUUUUAUUAGUUAAUAUAUAACUUCUUGCUUUUUAAACUACAUGCAGUUUGGUUCUUCUUUCUGUUUUAACUAUUUCUUUGAUUGAUUAAUUAUGGUUCAUGGUUGAAACCUUGAAUUAAUUAGGGCUCUGGGCACUGGUGAACCAUGGUUCAACAUGAACUCAGGAAAGUUGCAAGCAUCAUUAGAUAGAGUUGAGACCAUUCUAACCUUUACUGACAUCUACAAUUUCUACAAGCCUAAAGACCAGGUAUGACUUGUUGAGUUUAAUCACUUAAUAGAUGAUAGCCAAAAAAUUUCUGUAUGUAGGAGAUUUUCCCAAUUUAUUUCUUCUAGUGAGUCAUGCAUCCAUAAUAUUUGUAUGAAACACUUAUGAGAGGUUUAUCAACUAAAACUCUUGAUCCAAUAUCUGGAUGAAAGCUGUAGCUUUCAAGUAUUUUGGUCACUCAAACUUUUAUUCUUCAACUCAAACAUGAAAAUUCACUUUUGAAAGUGUACUGAUUUCCUAGCUCUUAUUGUGAUUCUGUUUGUUUUUAUUUGAUUGGUUGACACCCAUGUACACCAUGGACAUCCUAGGCUGUGUAGAACAUGCUAAUCCGAAUGAAUUCUCUUUGUUUUGCUAUGCCUUUUUCAAAUCAAUUAUUACUUGAUUCCAUGCGUGUUGAAUUUGUGAACUUGCCUUUGUGUAGUUUAGAUAUCAGAAUCUCUAAUGGUACAUUUGCAAUAUACAACUGAUGGGUAUGGAUAAGAUGGGUUUGGUAUUAAUCUGUUACAAAGUAGCUCCACAGUUUGAUUUUACAACGCAUUUUUACUUUGCCAAAAAAAUUUUCAGCAGGAUCAGCAGAGACCUGAAACUGAUGUCACAGAUGUAACUACUUAUUCAAGCGGUUAGCCUUCCUCAAUAUGGAGGGACUUUCAUGCAAUGGGCUUGUUUAUCACGCAAUGCCAUCAAUAGGGGAGAGGGGAUCGUAUGUCCAUGGAUCAGGAUGCUGCAGAUUUACACAAGUACUUGUACAUGCUGUUAUUUCCUUGAGCUGAGUGUAGUUGCACACCAAAUGAUGGUUUAUCUACUUUUGUUCUUUUGCUUCAUGUAAAUGAUAUUUAACUUUCAAUCUGUUAUAUGUUCACCUGGUCCUCUAUCUUCUUCCUGGGUGAUACCAAUGCUUUUAUAUAGUCCUUGACAUGAGUUGAAAUUCUCUUCUUGGCCCUAAUUAGAUGCCACCAGUCAUGUAUUUUGAAAAAGAGUGCUGUUGUAACCCUUCAUCAAAGUAUUCAUUUCACUUUGAAAUAUUAGUGGCUGAGUUAAUUGAUAUGAUUUUUUCAAUUAAAAAAAAAAAGAGGUGAUAUUUUUUUCUUUUUGGGUUGAGAGAAGCUGGUGCGUGGGAUUAGUAUUUGAUUGGGUUCUGAUUUGUUUUGAUAGAUCAAUCAAACGGCUCAGGUGGAUUAGUUUCUGUUCAUUACUGUAGGCCUUAGAAUUUGAAACCCUGAGGAGGGAAUAUAACGUCAGUCGAGGACGACAAUGGGCCAUCAUUCCAAUCCAAACCUAGCCGUUGUAGACUCAACGGCCAAAUGCCAUUGCCACCUACUAUAAAAAUUCAAAAUCUUCUUUCCCACCUCCACCUCCAAAUCAAAACCCAUUUGAUUCUCUGAAGCAAUUCAAACCUGAAACCCAGAAAUGGCUGCCUCGAAAUCCAAUCUUAGGAGCUCUUGUUCCUUCCCAAAUCUUCUCCUCUCAUGUUUGAAUUUCACUCUCUUCAUACUCUCUGUCACUUCUCUAGUUCCUACUAUCCUCCUCAGGAUGCCCCCAACGUCAAUGGGCAUGGCAUUCCUGAUGAUUUCUGGCAUCUCAAUUCUCUCCUCCUUUGUAGGCUUCUACUCUCAGCUCACCCACCUCUGCUUCAUAACCCAUGUUUCACUUCUCCUUGCCUCACUGAUCGGACAAUUGCUUGGCAUAUUGGCCUUGUUUACCAAAGAGCGUUCUACCAUUUCAAUGCUCAAGUCGCCCCGGGACCUGAAAGAGGCCAAGCUUUUGGUGAGGUUGGAAUGUGGGGUUCUGAUGGCAAUGUUGAUGAUGCAGAUGGUAGUACUGGUGUUGAGCUGUGUGGUGCAGAGCUGCUGGGUGAGAGAGUAUGAGGGGUUGGAAGCUGAGAGAGAGGCCAUGACGAAGAAGAGGAGCCGGCGAAUCGCUAAAGUUCAAGAAGAAUCCAUUGAAAAUGCUGCAAAGAUAGCUGAGGUCAAGGCCAAGGAUUUGGAUGAGAAGAUGAAGAACAAGUAUGGACAGUGGGUGAAGACUGGUGAGUUUGAAGGCUAGGGGGCAGUUUCUUAGUUGGAGUGUGUGUUGUUUGUGUUCUUUUCUUUUUUGGGGGGGUUGUUCACUGUGGUUGACGCCAUUGGGGGGCAUGUGAUGUAAAGCUUAUGACUUGUGAGUGUUAUUUUAUGUAUUUUGAAGUGUUCAACAUUUGUUUACAGAGGAAAUUAAACACCUCCAUCCCCAUCACUCAGAACUCCAUGUGAUUAAAGUCCACGUUUUCCUUAGGUUUUUUUUUUUUUCCGCCAGUCAACUUCUCUCCUAAAUGAGAGAAAAAAGUUUUCUGUAAUUUGCCAUUUAAAGGAGAGAAAAAGGGUAAAUGUGAAAAGAAAAAUAAAAGGAAGCCUUUUCAGUCAAGUAAAAAUGACUCGGAUUGAAUCUUAAACCAUGAAAGGAGAAUUCUUCAAUUUAUGAUUUUAUGAUUCGAUUGAAAGUCAAGUAUAUAAUUCAUUUCCCAUGAAGGAAAAUGUAAAAAGAGAACUAGUAUUCUUACUUUGGAGCACAAUUCAUUUUCUUUUCUUUCGAUGUCUAAUUCAAUCACCUACUAAUACUAAUCCAUUUUUCUAGUUUUCGAUGUAAAAUAUGUAUUGACUGGAUUUCAACUGUUUUUUCAGUAAAGAAGAAAAUUCUAACGAAUCAUUCUUUCAUCGAAUAUAAGGUCUUAAAAGAAAUUUUCAAACACAUACAAUCAUUUAAAAAUCACACAAAUAGAUAUAACCUCGUAAAAUUAUUAGAUCGCCUCAUUACACUUUACACUAAGCUCACGUUUAUAGCACACUCUUCUACAACUUUUUCUUUAACUCUUCACAAGAUUGAUUUCAUGGAUAUCCAAGAAAAAAAAAAUUAGUAAAGAAAAGAGCUAGGUCUUAUGACUUCUGUAAAUAAGGAUUUUAUAACAUAAACCCAACAAAAACAAAAGGUAAAUAGCAAUGUUACAAAAGAAAAAGGAAAAAUAAAAGGACAAACCGCGCAAAUAAAGGAAAAAUAUAAACAAACCAACUACCUGGAGCAACUACUUUUAAUAUGAUCGAACGGCUCAAAAUGACAUUGGACGAUCGGAUGGACAGAGAGCCAUUCUUCUAUGAUUUUUAUUUUGUUAAUUAUAAAAGAAAAAUCGUAUAGCGGGUAGAGCGUCUUGUUAUAAAUUUGGGCUUCGCUGACCGCGCCUUCAAAAGAAAGCCAUCGCCGACCCCUUUACGCCCACAAAUCCAAACACGCCAUUAAUAUUACCAGCGCCUCCAUAGCCUCCGAGCUCUGCAACCCAAAAACUAUCAAACCAUAGAAGCUAACAAGAACCCAAUUCAAACUCAUAUUCACCGCCGGUGAGAGCUAAAGCCCACGCCUUGCAUAUAGUUUCGGUUCAAGUUCAUCGGCGAGCUUCGUCUUUUCAUCAAAGAAUUGGGUAAGCAAUCUUUUCCUUGUUUAAUUUGAAAUUUCCUGGUAAAUUUAGUGUUUUAAAGGCACAAAGCCACAAUCUUUGUUGAUUUAGGUGCCAAGACUCUGGUGUUAACUCGACUGUGAAGAAAUGGGUGAGAUAUAGCUCGGCCGAGUUGACUCAGUAGACAAAGGUGACUGUUGGCUUUUUUCUUUGCCCUGCAGAAAUUCUAGAAAUGAAUGUUCAUUUAUAUUUUCUUACAUUAUGGAUAAUUGAUUAUUGGUGACGUGGUCAUAAUUAUUGAGAGGUUAAUAUUAAUCUUUUUCUUUAUAUUCCAAGAAAAUAUCCUGCAUGUGCGGCUUACAUGCGGCCAUGUCUAACAAAAAUUUCUAAAUUCUAAUUAGUGCACCGCAAAUUGAGAAAAGUAUAAUAGGAUAAGAUUCGAUCCAUAAAUUCUUUGGUAAAUCUUGAAUUUUUUUUAGUGUAAAAGAGGUAAAGGGGGAGGAGGGGGAUUGAUCAUUUGGUAGUGUUUUUUUGUGUAAAAAGAAGGCAAACGAGAAGAGGAGAGAAGCUUUAUUUUAUUUUUUUGGUCAGAGGAGAGAAGCUUACCUUUUUUUUUUUGUUAGAGGAGCAACAAGGUGUGGGGCUACAAGUCCCCACAUUUGGUAAAUUUUUCGGAUAUUUGUGUGACUGGUCCUCAAUAAUUAUUCAAGCCCACACAUUAAGCACAAAAAUCUUUGGGCAAGAUUUUGAUUUACAUUUUUGUUUUUCUCUAUUUUAAGAAUAAUUAGUAUUAAUAGGAAAAAAGGGAAAUGAAAAAGAAAAAGAAAAAGAAGAAGAAAAGAAAGAGUAGUAAGGAGGAGAGUUGGCUGCUGCCCCUGGUUUUAUCCACAAACCUGUGUGUUUGCUGCAUACCCACUUGUUGUCUUCACCAGAUGGUCAAGACAGACCCACAAAUCAUUUGGAUUUUGGAUAGGAAGAAGAACUUUUGAGUUUGAGUCCCCCUUCAGUGCUGGAGGCUAGAAUCCAGCCACUAUCUUGCCACAUCACCAUCAUGGGCCUCCAGAUUUUGGGUCCCAUCUGAUGUAGUAAGAACUACAUACCAGGAAAUCACAAGAAUUGUUUUUAACCAAAAAUGUUAGCUACUUAUUGAUAAAUUUUUGUUCUUUUUCAUGAAUAAAUCAAUCAACUCAAGCCUACAUGCUGUCAUCUUGUCUUAUCCACUAUUCAUAACCUCCCAUUUGACAUCUAGUAGUUAUAAGUUAUAACUGCUAUUAUAUCCGCAGAUGUUUUGCUGAAAUUAUUUUGCUUUUGUUCUAAUAGACAGCUAUUUUUCCAGCAGGGAUCAGACAAGUGUUUCACAUGCUGAGAAUUAUUUUCACCAUCUUUGUGAUAUAACACAGCUCAACAAUUCUUCCUCUGUCAAAGUCAAGUCUGGAGGAAGAACUGCCCUGAUGUUGACGAUUUCAAUUCACAAGCCUAUGCUGUUGAGAUAUUCCCAUGUCAGAAUUAGAAGUCAUCAAAAGUUUCACAAGAUUGAUCCCAUUCCAUUCGUGUGAGUUACAAUUUUAUAUUUCUAUUGAUAUUUGGUUUCCAUUUGCAUUCAAUUGUACUCUUGGGUUUCUUCAUUUGCAUUAAGUUGUAUUCCUAUUGACCUAUAUGCUGGAAGUGUGUUUUUCCUCCUUGUACUCGGUUGCAUUCUCAAUUCCUGUUUGGAAAUUCUUUAGUUUGAAUUUGAUCAAGCCAAUUAGGGACCCCUUAUAUUUGUUACAUAUCUCCCAUUAUCUCCCAUUAUUAUUUUUUCUUUACCAAAUGAACAGGAAAAUGGAGGCAAAGUCUUCCCAAACGAGGAAGAUGGAAGAACUGUCAGUAAAGCAUCCAACACCAUUUAUUCCUAAGUUGGAACCAUCAGGGGAGCCUGAUCUACAAUUUGACCGGCUGCAAACAUCAGAUCAAGAUUUAGUUCAAGAGAAAAAGUUUGAAUUUGGACGAUUUAUUGCACGAGAGGCCAUCCUUGAUGAAGAAUUGUGGGUAAGUAAACUUUCUAGGUGAUGACAUCUUAACCAUGAAGUUUUCGAUGUGUAUGCUAUUUGUGUCCCAUGAAUAAUAUCUUGUGGUUGCAUGCUUUUGGAUUUGUGGCAGACAGCAGCAUGGUUACGUGCAGAAAGUCACUGGGAGGAUCGGGCAAAUGACCGGUGUGUACUUUUGCUCUUUUAUAACUUUCAGAUUUUCUUCUCUUUCUUCUCUGUCUCUUCGGUCUUUGUUAAUCAGACUACUCUAACUACAUGAGGAACAUAAGGUUCCUGUCAUAGGCAAGCCCACUAGAUGGUCUAUACUACCAUCUGAAGUCAUCAUAUAAAGUGUACAUGCAGAGGAAUUGCCAUUUUAAACAAAAGCUGGCAAAUCAAGCUGAUAGAUAAAACAAGGGAAUAAGGAAUAGUUCAGAACAUAUAGUUCUGAAUCAAUCAAGAUUUCUAGAGAAUACCCCAUGGCUGGAUCCUACCAAUGGUGGGUCUCCCUCUGCAUGUGUUCAGUCUUUAGUGGGCUCCAAGUCUCCAAUAAGUGUAUUUAUCAGUCAAAUGGAGGAUUGGACACUGCUGAUUCUUGCUACACUUUGAUUAACACAGAUUUGCUGACAGCUACAAAAGGAAAUUUUCAGAUCAGGUAGGAAUGACUCGUUCAUUUUGAAUUUGACAUGUGUACAUGGAGUAUAUGUCUCAAAUAAAAUUCUGAAUUGUAUCCUUUUAUUUUCUAGGAAUUUAAUGCUAUAAAAAGACGAAGAAAAGGGGAAUAUGGGCAGAAAUGCUCAUGCAUUAUCACGGUAUGCCAUAUUUGCAAUGAGCGCAUUUCUGGUUCUUUCAGUUUGAGUUUCUAUUCUGAGAACCCUCUUUGCAUUAGGAUAUACACUAGAUUUAGUUAAGGCUCCCUAUCAAUAAAAAUAUACAAUUGAUGGCUGAAUGUGUUUGCUCUCGAAUUUGUCAGGUGAGGAAGGAACCAAAGAAUGUGAAAUACACUGUUGUGAAAAGUGUAGUUGGAACACUUGAUUUGAGCAUCCGGUACUUGUUGGACGGAGAGACCUUUCCAGGGGUACAAGCAUUUUGUUUAAAAACUAAAUAUCUACUGCAUUUGUAUCUACUAGUCUGGCCAAUUUAAUGGCUUAGCUAAGUUGGCCACAUAAUUAAUUUCUGUUACAGGAGCGGGAAAAGGCUCCUCCCUUUUGCAGCAUCAGCAGAACGCAGUCAAAUAGAUAUGGUUAUAUUUCAAACUUAUGCGUCUCCAAAGCAGCACGUUGCCAGGGUAUUGCAAGCAGUAUGAUGCAUUUUGCUAUUAGAUUAGCAUUGUUAGAGGGUAAGAUUAAAAUGAAGCAUGAAUUGUUCUCUGGGGUUAUAGAAAUGUCUGAUAUGGCGCAGUUGAAUAAGGGCACAUGAAUUCCUCUUCUUAUUCUAUUGGUUUUCAAUGUAACAGGUGCAGAACAGGUUUAUGUGCAUGUGCAUAGAAAGAACAAACCAGCGCAGGAACUGUACCGAAAGAUGGGCUUUGAGGUAUUACUAUCACGGUUGUGCAUUUGUAGAUUGUACUCACCUAGCUUUAUUCUCAAGUUUUUAAUUUGAACAAGGACUGAUGCACAGCUUUACAUUCUUUUCAGAUGGUUGAAAAGGCGACGUCUCAAUUAGAAGAAGAGCAAACUUAUUUGCUUCGUUUCAAGGCCUGAAAGCAGCUUAUUCGCACACACACACACACACACUCAUUCAUGAUUCUUUUGUUCUUGGAAUUAAACAAUUACUGUAGAAUACUUGUGUCUACAUGUGACAUGAGUUAGGUCAAAAUCCAAAAAUCUCACUUACUGUACAAAGUCAAGAAGUCAAAGAGACGACCCUGCAAAGGUUUUUGGUAUAGAAUGUACUUGUCGCUCCUUGUUCAACAAAAAUAUGGUGAAAUGAAAAAUAUUAUGCAGUCCAAUUCUCACUUUCUUUAACCGAUUAACGCUGAUUGUAAUUGUGAAUAUUUUUUUUUUUCUAAUAUUGUUUUUCAAGGAGAUAACUUUACUGGGUACAUUACAUGCAAUCUAUGUAAUAAUGCCCUUCCCUUUGGCAAUCGCUACAAGGCAGGGUUUACUCACAAAAUUACGAUGAAAAAUCAGUCUGAUGGAUGAUAUGACAUUGUUUGUUCCAAAUCCAGUUAGAAGACAGCGUUAGUCUUCAAAUUUUUAUUAUUUAUAGAGAUGCAUCUCCUACACCAGAAAUUGAUGACAAUUAUUUCAAAGAUUUUCCAGCGGAUUCCCAAGGCUUUUAAGCACAAGUCAACUAAUCAAACAUGUAGCUCUAUGAUUAAUCUCUUACCAAAGAAACCUUGAAUGGAUAGGCUACAAAUGAGUGAACCAGCCAGAGGAUCAGUAAAGGGACAGCUUGGGAAGUCGUCUGUGGUUGCUAAAACAAGGUUCCACCUCAUCUCCGAAGAUGUUUCAGGAGCCACCAAACAAGCCCAAUAGUGUGGAGUAGCUCCAAUGGAAUCAGUUAUUUGUGGCAAAGCAGGGUUUCUGGUCACCAAAGCCUUAGCAGCCUCUAUGCUGUCGUCACCAGAGACCGCAACGAAAUGCAAGGCCGUUUGACUCAUGGAGGUUCUUGCUGCUAGUGCUUCUGCAGACAUAAGUUCCACAAGCUUCAAUAAGAACUGCCACUUACCUUAUUUAAUAGCAACAUAACAUGCAGCGUCGCUUCUCUACUAAAUUGCUAAAAAAAUAGGCAACUAAAUAAUCUCUCCCUGCAAUCAACGAACUUGGCAAGCCAGCUGUUCUAAAAAUUUGGGAUGAACUGCUUUCUUCUCAAAAACGUACGCAAAGUAAAAUUAUUCUCUCUUUAUCUUUUGCCAUUAUUGGUUUGUAUGUGUUGAGUAGGUGAAUGAGGGAAGCAAAUCAACAGGGUAUGUCCCACAAAAACAUAAGAUGGCCAAACAGAGGAACCAUGUAAUCAGUGGCUCUAGCUUUCAAUUCAACAAUACAACCAACACUCAAAUUUGAUGUGGUGUGCAUCAUUUUUUCUUCAAACUAAUAUUAUCCUCUUGUCAUCUACCACAUCAUUUGAUAAUUAAAAUUUAAAGGGAAAAACAAAUAAAGUGAUUAUUGCCUGUUGUGAACUUAUGCACUCUCCCUUUUCGGAAUAUCGAUGUUUCCAGUAGUGAAGUUUCAUGUUUGAAUAUAUAGAUGCAGGAAAAAACACUGCAUUCACUGUACAGUAAGGAGAGGCAUUUACAUUAGCAGGUGAAAAGGUAAUGUUUCUAGAUGACAAGAAUUUCAUAAGUCAAAUAUGUUGAGCAUGUAACAGAAUGCCAGACUAAAGCACAAAUAACAUGUGCCACAAAUACAUAUCCUCUAGUUUUAUUUACAACGUUUUUUUUUUGGUCUGACAGUCUCAUUUAGAACGUUGGUGCACAACUUAAUGCAGAAUCGGCCUUUCAUCACUGAUCCGUUUGUAACAAACACAGCCAAACACAAGCUCAAGCAUCUUUUUUGCAUAGAUCCAUCGAAUUAUCAAUGUUUUCAGGGCGAAAGAUGCUUUGUCCAAAUGUUGACCGUACCAUUUGGAUAAACAAGGGAAGCUGCAGCAUGGCAAAGAGAGCCACCAGGCAAGUGGCCAGCGAUGUGAUUGUGAUAGAAACCCAAUUGAAUCUGUUAUUGAGAACAAGCACAAUAGUUGCACCAAAGGCUACCAUCAUGGAGGCUAUAGCAAAAAAUAGAGAAGCCAAGCCUAUCAUCAAUCUCCUUGGUAAUGACUGAAGGAAAUCUUCUUCCGCAUAACGUGCAGUUAGUAUUGAUAAAAACAUCAACAGGGAAGUUAAAGAAGCAAAUAGAGCUAUUGCAUCUGAAACAACAAACACCAUGAAUGUGCUUGAGUUCUUCCGUAACAAAUUUGGAGAUCCAUCAUUGUCGUUACCUCCAGGUACUGUAAAAGCAGCAGCAAAAACAACCGUGGCAAUGAGAGUUGCAACGAGCAUGCAAGAAUUUGAAGUAUCCUUCAGCCAUUUUUCUCCACGCUGAGCUAAUUCUUUGUGUUCCUUGGUGAAUAAUUCCCUUGCAGUUUCACCUUUUUUGUUCAGAUUGUCCUUAUAAUAAGGGUGAACUAGUUUCUCCACCACCUAAAUACCCAAAAUAAGAGAAUUAAUAAUGUCAAAUAUGUGUACGUGUACUAGCAAUUGAUAAGUUUUCUAGAUAAAUACCUUGAACCACUGCAACUCUCUCUGCAUUUGUAGAGCUGGACAAGAUACAGAUGAGAGUUGGGGAAGAGGAGCCAACUUUGCUGCCAGAUGCAAGAUGGUUCCCCCGGAUUCAGAUUUAAGUAGUGUAGAAGCAAUUAAUUUACUUCGUGCAGUCUUACCACAGACAAUACGGAAAAGAUUUUCAUGCCGAAAUUCAAUAGCAAAAGGGAGUAAUAAAUAUCGGUCUUUGCUGAGGAUAAACCACAUUAGAUCAGGAAAAAAUUCUACUAGUGUCCUUAUAAAUUCAACUAUCCCGUUAGUGGCAGCUAUCUCGAGGAUAUCUGACUUAACCUGCUCCUGUGAAAGUUGUAAGCAAAUUUGUCUCAGUAGUUCAACUGCACAAUGAUGUCUGAGCUUUGCAUCAUGGAGUCGCAUGAAACCAGCUCGUGCUGCACGUUAAAAAUGUAAGAGACAUGAGUGGAAAGCAUCCAGCAAUAGCAAAUACGGAAGGGUAAGAUUCGAAUCCAGACCUAUUCGUUUAAUAGCUCCAAAAAGCAUUCGUCUUAACCAAUGAACUGCAACAGAGAACGAAAUCAUUCAAGAAAAUGUCAAUUGUUGCAAUAUAGCCAGUUUCGCCUCUAAUUGAUCAAAACUAACUGUACAGGUGGUUUGAUAUUUUUAAUUAAAUAGACAGUACAAGUAGAACAUCAUCUUGGUACAACAACAUUUAGCUGCAUGGUACACUCCUUUGGCUUCUUUUUCCUAUUCAAAUCUUUAGCUAUGAGAAAACCUACUUUGUGAUGUAACUGUUGAAACACAUGUAGAAAGUAGCUCACAAAACUAUCUUAUAGCAAGCACAAGCCUUUGCAUUGCAGAGUUUCAUAAUCUAGACGUGAUUCCAAAAAUAAUAUAAAAUAUGAAUUAUUUUUGGAAGCACUAUAUAUAAAAUUAAAUCUGACCUUUUACUUCAAAAUCACCUGAUUAUAACUUUCACUGCAACCCUGUUUUGCUCUUCUUAAACCAAACUAAAAGGUUGACUAAAACAAAACCCAACUAACAGAAGACAAACUUGCAUGAUAUUCACGGCUAUAGAGAUGGGCCUCCAAUAGAAACUAAUUCUUUUCCAAAUAUGAUAAAAACCUGAAAAUACUUAGCAACAAUUCCAAACCCUGACCUCUAUACUGUUCUGAAGGAUCACUUUGGACGCUUUCAUGGCGAGCCACAGAGGCUCUCACUGAGUGUGGGGGCCCACAGUCAACUUCAACAGGGAGAACUGAAACCAAAAUGGAAAGUGAUACACAAGAUUUCAGAAACCAGUAGGAAAAACAACAAGGCAUAGAAGAGAGGGGGAACAUGUAAAAUUGUAAAAAUGAGAGAGGAGGCGUAACAUGGGUAAAUGCAGCUCUCCCAAGAUCCAAGCCUGCUGCCACUAAGGAAGUUUGACUUGUUCCUUGCCAAAACAUCUAAAGGAGUACAAACUUCUUGAUCAGUUUCAGUGGCCAAGUUAGGGUAUUCCUUAACUAGAUACAGUGAAAUUUCUGUUGCACAAAAUUUUAAAGCAAAUCAGUUAAAUAAUAAUAGAGGGGAAGUGAAAUAAUAGAAAUAAAAGUUAUCCACAUUUUGUGCACGAGAGGCUAAAUACCAGGGAAACCUGAAGCAAUAAGCACGUUGACAAGGUUAGCAGCCAAAGGACCAGUUGAGGGAAGACCAGGUUUCUCACGUUUAGUUACCAACAACAAGUACCACACCAGCUCCUUAUUCUCAGAAGCAAAAGUGGCGGCUAGGAGUAGCGCAGUUCUUCCUGCGCUAUCUAAACGUUGUGUCAACUUGGGGUUUUUCCCCAACAAUGCCUUAGCAGACCUCAGGUUUCCACCUAUAGCAGCAUAGUGGAGGGCUGUGUAGCCUAUGCCAUCAAGCAUUUCAAGCACAUCUGCAGGCACACGUUUCACUAGUUUCUCCACAAACUCUGAGUGCCCUUCACAAGCUGCAACAUGCAGUGCAGUCAUUGAUGAAUUUGAGAUCUUAGCUCUCUCAGAAUUAGGAUGUGUGUCCAGAAACUUUCUAGCCUCUUCCCAAUUGCCUCUGGAUGCGGCACGGUACAGUGGUAGGUAGUCAUCCAAGUUCACUUCCACUAUAUUUGCAUCAAUCAUUUAUAUAGUUCACUUAAAAUUGAAACCCCCAAAAAAAAUAAUGUCAUCUAUGAAGCAUAUGAAUUAUCUAUCAUGUGAUACAAGAAAAAUUAAAACAUGGGCAAUCAGCUGCUUACAUUUCUGACCAGGAUUGCUAUGCUGUGUUGGGAUAGGCUCUGUUGAAGAAGAUGGGUUUCCGCCACUUCUUGUAUAAUGAUUGGUGCGUGCUAUACUAUGAGUAAUGAUGGUUGGUUGCAAGGAGCCACCACUUGGCUCCAUAUCCAGUGUGAUUUCACCGGUUGGGAGGGCCAUUGAUGAUUAAGUAUAUAUGUCUGUUUGCUAAAGUAAUUAGCAAAAAUCAAGAACACAAUUCUUGAUCUUGUGCUAUUUGAAGAAAGGAGGAUGCAAUUAUCAACCAACAAAAAAAAAAAAAAAAAAAGGAGGAUGCUUCCUUGCUUCCUUCUUCGUGUCUUCUUCCCGUAAAGAAAAUGGACUGGUGCUAAGGUCAACAUGUUGUCUUUCUGCUUUUUGACAGACGUGUCUCUCUCUCUCCUUUCAGACCCAAAAAAAAACUCUUUCUCCUUUUAAAAGACGAGAGGCUCCUGUCACUUUCAUUUAUUUAUUUAUUUUAUUUUGGAAGUUCCCUGAAAGUGCAAGGAAAAAGUCUACCUACAGGUAGAAGAAAACAACCCACUGCAUUCACAUUUCGAAAGGUGUGUUUAUAGAUGACAUGAACUUCUAACUCAAAUAUGUCCCCAUAGUGACUCAAAAGGUAUGCUUAAUAGAUGGAUGCCAAAUGCAAAAGGCCAAAUUUAUAUUACGAAGGUCCUGUAGUUUAUUUACAGCAUAGGUGCAUGCUAUAGGUGUUUAUCUAUAUUCCAAAAACUCCAGACAAUCUAAUGCAGAUUCUGCCUUCAUCACUGAUCAGUAUUCAGUAUGUAUAAAAAAGUGCCAAAAAGAAACACAAUUGCAAACACCUUCUUUCCAUAGGUUCGUCGAAUUACCAAAUGUUUUGAGGUCUAAAGAUGCUCCUUCCAAAUGUUGAUCGGACCAUUUGGAUAAACAAGGGAAGCUGCAGCAAGGCGAAAAGAGUCACCGGGAAAGAGGCCAGCAAGGUGAUCGGGAUAUAAACCCAAUUGAAUUUCUUGCUGAGCACAAUUGUAAAAGUUGCACCAAAGGCUACCAUCAUGGUGGCUAUAGCAAUGAAGAGAGAAGCUAAACCUAUUAUCAACUUCUUUGGUAAUGACUCGAGGAAAUCUUCUUCGGCAUAACGUGCAGUUAGGAUUGAUAAAAACAUCAAGAGGGAAGUUAAAGAAGCAAAUAGAGAAAUUGCAUCUGAAACAGCAAACACCAUGAACAUGAUUGUCUUCUUAUCUAAGAAAUUUGGAUCUCCAUCGUCGUUGUUACCUCCAGGUGCUGUAAAAGCAGCAGCAAACACAACUGUGGCAACAAGAGUUGCAACGAGCAUGCAAGAAUUUGAAGUAUCCUUUAGCCAUUUCUCUCCACUCUCAGCUAAUUGUUUAUGUUCCUUGGUGAAUAAUUCCCUUGCAGUUUCGAGAUUUGUGUUUGGAUACUCCUUAUAAUAAGGGUGAACUAGGUUCUCCACCACCUAAACAUACAAAAUAAAAAAAUUAACAAUGUCAAAUAUGUGUGUUUGUAAUACCAACUGACAAACUUUCUGGAUAAACACCUUGAACCACUGCAACUCUCUCUGCAUUUGUAGAGCUGCACCAGAUAUAGAUGAUAGUUGGGAAAGAGGAGGCAACUUUGCUGCCAGAUGCAAGAUGGUCUCCCUCGGUUCAAGUACUGCAAAAGCCAUUAAUUUAUUUCGUGCAGUCUUAUCACACACCAUACGGAAAAGAUUUUCAUGACGAUGUUCAAUAGCAUAUGUGAGUACUAAAAAUCUGUUGUUGCCGAAGCGAACCCAUAUUAAAUCAGGAAAAAAAUUUAGGAGUAUCCUUAAAAUUUCAGUUGUCCCAUUAACGGUGGCUGUGUUGAGGAUUUCUAAUUUCAAAAGAUAGUCCAAACGCUCAGAAACAUUCUUGUUUGAGAUUUGUUUGCAAAUUUGUUGUACUAGUUCAACUGCACAAUGAUGUCUAAGUUUUGCAUCUUGGAGUUGCCUGAAACGAGCUGAUGCUGCAAGUUAAAAAUGUAAGAGAUGUGAGUGGAGAACUUCUAGCAGUAUUAAAUAUGGUAGGGUAAGUUUCAAAUCCAGACCUAUUGGUUUAAUAGCUCCACAAAGCAGUCUUCUUAACCCAUGAAUAACUGCAACAGAGAACCAAAUCAUUCAAGUGUCAAUUACUGAAAAUUGAUAGCUGACUAUUCCUUUUGGAGAAACACAGCCAGUUUCACCUCUAAUCGAUCAAAAAAACUAUAAAGGUGAUUUGGAAAAUCAAUUUUCUUUAGCAUUCAGUUUUAAAAAUAGACAAGGUUUGAUGCUUUUUAUUCAAUAGACAGUACAACUACAGCCUAGAAAGUAGUUCACAAAAAUGAUCUUAUUGCAAGCAGCAGCAGGAACCAUUAACGCUACAGAGCUCAUAACAUAGACCUUAAAUUCAGCCAACAAAAGUUCCAAAAUAAGAAUCCAAAAAUUCAGCUCAUAAUCUUCACAAAUGACAAAAAGCUGACAAUACUUGAGCCAUAUUGAUACAGAAUUUGCAUACCCUGACCUUUAUUCUGUGUUGGCAUUCUCAGUUGGUCUUGGACGCUUUCAUGUCCCACGACAUGGGCCCUCACUGAACGCGGUGGUCUAUAGUCCACUUCAACAGGUAGAACUGCAACCAAAAUGGAAAAUGAUAGGCAACUUUUUAAAAAUUAGUAGGAAAAACAUAACGGCACAGAAAAAGUACCGGGAAAUGUAAAAUUCAAAAAAUGAGAGAGGAGUUAUAACAUUGGUAAAUGCAGGUUUCCCAAAAGCCAAGCCUGCUGCCACUAAGGAAGUUUGACUUGUUCCUUGCCAAAAUAAAUAAAGGAGUACAAUUAUUAUCUUGAUGAUCAAUAGCAGUUGCCAAGUGAGGGUGUUUCUCAAGUAGAUACAGUGAAAUUUCUGUUGCAGAAACAUUUAAAGCAAAUCAGUGAAAUAAUAACGGGGUAAGCGAAAAAAGACCAAUGUGAUCCACAUUGUGUGCACAAGAGAGGCCUUUACCAUGGAGACCUGAGGCAAUAAGCACAUUGACAAGGUAAGCCGCCCUUGGACCAGUGAAGGGUUGACCGGGUUUCUCAUCUGUAGUUACCAACAACAAGUACCACACCACCUCUUUACUCUCAGAACCCAAACUGGCAGCUAGGAGGAGAGGUGUUCUUCCUUCGCUAUCGACAACUUGCGUUAAAUUGGAAUUCGCUGCCAACAAUGCCUUAGCAGACCUCAGGCUUCCACCUAUGGCAGCAUAGUGGAGGGCUGUAUAGCCAAGGUCAUCCAGUUGUGCCAGUUCAGCUGCAGGCAUAAGUGCCACUAUAUUCUCCACAAAUUCUGAGUGCCCCUCACAAGCAGCAACAUGAAGUGCAGUCAUUUUUAAAUUUGAGAUCCGAGCUUUGACAGCAUCAGGAUCUCUGUCCAAAAAACUCUUAGCCUCUUUCCAAUUGCCUUUGAGUGCAGCACGGUACAGUUCUUGGUAGUAAUUCAAGUUCACUUCCACAAUUAAAAAAAUUUGCAUUAACCGUUUAUAGAGUUCACUUAAAAACGUUACCACCCAGAAAACAAUUAUAUCUAUGAAGUAUAAUUUGAUUAACAUUUGAUAAAAAGAAAAAUCAAUCAAAAUCAAAAUAAAAAAACAAAACCUAAACAUGGGUGAUGAGCUACUUACAUAGUUCAAUAUCAUCAGUUGCAGAAGAUGAUGGGUUUCCACCAGUUGUGAUUAGUGCCAUUGAUUAUGAGUGUAUGUCUUUUCUGCUCCAAUCAUCAGCAAAAUCACAUAUAUAUAUAUAUAUAUAUUUACGACUCGUGUGAACUCUGAACUGAAUAAAUAUUGAGGAAGGAAACCAGAUGCUUUGCUUCUUGUUGUUGUUGAGAAAAAUGGUUUUAAAAUGAGAUGUCGAAGGCUACUGAUGCUUUUUUACACUUUUACUCGGACAGCUCAUUCAUAUGAGAAAUUAUAGACUACUACUGGUAGUAUAGCUGACGUGGUACUAGGGACUAAUAGUUUUCUGACACCUCACUAAUAUUGACACGCGUCGUCACGUGUAGGCCGUUUGGGUUAUUGCUCUUCAUUCUUAAGGUUUUGAUUGAAAUCAGAUGUCAUUAAAUUUGUUCCGUAAUUGUAUGAAUUUUUGUUCUUUGGACUCUGCAAAUGGCUUUUCUUCUGGUUUUGAUCUAUUGUAUCCCCUGCCUUUUGGUUUGAUGAUGUUCGAUCUUCUUGACCCAAAAAGAGAAGAAAAAUACAUGUUUGAUUUCGGUAGAAGAAUCCAGUUGAGGUUUGAAGAUGCCGUUGCCCAGCUGUUAAUAAUGCCUUUUACUUUCAUGUCGACGUGGCAAUGUUCGGUGAGGUAGUAGUCUAUACUUUCUCCAUUCAUAUUAUAACACAUAUUGUAUUCAUUAAUACUAUAUUAAUACCCCAAAUUAGCAAGGUGAUUGGCUGCUCUGUUUUGCUCCCUGUGUAGAUAUGAGAGACAUUGCAUCUCCAAUCACGGUUAACUAACAACUUGCAGUCUUCAAUCAGACAAAAAAGAGGAUGUGAAUGGUUAAAAGCCUUAGCAAUCAGAGAGACAACAGACAAGAAAUCACAUUCAAUAUCAAGGACCUAAUGCCCAUGGCCCAAGCCAUAUGCAAACGUCUAAAGAGCCUCCAUAGUUCAGCCUCAUUAAUAUUUCCAAUCCCAAUAUUGGCAGAGAACCCACAGAUCCAAGCUCCAUUAGAGUCCCUUAGCAAACCACCAGCACAUAUCUUCCAAGAAUCUGUUUUACAAGAGCCAUCCGCAUUCAAUUUGAAGUUGCCAAGAGUAGGAGGACUACUCCAAUGGACUUGGAUGACCUCUCUAGUAGGCUUAGCAUUAACCACAUUAUUGGCAUCAAGCCAUUCACUAGAAAAUUGCAGAAUAGUGUGAUGGGGGUUGGUAGGAGGCUCGUAGCCAGGGUUAAAAAUAGAGUUGCAUCUCCAUUUCCAACAAUGCCAAAUAGAGGCCGUAAAAACAAGUGUCCAAGGAAGGUUGCCAGAGAACCGAAGAGGCUCUUUUAAGUUCAACUUUCCUUUCACAUUUACCUUCUCCACACGUAAUUCCCAUUUUACAAAAAUAGAAAAGGAAAGAAAAUUCAUCCGCCACCGAAAGUGCGAGGAUGAGGAUGAAAGAAUUCCCUUCCUUUCUUUGUCUCGCUUUUAUUAAAAAAGAAAAGAAAAGAAAAGAAAAUAAACCCACCGAAAGUGCGACGAAGAAAGAAUUCCCACUUGACUGAUAUGACAUGCUACCCAAAAUAUCGAUCUUUCCACUUUACUCUUCAUGUUUGAUUCUACAUGCAGGGCAAAUUCUGCAUUCACUUUGCAAAAGUAAAUAGAAUGGCUACAUAAGCUAGAGGGCAAAAGGGUUGUUUCUAGAUGACAAAUACGUCCAGCAUCUUCAUAGCUGAUUGAACUCAAUAUAGUUUCCACAGGAUGCCUAUUGCGGACUCGGAUUAAAUUCAAUAGACGGAUGAAUAGCGCAAUGGACCUUCGUGAGGAUCGGACACCUUGACAUGUUCUAAUAUUGGAGAAACUUUCAAGCCAAUGAUUUUCACCUCUGGAUUUGAGUGGCCAUCCAGAAAAGUAUUUGUUAACUGCAAAGAGCACCAUUUGACAUUUUUAAAUAUAUUCUUAAUAAAUUGAUGUGGAAAGAACUAUCUUAAAUACAGUCUAUUAAAUUUCAUUAAACCUGCUACAGAGUUUCAAGACACAACAAACACUGAACAUAUGUACCUGAGUGCAUCCAAAAAGUUUCAGUAUCCUCAAUGAUAGGCAGCUGUCCGCAAUUAAACCCAGGGCCUCAUCAGUCAAAUUCCGGCACCAAGAUAGAUCCAGAGUAUGCAACUUCCUUGAACGUUUGGCAAGUGCUAUGGCUGUGUUGUACCCAACCUGGAAAUAAUAAACAAACAUGGUCCAUAUUCACAAUGUAGGAACAACUACUUAUGGCUACAUAGACCAGGCUCCCACAUGCCCAUUUAACCUAGGGGCUACAGCCCAAUCAAGUGGCAAACAGAUUCUCAGAGUCAAACCCCACCUUUGGUUCUGGCAAUUUUGCAUACAAAAAGAUGUUCGACAGUGUGAGUGCACGAGUGCGUAGGUGGGUGGGCACAUACUAAUUCACAUGUGAACAUGCGUGUAUUCCUGUUCUUAUAAGAGAUGUGUGUGUAUGUGUGUGUGUGUGUGUGUGUGUGUGUGUGUGAGAGAGAGAGAGAGAGAGAGAGAGAGAGAGAGAGAGAGAGAGAGAGAGAGAGAGAGCGAGAGAGCAAAGAUUUACCUUCUUGAUAUUAUUGAGUGAAAGUUCUGUUAAACACUCUCCAGAAGUUUCCAGAAAAGCAGCAAUAGCUUCAUCACUGUCACAAGGGAAAAAUAUUGUUCUGUAAGUUUAUCACUCAAAGGAAUGCCAACUCUGUGCAGUGAGCAUCAAAAUUAACCUAAAAUCACAUCAGAAAUAUAAGAAUAGAGAUAUAUAUGUUCUAUUAUCGACUCAAUGGCAGUCAACAAUCUAACCCAGAAAACUCAUCAAAGGUCAGUGCAACUAACAAAAACUCCAUUGAGUCUCAUACUAAAUUCUUAUUAGUAAUAUGCACUGUCUAAGCAGAAAGUCUGUAAUAACAUUGCACUAAUGUAGCAAAAACAAACCGCAUCAUAAAUAAAAUUAAUAAUGCAUCAUAUUUGCUUUGAGGAAACUGCAUAAUAACUUAAACAUAUUUAAUAAGGUAAGCACCUGAAUGCAUUUCUACAAAGCUUUAACGUUUGAAUUUCUCGACAACCAUUUGCAAGAUAUCCUAAGGUCAAAUCUGUCAAUUUGUACAAGUUAACAAGAUCAAGUGCACAUAACCCCGUACAGGUUUCAGCUAUGACUUUCACAGAAGAAUCUGUUAAUUUUCUGCACCAAAUUAAAAUCAAGCAGCUUCAGUAGAAAACAACAAUAAAUCAAUGGAACUCUUAAAAGAUGGCAAACACAUAUUUAUUGCAAAAGUUGCACACAUAGAUGUGUCAAAAAAAUAAAAACAAAAACUUACCCACAAUCAGUCAAAACAAGCUCCUUCAAACUCUGACCACGAGCAGUAACAAAUUCCUUAAUAAAAUCAUCGCAAACAUUUUCAAGGCCUCCUAGCCACAAAACCUCCAAAUGUUCAAGCUUCUUUAAUGCUGGAAGAAUAAGCAGAGCAUCAAUUCCUUGGCAAUCAUUUAGAUAUAGUUCCCUUAGAACUGAUCCUAAUGAGUCAGCUAAAGUGCCGAUACUUGAGGAAGUGAGAAGGGAGCACUGGCUGAGGUUUAGAGAUCUUAGUGCAGGGGCAGAAGAAACAAGUGCACCAAGCCCAACAUCUGAAAGACGGCAUGCACCACUUAGGGAUAAAGUGGUUAGUGCAGGCAAGCAAUUUGAUGACCGAGCCAAGGUAGAAUGCAAUAUAUAAUCUGCCACACAGCGCCCACACUGGUCAAGUUGUAGCACCUGAUUCACCAAAGAAUAAAUAUCCAGCUUAUACAAAUUGUUCAAAUUACUAGACAAGAAACUGCAAGUUUACACUCAAUGAAGAACUUCCAUGUUACUGAUAAAGCAAAAGAUAUGGCUUCCAAUGAGAAAUUAUUCCUUGUUUAAAACAUAAAUGCACGCUGCUAAGCUAUGUUUAUCAGAGGUUAACAUUGAAAUCUUUAAGUGAUUAGAAUUCUCGCGAGCUCAACUUUCUCUAGAUUUAUCUGUGAAUAUGACAAAAUAAGAAUCUCAAACUCAAAACUGAUGCCUAGCUGCCUGAAUCUCUCUUCCUUCUACUACCGACCAGCCUGGCAUUACCAGUCAUCCUUUGCUCUCCCUCUGCUCCCAUUUAACAGAAGCAUCAAUACCAUAAGAAGUAGACUUUCAGCACCAAUAAUUGGUUUACAUCUUCGUGGCAAUAAAAUCAGCAACAAAAAAGAAAACUCUAACUAAACUCUGAUCACUCAGUUUAUCCUUUCUCCGCAUUUGGAUGUGAUCAUGACAACCUAGAUUGGUCUCUUUCCACUACCUAUUAAUAGAAGCAUCAAUACUAUAAAGAAGCAGACUCUAAAUUUUUAGGGUAGAAGCUUAAUUUCAGUUAAAUGAUAUCAUAAUACCACAAAUAGGAAGAUUGUCCCUUGAAUCACAAACUAUAAUCCAAUGCAGCAGACAAUAAGUAUAUCAGGUUCAGUGUAAUCACACACACCAUAUACAAAUGAAUAUUGUAUAUACAAAACUAUAGCUCAACCAAAAUACGAGAACGUACUGUUAAAUUGCUGGUAUCCCACUGCUGAAAGGAUUUGGUAAACUGCUCCUCUGUCAUCCAUGAGCAAUCCCUUAAGCGAACCUCUGUUGGCAAUCCUUGAACAAGAAGCUCAAAGAAAUGACUGUUCAUUUUUCGAGAAUCACAGAGCAUCUGACAAAGCCGGUGUCUCAAAGCAUCUGCCACAUGCUCAAGUGAAACAAUUGCAUCAGCAUUCUUAGCAAGAAAGGACAAACACAGAUCUUGCAGUGAGGGGAUCAAAUUCUUUGAGAGGGGACGAUCCUGAAAACUUUUAGGAACCCAUUCAACGAAUGGUGGUUUGGUCUGGUCUUUAGAGGGCAGUUGGGCAUUUUUUGCCGCUCGAUCUUUAAUAAUUUUCAUGGCCGUAGAAAAGGGACCAGGCCAAUCUUCGAUAUCCUGUGCCACUUCAACCUGAGGAGGCAACUGAUUCUCCUCUUCCUCUUCAGAAGCAAAAUGAGCAAAUCGAGAAGCAUUUCGCCUGGCUAUAUCCCGAAACCGUUCCAUGUACUGGUUCCCACUUGCUGCAUUCUCUCUUGUAUUGCUGUUGAUUAGCUGGCUCUCGUCAGGCAAUGCUGCAUUCUCCCUUUUACGAAUAGGGCUGGCAGCCACGUUCUCCACUGAGCUCAAAACUUCUGAUUUCAAACCCAAUUCCGCUUCAUCAUUACCAUUCAUUAAGACCACUUCUCCAAUCAAUUUCCCCUUCCCUUUUUCUUCAAUGCUGUAUCUCCUUCUGCCAUUAUCUAUACCAUUCUCACUGGCCAUCACUUCAUCCUUGAGAUCUUCAGCAACACCUUCAAUUGCAUCACUCAACUUCCUCUUCCCUCUUGGACUACUACUCUGAACUAAAUUCUCACUAGACCUCUCCUCUUCCGAGUCCGAAUCCAAUUCCACCACAUCAACACCAUUGAAUGCAAAACCACUCUCCCCCAACUUUCCCUUGCCAUUCUCAUCAGCAUCUAAAUCAAUCACCAAUGCUCCAUUAUGCCCACCACCCAGUCCUCUCUUCGAGACUUUCUUCCCUGACCGCAAACUCAAAAACCCUUUACUUCUUCCAUCUUCCCCUUCCCAUUCUAAAGCCGGAAAAUUAAUAUCGAUCUCCAACUUCCUUUUUUUCUUCACCUCUUCUUUACUACAAUUGGCCCCAAAACUUCCCAAGUCUAAACUCAGCCCUAAUCCACUGAAACCCCACUCGCCCUGAUCAACUUCUACCUUCCCCUCCUCUCCAAAACCUUUCUUCAUCACCUCAGUCCCUCUCUCAACUCCCACAACCGUAACCCUCUUUCCAAACAGAUCAAAACCCACCUCUCCAUUCGAAACAUGAUCAUCAACUUCUUCCCUAAGUUUUUCUUUCACUUCCUUCUCGGCCAUUGAGCACUUGCCCUUCUCACGACCCGCGGUACUCCUCUUGCGACUUUUUUCCGGGGCGAGAUUCUUACCCUGAUCGGAGUCUGGACACUUCGAAGCGAGACGGAGACUCCGCCGCCGCGCUACUCCCGAGACAGAGGUCGAAUCGGAGCCGAAAUCGACAGAGCACUGUUUGGAGCUCGAAUGAGGAUUAGGGUUAGGGUUUUGGGGUUGGGAGGAAGGGGUCGAAGUCGAAGCGGUGGGUGGGGGCGGAGGUGGAGAUUGGAUAGUGUUGGGGGACUCGCGGGUCUUGGCUGGCGUGGAGGGCUCUAAUUUGAGCCUUGACUUGGGGUUGUGCGGCGCCGUUUUGGUGGAAGCGAUGAUCUCGCGGGACCUAAGAACCGUCAUUGAUCGGAUAAGGAAUGAGAGCGACAGAGAGAGAUAUUGAAAUGGCGCGAAAUGACGGUUACAGAUAUGGGAAGUGGGCAGAGAAUCGGAGAAACUGGGAAGAGCGAAGCGAAGCGAGUGACAGUGAGUACGCUUAGGUUUAGUGGGCUUGUUUGGGAUUGGGAGUGAGUUUGAGAGACGCGUUUAUUUACACCGGUUAAAUUUUCCCGCCAGAGCAAAUCUAUGUAUCUCUUUUCUCUUUCUUGUUUUUUCGUUACACCUCUCUUUAUUUCAUCGUUCACUUUUUUUUUUUUUUCCAAAAAAUAAUAAUAAGUCAUAAUUCACAAAUUAAUCCAAACAAAUCCCUAAACUUUAGAUCUCAGUUUAUUUUACAGAUUUUAGUGUGCACAUGAUUUAGUUUUAGUAAUUACAUUAACGUGUGUUGUUGGCAUUGUGAAAUAAAUCAAAGGCGCACUCCAUUGUCUCUCAUACAUUUUCAUUCACGUGAAUAUAUUUUAAAUUUGAUUCACAUAAAUGUGAGUUUAAUAUCUAAUUCGACUUACACCAAAAUAAUAUUAUGUAUAAUUGUUAGUAGCUCGCACUCACAUCACAUCAUAUUGUAGCAUUCUUUUUUGUUGUUUUUAUUUCUAUCAAAAUGAAUCACGUCAUUAAAAUUAUCACAAUAAAUUAAUAGUGUAUUAUCAAUCAAUAUACCGAACAAAUUAACAAAUAAAAUAAAAUUAUAAGCGAUAUUUCGCUGAUUUUUUCAAAUUUUUAUAUCAUUCCCGUCACCCACCUAACUACUACGAAUUUUCUAAACCACAAACGACAGUUGAUCUUCGCCGCGUAUAAAUUUCUUAAAUGGAAACUUCCUCCUAAAGCAUUUAAAAAUGAGGAAAUGACUCGGAAACCCCUCUCUCCCUCAACCCAAUAGUUAUAGGCGCGUGCGUGGCGGCAUAAUAAGUAAAAAAAAGUCAGCAUUGGUUGGCUGAAAAAGUAUUCGGGAGGUCGAGGCCUAUCAUUCCAACUGGGCAACUUCCACUCCGCUUAUCAAUUUCAGUAAUUUAAUAGAUACUCGGAUUCACAUUCAUGGUAUUAUUAUGGUUCGUGCGUGCAUACUGUCUUAUCAUCUUUAUUCAAAAAACUAAUAAGUUGAUUUGUUUAUAAUCAUAAUUGAAUUUGCUUGAAAAUUACAUGACAUUAUUAACGAAAUAUAGCGCAGUGAAAAAUGACAUUUAUUUACAGACUAAUAGUAUAAGAUUUGAAUCUUUACGACACCUUGAUAGUGUAUCUUAUGUGAUCUUGAUUUUUAAUUUCAAUGUUAUAAUUUCUUAAUUAGUAAAACAAUAAGACGGGAAUAAUAGUAGAGUGUGCAAUAUGAAAGAAAUAAAAUCACAAAACUCUAAUAGGAAAAUGACAAAGCAUUCUUAACAUGAGACAAAUGUUCAACUUAAAGAUCUGAAGACAAUCUUCAAUAUAAGAUGUUGUGUUCUUUUCCAUGUAGAACAUAAUUCAAAGAUGUCCCUUUCAAUUCUUUAUAAAUGUUACACUUGUGAACAUAUCACACUAGUGAACAUGAGUUAGUAUACAAAAUAUGUUCAAAUAAAAACAAUAAAUAAAAAUAAUAGAGAAGACAUCGUCCACAAAUGUCUAGGCUCUUCUUGUCAUUCCAUUUGGACCAUUGUGACUAGAUCAUAUGGUAUCUUCCUAAAUAAAAAUUAUAAACGCAAAAUGAAUGGCCAUUUUGAUAAAAGAAAAUAAAUGAAAUGAAUUGGACAACAAAUCUUGUCUAAACAAUUUUGGGAAUUUGGUUAUCCAAAACCCUAAAUCAUUUUAAAGUCAAAAGUCAUUGAUAAGGAAAGUCAACACUCAAAGAAAUUUGCAUGAUUAUGUUCAUUUAUUAAGAAAAAUGAAUUUCCUCUUACACGCUUACAUUGCUAGCCACUCGUAACUCCAACCAUAAAACACUUUUCCUCUAAAAUAGAAAAGAAAAAAAAUGGAAUUUUUACACUAAAAAAGAAAAAGAAAAAAAUGGAUCAUGGAUACCUAAUCAUGGAGGUGGAUCCAAUAUUCUAAUCGCAUUGUGGUGUCAACAUCGUUAUUGGCCAUUGCCAAAUAAACAAAGCCAAAAUUCCACCAUAACCCAUUUUCCAUUUUCAAUCAUUCAUAGCACAAAGCCCGCAUUUCAGAAUUUCAGACAAAUCACAGAUAAAGAGUAAUAUAGAGAGAGAGAGAGAGAGAGAGAGAGAGAGAGAAAGAGGCUGGCUGCAACUGCUGCUCUGUUUUCUCUUUCUUUGUGGUCCGUUUAUGGCGAUCUCAACCCAACCCAACCAUCAAUGAUAGCAUUAAAUAUCACUGAUCAUUAUAAAGGCAGAACUUUGAAGCAUUUCAUGACAUGGGUCAUCAUCUUCACCUCCACAACACCAGCGAUGGCGUCUCUCAGCGAGUCAACAGCCCGAGGUUUUCGGGCCCAAUGACUCGCCGAGCUCACUCGUUCAAGCGCAACCCCAACACCAGCGCCAACAAUGGCAGCUCACAUGGCAAUAGUAACAGUAAUAACAGCAGCGGCAGUGUUGGAUUUGGUAGUGGAGAGUACGAAAUUGACCUCCCGCUGAACUCGCCCAGAUCUGAAAUUGGUGGGAACUCGGUUCCGGGUGAUGGGUUUGACUCGGUUUUGGAAAGGAAGCAGACCCACCAUGUGAGCCAGAGAGUUGCUGUGAGGGGCUUUCUGAGGAAGCCUAUUGGAUCUGUGGUGGUGGACUUGGGCUUGAGGGAGAAGAAGCAGCUUGGCCAUUGGAUGUUCUUUGCCUUUUGUGGGGUGUGCUUGUUUCUUGGUAUUCUAAAGAUUUGUGCUACUGGGUGGUUUGGAUCUGCUAUUGAAAGUUCUAGGUCCAAUCAGGUUGGUUGAAUAUUACAGUAUUAAUUGAAUAUACUCAUGUAUGCUUGUGUGUAUGUUUGUAUGUGUUGCUUGCUGCUUGGUGAGAUUGUUAGCCAGUCAAUGACUUGCUAUUAGUUUCUGCUUGAUGCUGAUAGCAGGAAAUGUUCAUUGUAUGUGUGUUUCUACUGGGUUGGAUUGUUUGUCUAUUUAUCUGUUUAUCUGAUUGCUCUUGCAUUUCAUUCUUAGUUGUAUUUUAUUUUAAUUUCUACUGAGCAUUCUGCCUUAUACUUUUAGGAUGGUUCUGAUCCCAUCACUCUUAUGAAUCGGAUGGAUCAAAGCUCUCAUGAUUAUGGACAUAGGGAUGGAGGAAGUGAUGUUGAACGAACUCUAAUGAUGGCGUCUGGUGUGAACCGUGUGGUUGGUGAAGAGAACAGCGUUGAAGUAAGUCUUAAAUCUUAUGUCUUGACUCUUGAUCACAUUUGUUUCUCUCUUUCCUCUUUUUGUUUCCUGAAAAUAAUUGAGGGGUAUGGAAAUGGAAAAUGCUAAAAAUGGCUGAACUUGAUAACCGAACAGAGGAAAAGAGCCUUUUUCAUUAGUUCAUUUGUUGUUUCAUUUCUGAAAUUCACUUUUGGUUCAGUACACAGGUAUCUGGUCCCGACCCAACAGUGAGAAUUUCAGUCAGUGCAUUGAAUUGCCAAAAAUUCACAAAAGUAUGUAACACAUGCAAUUAAGCAACUGUACUGCUCUCUCUCUCUCUCUCUGCGUUGUGUGUGCAAUUUGUGAACCUGAGGUUUUCAUGUUCUCAUCUCUCACUUGCAUCUUUUGGCAGAGCUAGAUGCAAAGACCAACGGUUACCUUCUUAUAAAUGCCAACGGCGGCUUGAAUCAGAUGAGAUUUGGGGUCUGUCUAUUGUGUAUUUUUUGAUUAUUUUCUACUGGCUAGCAUUCUAUUAGUAUUAACUAUAGUCUGAUGCAUGGAAAUUUUUAGAGUGCAGAUUUGUGAUAUGGUUGCUGUUGCUAAGAUUAUGAAGGCAACACUUGUCCUACCUUCACUCGAUCACACCUCCUACUGGGCUGAUGACAGGUUUGUUUCUGUAGUUCUGAAACUGGAUUGAUCUGCUGAAAUGUCUCGUAAAGUUAUUCGAGUUUCCUUAUGCUCCGGAUGGCAAGCAUUCUAGUUUUUCCAGUGAUUUUCUCUGAACUAAUUACUUCAUAUUUACGUGCAGUGGUUUUAAAGAUCUGUUUGAUUGGCAACACUUCAUUGAGACGCUGAAGGAUGAUAUCCACAUAGUUGAGACAUUACCCCCUGCCUAUGCUGGAAUUGAGCCUUUCAACAAAACACCAAUAUCUUGGUCUAAGGUCGAUAACAAAGUCAUAUAUCCUAUAAUAUGCUUAUUUCUUGAAUAUUGGUAGAGGAACAUGGGAUGCUCAUUCAUUAGGGAUGCGGUGUUAUGUUCUCUCUGCAGUCUGCACACACUGGGUUACAUGCUUGUAAGGCACACAUGAAGCCCAGGAAACAGAAGUGUUACAAAGAGAUCCAAAUGUUUGUUUAUUAGAUGCACAAGUAUGCACCAUUCAAUGCAUAUGAGUGGCUAUGUUUAACUGUUAUCACAACGUAUCUCAUAUCAUUUGUUACCAUUUGUUAACUUAAGUAUUGUCAGCUGAUUUGCAUUCUUCUGUCCAGGCUAGUUAUUAUAAGUCAGAGGUCCUCUCACUGUUGAAGCAGCACAAAGUUAUCUAUUUCACUCAUACUGAUUCUCGGAUUUCCAACAAUGGCAUCCCAAGUUCCAUUCAAAGGCUGAGGUGUCGCGUGAAUUACAGGGCAUUGAAAUAUUCAGCUCCAAUAGAAGAGCUUGGAAAAACCUUAGUUUCUAGAAUGCGGCAGAAUGGAGGCCCUUAUCUUGCUCUCCAUUUGAGGCAAGUCUUGAUAAUUUCAUACUUCAAUAUUAGAUGGACGAUUUUACUCUUUUGGUGUGUAUGGCGUGAGUCAUCUUUCAGAGAUCAAGAGGCCUUGUAAUAAAUAUUUAUACUGCGAUAUAUAAUGGAUUUGCAUUAGUAAAAGUAGGUUUUUGUUUCUUUUCUUUGAAAUGUAGGGUGAUUGAAGCAAUUUAUUUUAAACUUGUCUCCCUCCUUUUGUACAGAUUGUAAUCUCUAUAUAUUUACUAUAGGUAUGAGAAGGAUAUGCUUGCAUUUACGGGCUGCAGUCAUAGUUUGACAGCAGAAGAGGAUGAUGAACUACGGAGAAUGCGCUAUGAAGUCAGUCACUGGAAGGAGAAAGAGAUUAAUGGGACAGAGAGAAGGUUGCUUGGGGGAUGCCCAUUGACCCCUAGGGAGACUUCACUUCUGCUCAGGGGGCUGGGUUUCCCAUCCAGCACCAGGAUUUACUUGGUAGCUGGUGAAGCUUAUGGGAAUGGAAGUAUGCAAGAUCUUGAGGAUGACUUCCCCCACAUCUUCUCCCAUUCCACUCUCGCGACAGAAGAAGAGCUGAGUCCAUACAAGAAUCAUCAGAACAUGUUGGCUGGCAUAGACUAUGUUGUUGCUUUACAGAGUGAUGUUUUUCUUUAUACAUAUGAUGGAAACAUGGCAAAAGCUGUGCAAGGUCAUAGGCGCUUUGAGAACUUUAAGAAGACCAUCAAUCCAGACAGGUAAUUUUAUAACCUGUAUUCUCACAACUGCUUUUAGCAUGUUGAUCCUGUGGUUUUUGAUUUAUUAUAGCUAUUUCGAGUUUUUUUUUCAUGACAGCAUACCAUAAACAUAAUUGUCAUUUCAUUGUUGAUGCAGGAUGAAUUUUGUAAAACUUGUUGAUGAGUUUGAUGAAGGAAAAAUCUCUUGGAAGAAAUUUAGUUCGAAAGUGAAAAGGCUUCACAUAGACAGAGUUGGAGCUCCAUAUUUGAGGGAGCCAGGAGAGCUUCCGAAGUUGGAGGAAAGCUUUUAUGCAAAUCCUUAUCCAGGCUGUAUUUGUGACUCAAGAUGGAAAAAGUAGAGGCCAGCUAACAGGUUUUGCAUUAUUUCAUGGUGUGAGAUCAGAGCAUGCAAAGACAUCAAGGUGUGUGUUGCCAUUAUUUCGGACGAAUUGGUAAUCAUAAAUUUCAAAUUUCAAAGAGAAUUGGUAGGUUGGUUGGCAAGUGUACGUGCUGUGCUCACCAGGGUGAAAAAAAUCCCUGGAGCAGUGUGGAACCGAGACGAGAAGUUGUUGCAGCCUAGUCAGAGGGUGAAUACAGAAGUCAGGUGUCCAUUACCACUACUGGAAAGUAAAGAUCGAUACAACAAAACACAUAGAGAAACCUCCUUAUCACUGUACCACAACCGUUAAAGAACACUGGUGUUUUCUUUUGCUAUUAAUUUGCCCUUUUUCGUUCAAAACCUUUUUUUUAAGGAGGGGCGUGGGGUGUUGGGGUUUAAUGUAUCAUGAAGUUCGAAAAAUCGAUAGGAAUACAAGGGAUGAUACUGAAUGGAAUGUGCAGUAGUACAAAAAUAUAAUUCAAAGAAUAUCAACUUUCUUACCAGCUUCUUUUCCUUAUCAUGACUGAUCAUCUAUCCUCUCUUCUUCUAGCUGUACCUUGAGGAUUUUUUUUUUCUUUUGUCCGGAUCAAACCAUAAUAUGAGAAGUGGUUCACAUUUUUAACAUCAAAUGGGGAUACAAAAGCUCAUUAUUUUUUUCUUCUUCAAAUGAUAAAUUUCUCAGUAUUAAUUUGUUCAGCUGCUCUGGGAGGUUGAGAGAGUACUAUUUGGUUUUAAAAGUAACCUUGAAUGAAAUUACCAAUUCUAUCCAAUCAUCCAAAUUGGUGUAUGACUGGCCAUUUUGGCAGCUUUACACAAACAGAAUUUGACAAGGGUAACAAUUGGCUGAAAUUAAAAAAUUACAACCAGAAACAGUUCCCUUCAAAUUCACAAGAACUAAGAAUGGCUCUUCACAAGGACGAGAGGGAUAGAGGAGAAACAGAAGAGGGUGCUUAAAAGAAGGCAUCUCAUUGCACAAAAAUUACAUGGGCAAGCAGAAGCUGGCAAAAAUGUGUACCCAUAUCCAUAAUAGUACCCAAAAAAAGAACAAAAUUUCAACAAUCACUUGGGCUGUAGAAUGGACUCAACAAGGUCCUGAAGAGGUGCAAGCUCCCCUUUGUCAAUCAAGCGGAAUUCCUGCAUCACAACAGUGUAUCUUGACUCAUAUAAAACCGGUCUAUAUGGACCAACGAGCAAACACAACCCAAAUUAAAAUGAAACUUACCCAUGUGAAGAGAACAAAAUGCUUGAAGCAAGUAUUGAGAUGAGCUUCUUCCUUCAAGCUCACAAUUUUCUGAAAAUGAGAGUGAUAGAUAUGGGCAUAGACACGGAACAAUCGCUUAAAAAUGGUCUUGACAACAUCUUGGAAGUUGGCUGGAAAGGGUGCCCCUGUAACACAUAACAGCAAAUUAGUUUAUGGUGUUUGUAGUGUGCAAUGGUUAUAAAUAGAAACUAGGUACUUUAUGCCUUGAGCUUCAUUAAGAAUUUUUCUGCUUACCCAAUCUUUGAGGAAAGAUUGAUUCCUCAUCAAGCUGAUUUUCAAUCCAGUCCAUUAAAUACUCUACAUAUUUUGGGGCAGAGACCUCUAUUGGUUUCUUAAUGUUAACUCCAUCAGCCCAUCUGUACUCGUACCUGCGGAGUGUUCAACCAAACUGAGCACUUAGAUCACAAGCAUACGGUCGUAGCUAACAAGUUUGUAAAAGAAUUCACUUUAGGGUGCAAACUUUUCUCUUUCAAGUAUGAAGUCAAUACAUGAUAAUGGAGGAAGCUUGAUAAUCAAGAUAAAUCAUCAAAAUGAAUAAAUUCAACAAUCACAACAACUAGAGUGAUUUGAUUGGAUGAUCAAGAGCCAUACUUCGAUCCUGCAGACAUUGUCGGACAAUUGACCGGUGUGCAGAACUCAGUGAGAGUACCGUACAGAAUGUUCACUUGGUUGAAAAAAUCAACAGCUGUGUAAAAAAAAACGAAAUUGAAACAAGUUAAACAUAUAGCAAAAACAAUUUCCCCAGUGAAUAGCAGAUAGAUAAAUAAACAUGCAGAGACAAUAUGAAACGCAACAAAAGAAGAAGUUAUGAACCAUGGUGCCAUAUGCUGAAUGAAAUAUUAUAAUUAUGAUGAUCUUGAAUUUCAGAAUGAAAGUGAUUCAAAGUUCUUACUGUUUACUGCCAGCCACUCAUUUAUAUCUUCUCCGGGAGGCAGACGAACAGCCUCCCUCAGGUUCCCACUGCCCAAAGUUGCAUCAAUGUGUUUUUGAAGCUGGGCACCCUGCAUUCCAACAACAUAAUAUAUAUUGCUUCCAUCAGAUAAAAGAAAAAUAAACCUUUGACAAAGUAAAAAGAUACAAAUCACAGGACUAAGUAACCAUAAGGAAUUGAAUUGAGGUAUAUAUAUAUAAGUUAUAACACCAACCUUGCUUCCUGAUGGAGCACUCUUUUUAGGCCGAAAUGUCUUUUGGUUUCUGCACAAUCAAAGAUGGAAUUCAGGGGAAAAAAAAAGGUAACGUCUUCCAAAUUCAAACAAAGAACAAAGUAAGAAUUUUGAUAUGUCUCAAAGGCAAGAAACAACAAGAACAAAUAACCCUUUUGUCUGAUCCCACAUAAUUUGUAAAUAUUAAGUAAACAAAACCACAUAUCUAAUUUGCAAUUUUAAUUGAUGCCCAUGUAGCAGACACCUCUAGCAAGGCCAAAUAUAACAGAGCUAUGGUGGGAAAAGCUCUCUGAUUUAAUGAUGCAACCAAGAAUGAAAAAAAAGGCAAAAAAAAAAGGGUUGAAUUCUAUAGAAUUCAUGAUCCUGAAAACAUAUUAUGAUCGACUGAAUGAAAAGGAAAAAAAGAAAGAAUUAAUUUUCAACAUAUGGGAUUUAAAAUUGAGAUCCUAAGCAAAACAAACCUGCUUCCCAGGCCAAAGAGACUCAUCGUGUUUCUGUCUGUCUCACCCCUCUCUCUCUGCAGAAUCCAAGGCGAUAAUACAGGGCCAAUUCGAGACGAAAGAAGGAAUAUAUAUACAGAGCCAGACUAUAUAUGAACAUUUAUCUAUAUAUAUAUUAGAGAGAGAAAGAGAGUUAGUCUCUCUCUCCCCACCUCUUUCUGCUUGACCUCGCUCAUGCCAGUCUGUCAUUUACAGCUUAGACUGAGAGAGAGAGAGAGAACCUUGUCUUCCUUUCUUUUCCAUUUGAUUGCCAACCUGCUAACCUGGCUCAUUCUCCUUAUUUCUUUCUCAUUACUCUCUUUCUUUAUAGUUAUGUAAAUACAUAUAUUAUGCAUGUAUAUUGUUCAUGGUCAAAUUAAGACUCCUUCAACUGGCCAAAAGAGGAAAAAAAUUAUGACCCUAAUGAGGUGGCACUUAAUAAUGGUUACGAGCAAGCUUGUUAUGUUCCGUUCUGUCAACUAUUGAUGUAAGUUAAUUCUAAAAUAGGUCUCACAUACCGUAUAUCAACAACUAAUGGUCGUUAGUGCGUAAAUUGAGCAUAAAAUGGUUGGUGAUAUCUAAAUCAUAAUCACUUUAAUUCUAAUGAUUGGGAAUUUAGCAUAAUUAAAGAGGAUCAUCCUUGGUAAUUGGUAGUAAGAUAAGAUUCAUUAGAAAAAGAAAAGUAGAGUGGCAAAGUGAAGUUUGUGAAUCAAGGAUAGAGAGAGAUGGAGAUAGAGAACCAGAUUCAGCAUCUAAGUAAGGCGAUUAGGUCGUGAGAGAAUUUUAAAUGUGAGGGAGGGGUGGGGCCAAGAAAUGAUAAUAAGAUAUAUAUGCAUCUUAGCUGUAUUUGUACUGGCACAAUAUCAAGAUACACAUCGAUUUUAAUUUGUCCAAUCAAGUUGUGUUGAAGCUGGACCAUGCCCUAUAAAUCAAUUAUUUAUGCACAAACUUGGUUUUAAAUACAAAUUAAGUUAUAGCUUGAGCUUGAAGCCUAGAAUUCGAUAACCUAUCAUGCACCAACUCCUUGGGGUCUUAUUGAAAUGGGACACUUCAAUUUUAUAUCAAAUUAGCUGAUUAAAAAAUUGCGGAAUAAUAUCCUUAAUUUUGGGAAUGGAUUAGUGAUACGAGACACGUUUACCAUCCAAAUGUUAAAUUGUUGUUAACAUUUACAUGCGCUAAAAAUUUAAUUUUUAUUUCCGAGUUUUUACUUAUAUUUUAUUUUGAAAAAUUAAAAGAACGAGAGAGGGUUCGUGUUCUGAUUUUUCUAAAUGAGUGAUCAUAAAAGCCCUAUAAUUUUGAACAGAAAAAAAUGGCGUUGUUGACACUUCCCGCCAUCUCGGAGCUCACUUUACCGUUAUAAUAAACGGAUUUUCAAACUCCCCAAGCUCCAUACAAGUUUUGAACAAUGAAAGAGUCCAAAGAAUCCGCAUUAUUACAGGCCUAACGCAAUACGCCAAACUAAACCCAUCUACCACUAUGGGCCUUCUUCUGCUCACCCGUCAACAUCACCUUUUACCUUUCUCCUGCCACGUGUCCCCGACCCUUUUGCUGCUGCAGUACUUGGUUUUUUUACUUUUUCCGGUGGUGCGGUACUUGGUUUGGUUGGUGCUUAAAGAUUUGGAUUUUUGUUUUUCUGAUAUGGAUGUGUUGAUGCAUUGUUGUUUUCAAAAAUUAGGUUUUACUGAAUGGCUUUCCGGAAACUUGACAAUGCAAGGGAGAUGGGUGUUUGAUGAAAUUAAAUUAAAGUUAUGAACUUGAUGUUGUUCUUAUGGAAAGUGACUCAGAAAAAGUGAUUGAAAAGUUUUUCUCUAAAAAAAUGAUGCUUCUUGAUAACCGUAGUGCAUUUUGUUGUAGAGGAGAUGGAAAAUGUGAUUGGAUAACCGGUUUUGGCUUGCAUUUAGGUUAAUCAGCACAACUUAAGCCCGGAUUGAUAAUUAAGCUACUUAUUGAAGUCUUAUGAAGGAAUUGUAAGGAAAAAACUUGAAAAAUCUCGUACGAUUGUAAGGUGUCAAUUUUGACAAUCACAUGUCAAAUUUGACAAAUAAAUGAGAUUUUUCUGAUUAUGGAAGAUGGUGAGCAAGAACAAUUCUUGGUUGGCAACACCCAUAAAGAAAUCUGGACCACACAAAUUAAUUGAUAGGGUUAUUGAGUAUACGAUGUGCAUGUGUGAUUAGAAUUGUUUCCAUACUCCAAACUGUUACAAGUUAUGCAUUUAUAGUAUUCAUCUUAAGAUGCAAAUAAGAAAAGGGUUCAAAUAAUAAAAACUUCUACAACUGGCCUGAACUCUAAUUAAUCCUGCAGUUACAAGCCUUCUCAAUCACAGAAAGGAAAUAAAAAUGGACAUGGACAUGGAACAAAAAAGAAAGAGACAAUCUUUGAGAGUCUGAAAAUGUGAGGCUUGAGCACAUGGGAGAAGAUAUUAUGGGGGCAUAAUAUAGUCUACUAAAAUCCUUCAACAUUAAGCACACACACAUUAAAACUUCUACAAUCAUACAAUUAAACAGCCACUGACCUGAACUCUAAUUAAUCCUGCAGUUACAGGCCUUCUCAAACACAGAAAAGAAAACCAAAAUGGACAUGGACAUGACAUGGAACGAAAAAGAAAGAGACAAUCUUCUAGUGACAUUGCUUUUUGGCAUCUCAAGAGAGAGACCUUAAUUAAUUAGUACCACCAAGAACACCCUUCAGUUUCUUUAUCUGAGCAGCAUCAAGGAAAGUAGUCUGAGCUAUUACUUCGGUAGGCAAAUCGUUUUUGAACAAAGCAAAGUCCAGAAUUUGGAGACCCGGGCUUGCACUCCCGAAGCUAGCAAAUGCAAGGGCUGGAGCCUCACCUCCAUUGACUUGGAAGUGCAACAGCCCCUGUGGGAAAACCAUAAUGUCACCCUUCUCAAGAGUUUGCAGAUAAGGUGUGUUAUCUGAGGCAACAAACCCGGCGCAGAUUGUCCCUUGGGCGACAAUUAGGACUUCUGAAGCUCCAGGGUGUGUGUGAAAUGGGACAACUCCGCCAACCGCCAAGUCUAGACGGGCGAUGGAAAUGCCGAGGCCAUUCACACCAGGAAACUGAGCAACAAAUGCAGGGGUGACUGCAGCUUUGAUGAUGUUACUGGUGUUACCAGCAAUGCCCAGGCCCGAGAACACAAAAUCAUUUACUUUAACACUUGCAGGCUUUUUGCAAGAGAAGCCUGCAGGGCCUUCAGGAGCUGCUAAGUCUGCAACACAGAAGUCUUGCACAGCCGCAUUGGAGGAGGAGAGGAGGAGAAAAAAUGUGAACAAGAUAGGGAAAAUCAUCGUUGCCUGGCGCAAUAGGUGUGUGGUGGCUGCAAGCUUUCUUUUCUUUUAAGGUGUGCAAGUCUUGAUAAGAAAAUUGGGAUCAUAUAUAGUGGGAUAAUGCAAAUAUCUUGAGCUAUUGCAAUUGGUUGCUGAGAAUAUGCUACCCAUGUAUUCACAUGUAUGGCAAUGCUAAAGGUAUACGAUGGGGGAAAGGACAGGUUUCAAGCUGUGAUGCAUGUGAGUAUGAUAUUUUUCUCGGAUAACAACAAGAAGCUUCUUUUUGUUUUGGGUUAUUGAUCGAAUGCUCCCUCAAUUUUUGCCCCAAUAUCAUUUUGGUCCAACAAUUAAAAUUUUCAUUUCAAUAGUCCUUCAACUCUUUAUUUGGUAUCAAAACGUUAAAAACUGUUCAUAUUACCGUUAAAUCAAGGGGUAAAAUUGUCCAUAUGAAUUAAAAUAUGAAUAAAAAAUUAAAAAUUGAAUGAACCUAUUAUAAAACUUAGAAAAUUAAAAAAAUUGAAUCUCACCGCCUACUGUAGUCCACUCACCAGCCACAUGGCCUUUUUUUUUUCUUUUUUUAUUGAGAUUGACUUAAAAAUUAAUAAAAACGACCAUCCGCAAAACGCAACCCCUCCCUUUUCCUCACCCAACACAAAUCCUCAAUGACUUGAUGGCCUCAAAAAGAGGCUGAAUUCCAAAGAUUUUGGUCCAUUAAAGCAGUUCCAGUGGACAAAUGCUGCCAGGGUUGUUGGUGGGCUCCACAAGCCUGGGCUGGCCCUCAAGCAAAACCAGCUCUUGCUCUAGCUUGGGUUUGCUGACAUCAGCGAUGACGUCAUCAACCAAAAUUUUAAAAAAAUUAAAAAUUAAAAAUUUCAAAAAUUUUAAAAAAUAAAUACUUAGUAAUAUUUUUCACUUCCCACACCAAAACUCUAUACAAAUUCCUCUCCUCAUAUCUCAUAUGAAUAGUGGUUACCAUGGUAAUGAGUGGAAACACCAUAAGCCUUUUGCAAGGGCUGCAACUAUUCACCUGAAUAGUAAUAGCCCUUGCCUCCCCUUGCCAUUUGCCAUGGCAAAUGGGUGGAAGUGCUCUUAGAUUCCAACAAAAACCCUUCUCUUCCUCUGGACUUUCGUCGAGCAACUGAUGGGAAACUCCAAGUCGCACCACCAGCAAACAAGGACCUUUAAGCCCAUUUCGAUGGCUGCCAUGGGGUCUGCCACUGCCUCCAACCCCUCUCUGAUUCCUAUGACGUCAUACGCCAAUUUCCUCUAGCCGUCAGAUCCAAGCAAAACUGGUCUCUCUGUUUUGGUGUUUCCAACUCGGCUCGCGGCUCCGAUUGUCCUUUCUGAGGCAAGCGCGAGGUUCACGACCACGUGGUUGGCUGCGAAGCCUGCAAGCGCGGCUUUCACCUCACAUGCACCGGAAUGCGCACUACCAAGCCAUGAAUUUGGAGAAAUGGGAAUGUGAGGAGUGUACGAGCAGUGGGGUUAGAAGCAAGUGCUGAACGUUUGGAGUUUUUUUUUUAAUUGGUUGAAAGGCCACCUGAAGUUAAGUUCAAGCAGAUUUUGCAAUAUUUUACUUUAAUUUUUAAUUACACUUCUUUUUCCAACAAAAAAAAAACUUUAUUAAUAUUUUAAUUUAUAUGGAUAGUUUUACCCCUCAAUUUAAUAAUAAAAUUGACAGACUUUGACGGUAGGACCAAUUUGAUACUAAACGGAGAGUUGAAGGACCAUUGAAAUGAAAAUUUUAGUUCAUGGACCAAAAUGAAACUGGAGCAAAAAUUAAAGGACCAUUCCAAUCAAUAACCCUUUUGUUUUUGCCCUAUGGUUUCAGAGUUACCACUAACCGUGAUGAAGCAGGCAUGAGUUCCCGAAUCUUUCGACGUUUGAGUACAAUCCCAUGUAGUAGUUUAAAAUUUUUUUGCCCACGAAGUGAUAAUUUGUUAGCUUUUUCCCAUCUGUGUUCUAUAGCUAUGACCAAUCAAACAGAUAAAGUAUAUAUUCAGCAUAUGCUGCAACUAUUUUCCUGAAUUGAUCAAUACAUUAACAAAAUAUAUAGGCUUAUUUCAUGUGUUGCUAGUACUGAAGGUUGUGUUUUAAGAUUUGAAAUCCAGCAGGAGAAGCCGAAAAAUGGUGAGCAGAUUGUGGCCCUUGAGAAAAUGGGGAAAGAUAUUCAAGGGAAGCCAUUUUGACAGCUAAAAAAUGCCAGAGGAAUGGGAAUUCUGUGGAUAUCAAAAAUUCCCCUUCUUGUAGGGUUCUUGGAUUUCAAUAUAGGAUGGUAAAAUGUCUCUUCAAAUUCUGUCUCUUUGUGGUGUAUCUUUACUAAGAUUCUUCUAGAGUUCACCUUAUCAUUAGAAGAUGGCACCAACACCACAUUGCUUUUACAUGAAUAUGAGCCAAUGAUUACCAAAAACCAAAAAAAAAAACAAAUUUAUAUGAGCAAAUGUAGAAUAAUGUAUGGACAAUUAAUUCAAUCUCAAUUAUGUGGUAUGACAUAAUGGAAAAACUCAUAUUCAUAUAAAGAUGUAGACAAUCCAAUCUCAAUUAUGUUAUGUUAACAAGUAAUUUUUUUGUCCUUAACCAAGUUGACAGAGAAAAAUUAAGGAGUCCCAAAUGCAUUGCUCUUAUACCUCCCUUUGUAACACUGACUCCGGCUCAUGGACGCCAGUCUCCUUAAUCUUAGUGAUUAGGGAUCCAGCAGAAACUUUAUACACAAAGCAGUCUUCAACAAUCAUCCUCUAUACCCUUAAGCCUUCCAGUGAUCCCGUAGCCACGACAACGUCUUCCUGAUGAAUUACACUCGUUAAAUUUAAGAAAAAAAACUCUCACUUCACCUGGAGUCAGUAAAAGAUGUACAAUGUAGAUGAAGGAAGUUGAGGUUCCACCCCAAAAUCAAUUGACAAUGGGGGGAGUAGCCCAACUCUCAGUAGACAUCAUAAGAAGAAAGGAGCACUAUCACUUACAUCAACAACAAGAAUACCACCUGCCACUUCCUCAAAGUCCUGCAUACCCGUUAUAUAUUGGGGAAGGUUAGAAAAACAGAUGGAAGAAGUACUAAGAAGAAAGGAGCAAUAUCACUUACAUCAUCAACAACAUGAAUACCACCUGCCACUUUCUCAAGGUCCUGCAUUCCAGUUAUAUAUUGUGAAUUGAAAAUUAGAGAAACAGCUGGAAGAAGAACUAAAUUAACAUGUACCUUUAUGUACAACAUGGUUUAAAAUUCAAAUCACUUUAUGCGCACCUCCAUAUAGGAACCAUCGGGACCAAAAAGAAGUGUUUUCAGUUCGGAAUGUUGUUCCUGCACAAAAUAUAGAUUAGACCAAAGGCUCAUAUUACUUGCCCAAUGCUCACAUUAAUUCCAAAUUUGAUAAAAAUUAUAAAGAUCAAGCAAAAGCUGUAACACCAUGUUACAGUGCUGAAGUUAAGAAGUACGCCACUUAACGGUGUGCAGUAAGGAAAUAAUACACAGCCGUUUAAUUGUUUUUGCUAGAUGUUUUUCUAACUGUUGGCAAUAUAAUUGGGGUGCAGGCACUUAAAAAACUGGCAGGUUGUAAUGUUGUUCUUGCUGAGGUAAGUGUUACAGUUGCUUUGUGAUUUUGAUGGCUACAUUGCUUGCACAUCUUGUUCUAUCUAAUAUUUUUAAUCUGCAUGUAAACUAUCAGUGGAAGGAGGCAUUAUUUUAGCUAUAGGCCCAUUUGAAGGAUUAAGGUUGAUGAGGACAUUCAUGGAAGACUGCAUUGUUUGCAACGUUUCCCCUCGAACCCUUAUCCGUCGGGUCAGAGAUGUGGAUUGUAUGGCUGUUUACGGUAAUCUGCGUUAUAUCUCUGGUGACGGCUUUGAGUGCAAGGAAUGAUUUUGGAGCCGUUGCCUUCUUUUCUCUGUGAAUUCUGAAUUCUAUAUGGGGUCGAGAGUAGUAUGUCUUGAUCUCUUGGACUACAGGGGUUCAAGAUAUUUGUGAUCACUCAUCGUUGGAUAUAAAUUCAAUGGUUCACUCACUCUUGCACUCCUUUUAAAUAACUUUUUUGAACUACUAGAUUAAUAUCUAACGGUGGGUGACUACAAUCUCUUGGACUCCUGUGGUCCAAGAGAUCGGGACUGUGAACAUUAGUAUUAAACAAUUUCCUCCGUUCAUCAAACAUUAUUUUGGUAUAUAUAGUUACCAACUUUCCAUAUUAUCCUUAUUAUUUUCUUAACAAUACGAUAUUCUAAACUACUCUAAAAUACGGAGAGGGAGAUUUGAGCUCAGGUGCAACUGGGUGGACACAGCUGCUAAUGCGUGUGCUCCUUAUUUUCAAAUCUAUUAUUUGAUUACAGGCCUUCUCAAUCACAAGAAGAAAACAAAGGGACAAUCUUUAGUGACCUUCUUCCUCUUCGGUAUCUCAAUAGACCUUAUUAGUGCCACCAAGAACACCCUUAAGCUUCUUUAUCUGAGGAGCAUCAAGUAAAGUAGUCUGCGCUAUCAAUUCGGUAGCUAAGUCAUUUUUGAAGAGUGCAAAGUCCACAAUCUGCAGACCAGGGCUUGGACUGCUGAAGCUAGGAAAUGCAAUGGCCGGAGUGUCACCUCCAUUCACUUGGAAGUGCAAUAGUCCUUGAGGGAACACGAUAAUGUCACCCUUCUUAAGAGUUUUCAGAUAAGGUGUGUUAUCUGAGGCAACAAACCCGGCAAUUAUUGUCCCUUGGACAACAAGUAAAACUUCUGAAGCUCCGGGGUGAGUGUGAAAGGGGACAACUCCACCCGGACCCAGGUCUAAACGAGCCAGUGAAAUGCCAAGGCCAUUCACACCAGGAAAUUGGGCAGCAAAUGCAGGGGUGACUGCUGCUUUGAAGAUAUUUGUGGUGUUACCAGCAAUGCCUAGGCCUGAGUACACAAAAUCAUUGACGGUAACUAUUGCGGGCUUUUUGCAAGAGUAGCCUGCAGGGCCAUCAGGAGCUUUGUAGUCUGCAACACAGAAGUCUUGCACAGAGGCAUGGGAAGUGGAGAGGAGGAGAAAAAAUGUGAAGAAGAUAGGGAAAAUCAUCUUGGCUGAGUGUAGCAGGUAUUUGUUUAAGCCUUUUUGAGGUGUGCUUCUGUAAAGCAAAUUGGGAUUUACAUAUAUAGCGGGAUAAAGCGAAUAUCUUGAACCACUGCAAUUGGUUGGUACUAGGUAGGAAUUUGCCCAUAUAGGACUCACAUGCAGGGGCGGUGGCAGGGUAGGCAGCCGCCAACUCCAUUUUUUGCCAAACUAAAAAUUACUCAAUACCCAAUACAAUCAAAUUUCUUCUGUUUACUCAAACCCAACCCACCAGGGGCAGUCCUACCCUAAGAGCAGGGUAGGCAGCGGCUACUCCAUUUUUUGCCAAACCAAAAAUUAUCCAAUACCCAAUACAAUCAAAUUUCUUCUGCCUACUCAAACCCAACCCGCUCAAAUUUUUUCCUUUAACAAAAACAAUAGCCUAGCACACUCAAACUUUCUCCUUUAACAAGAACAAUAAAAAGCAAUAUAAGCAUGUGAAAGAUGUGAAAGUUGUAUGAAGAUUUUUUUUUUUUUUAAAAUUACAAAAAAGGUGGUAGGAGUGUCACCUCUUCGAGCCGGGCACGAAUUAUGGGAAAGUUCUCCCCAAGAGGUUCGUUACACAUGCAGAGGAUCGAACUCAGGACCUCAGUGUGGAGCCCGAUCACAUUCGCCCAACAUGUGUGGCCUAGCCCAUUCAAUUUUCCACUAGACCAAACCCACUUGGGUAUGGAGAUAUUUUUCAACGUUGACUAACAUUGUGAAUUUUGUUAGUGCGUCUGCUAAGCGCUGUAAUGAGUUAAAUUUAUUUCGAAAAGCUAAACUCAAAGAGUUGUUAGAUUUUGGGGAACUUGAGACAGAUAGAAGACUUAAUCAAGGUCGUAGUUUGAAACGAGCUGGAGCCGCUCGUUGGGGAUCUCACUUUGCCUCUAUUACAAGUUUGAUGAGUUUAUUUAAAGAGACUAAAAUACUUCUCCAAGAAAUCAGUGAUUAUGGACCUAACCAACAAUUUCAUGGCAAUGCAAAGAGUAACUAUAUUGCUAUGAUGUCUUUUGAGUUUGUGUUUUCAUUGUUUUUGAUUGAUAAAAUAAUGGGAUUGACCAACUUUCUUUGUCAACUGUUUCAGACAAAAACCUAAGAUAUUGCAAGUGCUUUAAACUUUGUUGAAAACACGAAAUCACAGUUCCAAGAUAUGAGGGCACAUGACUGGGAUGAUUUAUUCAUGGGUGUGGUAUCAUUUUGUGAACAACAUGGUAUUAAUGUUCCUGAUAUGAGUUCUCGUUAUAUGAGUCCCUACCAUAAGAAUGAGGAAACCCGCUUCUUUAUUAUAUUUUGUAAAUAUCUCUUCCUUCCCUUCCAAAGAAUAUUUUUCUUAGAAGUCGGCGAAUCGUAAAAGGACUUGUAUAAAAUGAUUGCUAUCUUUCGGCUUUCCACUUACCCGGUUCCCCACGCGGCGAAUGGGUACGUCCGGGGUCGAUCGUAUAGAUUGACGCAAAAUUUUUUUAUUUUAACGAAUCGUGCCGCCGAAGAAACCUCACCCUAACCACAUAAAGCCAAAAAAUUAGCGGUCGUUUUUGUCAAUAAAAAGAUUUUAUUACAGUUGAACAUUACUAUUACAUUAAUGUAUUUAAUGAUGUGAUAGAUUGCAUGGUGAGGGAGUUAAAUGACAGAUUUCUAGAGCAAACAGUUAAACUUUUUAUUUUUAGCUCAGCAUUUGAUCAUCGUAAUUCCUUCAAAUCAAUCAAUAUUGGGCAUCUAUGUAAACUUGCUGAGAAAUUCUAUCAUGCUGAUUUCAGUCCAAGUGACUUGAAAGCUUUAGAAAUUGGGAUGAGGUAUUUCAAAAUGAUAAGCAUCGCCUUCCCCGCUUUAAGGACCUCACCACUCUUCCUCAGUUAUGUCAACAAUUGGUGGAAACAACUUUGGGAGAAAACUACUAUUUGCUUUACAAGUUGAUUUAGUUGGUGUUGACUCUUCAUGUUUCUACAGCAACAAAGAACGAGCUUUUUCAUUUAUGAGAAUUAUUAAGAAUAGACUUUGGAGCACCAUAGCUGAUGAAUUCCUUACUGAUUGCAUGAUUCUCCACAUUGAAAGAGAGUUUGCUCAUAAUAUCGAUAAUGAAGAGAUAAUUGAGGAAUUUAAGAUUUUUAAGCCUUGCAGGGUAAAGUUUUAGAUUUAAAUAGUUUAGUUUUGUGUUGCAUUGCAUUUACUUCUUGUUUUUCUGUUAAGCGUUUAUUUAUAUAUAGAUAUGCAUAUUUGAUGGUAAGGCUCAUUACGUCCCCCCUAACUAGAUGUAUCUUUUUCUUCUUUUUUUUGUGCCCCUAAAGUGAUAAUUUGUUAGCCUUUUCCCAUCUGUGUUCUAUAGCUAUGACCAAUCAAACAGAUGAAGUAUAUAUUCAGCAUAUGCUGCAACUAUUUUCCUGAAUUGAUCAAUACAUUAACAAAAUAUAUAGGCUUAUUUCAUGUGUUGCUAGUACUGAAGGUUGUGUUUUAAGAUUUGAAGUCCAGCAGGAGAAGCCGAAAAAUGGUGAGCAGAUUGUGGUCCUUGAGAAAAUGGGGAAAGAUAUUCCAGGGAAGCCAUUUUGACUGCUAAAAGGUGCCAGAGGACUGGGAAUUCUGUGGAUAUCAGAAAUUCCCCUUCUUGUAGGGUUCUUGGAUUUCAAUAUAGGAUGGUAAAAAGUCUUUACAACUUCUGUCUCUUUCUGGUGUAUCUUUACUAAGAUUCUUCUAGAGUUCACCUUAUCAUCGGAAGAUGGCACCAACACCACAUUGAUUUUACUUGAAUAUGAGCCAAUGAUUACCAAAAAAGAAAAAAGAAAAACAAAUUUGUAUGAGAGCAAAUGUAGAAUAAUGUAUGGACAAUUAAUUCAACCUCAAUUAUGUGUUAUGACAUAAUGGAAAAACUCAUAUUCAUAUAAAGAUAUAGACAAUCUAAUCUCAAUUGUGUUAUGUUAAUAAGUAAUUUUUUCGUCCUUAACCAAGUUGACAGAGAAAAAUUAAGGAGUCCCAAGCGCAUUGCUCUUACACCCGCACCGUGUACACCCGCCUUUGUAACACUUUCCCGGCUCAUGGACGCCCGUCACCUGGAGUCAGUAAAAUAUGUACAAUGUAGACAUCAUAAGAAGAAAGCAGCACUAUCACUUACAUCAACCACAAGAAUACCACCUGCCACUUCCUCAUCCUCAAAGUCCUGCAUACCAGUUAUAUAUUGGGGAAGGUUAGAAAAACAGCUGGAAGAAGUACUAAGAAGAAAGGAGCAAUAUCACUUACAUCAUCAACAAUAUGAAUACCACCCGCCACUUUCUCAAGGUCCUGCAUUCCAGUUAUAUAUUGUGAAUUGAAAAUUAGAGAAACAGCUGGAAGGAGAACUAAAUUAACAUGUACCUUUAUGUACAACAUGGUUUAAAAUUCAAAUCACUUUAUGCACCUCUAUAUAGGAACCAUUGGGACCAAAAAGAAGUGUUUUCAGUUCGGAAUGUUGUUCCUGCACAAAAUAUAGAUUAGACCAAAGGCUCAUAUUACUUGCCUAAUGCUCACAUUAAUUCCAAAUUUGAUAAAAAUUAUGAAGAUCAAGCAAAAUCUUUAACACCAUGUUCCAGUGCUGAAGUUAAGAAGUACGCCACUUAAUUAAUGGUGUGCAGAAAGGAAAUAAUACACAGCUGUUUAAUUGUUUUUGCUAGAUGUUUUUCUAACUGUUGGCAAUAUAAUUGGGGUGCAGGCACUUUAAAAACUGGCAGGUUGUAAUGUUGUUCUUGCUGAGGUAAGUGUUACAGUUGCUUUGUGAUUUUGAUGGCUACAUUGCUUGCACAUCUUGUUCUAUCUAAUAUUUUUAAUUUGCAUGUAAACUAUCAGUGGAAGGAGGCAUUAUUUUAGCUAUAGGCCCAUUUGAAGGAUUAAGGUUGAUGAGGACAUUCAUGGAAGACUGCAUUGUUUGCAACGGUUCCCCUCGAAACCCUUAUCCGUCGGGUUAGAGAUGUGGAUCGUAUGGCUGUUUACGGUAAUCUGCGUUAUAUCUCUGGUGACGGCUUUGAGUGCAAGGAAUGAUUUUGGAGCCGUUGCCUUCUUUUCUCUGUGAAUUCUGAAUUCUAUAUGGGGUCGAGAGUAGUAUUGAACAUUAGUAUAUUAAACAAUUUCCUCCGUUCAUCAAACAUUAUUUUGGUAUAUAUAGUUACCAACUUUCCAUAUUAUCCUUACUUUUUCAAAUUUUUUUCUUAACAAUACGAUAUUCUAAACUACUCUAAAAUACGGGGAGGGAGAUUUGAGCUUAGGUGCAACUGGGUGGACACAGCUGCUAAUGCGUAUGCUCCUUAGUUUCAAAUCUAUUAUUUGAUUAGUUCGGGGUUUUAGAGUAUAUUAUAUCAUUCUUAUUUCUUGAUUGACAAAGCAGGUUAUCUUAAUAAUAUAGAUAUUACAACGAAUCUGGACCUGGAGAUGCAUUGUCAUCUUAAUUAAGAUACAAAUAGAUGGGGCAUUUGCCUUCAACACAAUGAUACUUCUACAAGCAUACAAAAAGCACGAACUAGAGUAAAAUUUUACUGGUAAUGCAGAAACUGCCACUGGGCAAAACAAUCCUAAACUUACAGGCCUUCUCAAUCACAACAAGAAAACAAAGGGACAUGAAAUAAAAGAAAGAUUCAAUCUUUAGUGACCUUCUUCCUCUUCGGUAUCUCAAUAGACCUUAAUUAGUGCCACCAAGAACACCCUUAAGCUUCUUUAUCUGAGCAGCAUCAAGGAAAGUAGUCUGCGCUAUCAAUUCGGUAGGUAAGUCAUUUUUGAAGAGUGCAAAGUCCAGAAUCUGCAGACCAGGGCUUGGACUGCUGAAGCUAGGAAAUGCAAGGGCCGGAGUGCCACCUCCAUUCACUUGGAAGUGCAAUAGUCCUUGAGGGAACACCAUAAUGUCACCCUUCUUAAGAGUUUUCAGAUAAGGUGUGUUAUCUGAGGCAACAAACCCGGCAAUUAUUGUCCCUUGGACAACAAGUAAGACUUCUGAAGCUCCGGGGUGAGUGUGAAAGGGGAUAACUCCACCCGGACCCAGGUCUAAACGAGCCAGUGAAAUGCCAAGGCCAUUCACACCAGGAAAUUGGGCAGCAAAUGCAGGGGUGACUGCUGCUUUGAUGAUAUUUGUGGUGUUACCAGCAAUGCCUAGGCCUGAGUACACAAAAUCAUUGAUGGUAACUUUUGCAGGCUUCUUGCAAGAGUAGCCUGCAGGGCCAUCAGGAGCUUUGUAGUCUGCAACACAGAAGUCUUGCACAGAGGCAUGGGAAGAGGAGAGGAGGAGAAAAAAUGUGAAGAAGAUAGGGAAAAUCAUCUUGGCUGAGUGUAGCAGGUAUUUGUUUAAGCCUUUUUGAGGUGUGCUUCUGUAAAGCAAAUUGGGAUUUACAUAUAUAGCGGGAUAAAGUGAAUAUCUUGAACCAUUGCAAUUGGUUGGUAGGAAUGUGCCCAUGUAGGACUCACAUGUGGAAAGAUGUUAAGCAUACGGCAAACGACAGAUUUCAAGCUAGCUGUGAUGCAUGUGAACAUGAUAUUUUCUUCAUAUAACAACAAGAAGCCUCUUUUUGCUUUUGAAAAUGCAGUAACAGCAAGAUCUUAUUAAGAAAACAACUGACCUACGGUUUCAGAGUUAUCACUAAUUAAUCAUGCUGCAUAUCUAACAAGAGAAUCCAAGGUUUUGUUUUAAGAUUAAAAGUCCUUGAAGGUCUGAAAAAGGCACAACAGAUUGCGGUCCUUGAGGUUUGAGCACAUGGGAGAAAGAUAUUAUGGGGGCAUAAGAAGACAUUUUGACAGCUAAAAGGAGGCAGGAAAAUGGGAAUGUGUGGCUAUGAGAAGUUCCCCUUCUUGCAGGGUGCUUGGAUUUCAUUAUUGAGAACUGUAAAGUCUUCUCAAAUUCUGUCUCUUUGUAUGUCUUAGCUGCAAUAUUCCUCUAGAGUUGAGUCAAUGUAGAAACUUAUAUUACAAAUUACACAUCGUGCCUUGAGCUUCAUGCACGUAAUAUCGAUGCCUCAGUUGAAGUUUCUCACUAAUAUGCUUUAUAGCAGUGGAUUUUCAAAACAAUGCCCCUAUAAGUUAUGCUACGUUCUAUUUACCAACAUUUACUGUCAAUUUUUUUUACGCAGAUUUGGCUUAGAGACAAACGAAAUGUGGCGGUAACUUUUCUCUUUUGGUCAUAAUCUGUGGUUAAUUUGAGUUCAGUUACUUCAUUACUCAGUUGCAGAAUGUAAAAAUGAGAAGGAAUCUUUUCUUUUGCCUAGGUCUAAAAUCCUAUAUUUUGCGUGUGUGGUGUUUAUAGAAGCUUUCAAGAUAAGGUUAUGAGCUUUUAGGAUAACCAUCCGCAGGGUGUAGCCUUCCAUCUUUCACUUUCAGCCAACAAAUACAAAAGCUCCGUACAGAAUUUUGUUUGUGAAGUUGUCCAAAACACUAUGAUAUGUGCCACUGAUUCUAAAUACAAAAAAAUAUAGAUACAAUAGUAUAGAAUGAGUUAUAUAUCAACAGUACAUUAUACAAUUCUGAGUGAAGGAAAAAAGGUACAUAUAAAAUUCUUUGCAUGUAAAGAAUCUGAAGAUCAAGAUUUAAACACAGAAUGUCAUGCUUAAAUAGAAAAAAGGUUAUGAGCAACACCCAGAAACCAAAUCACCAAAAGCUAAAUUCAAAUCAAAAACCAGAAAAGGGAGUUCUGCCCAUUUCUCAUGAACCAAAUCACCAAAAGCUAAAUAUGAACUUAAAUGGAUGAGAUUUGAGGAUUUGAAGGAAUGAGAGAAAAUGAUGGGACAGUCCCUCCAAUAAAGCAUGAGGUUCAUGAAAUUUCAUUACAUUAGAAAAUAAAGCUUCAAAGGGGAAAAUGAUAAAUAAGUUUUUGGUAUUUCCUGUUUGUUCAAAAAAAGAAAAAAAAAAGAAAAAAAAAAGUAGGGAUAGAUUGAAUGGUUGAGGAUGAAUGAGAAGAUUGAGCAUUGUGCAAAUCUUGUUUGCAAUACUGGUUUCCUUAAUUAUGUUAAGUGAAAAGUAAUAUGAAAAUAAAUUAAAUAUCAAUCUCUUUUUGUUAUUUAUUGGACAAUGUGGGUAAAGUCAAAAUGUCAAAAGGAAAAAAAGCUCGUAGAAGAAGAAAAAGUAGGUCCAGUAAAGUGACUAGGCAAUAUCGAAUUAAAUUAAAUAUGUAUAGAAAGAAGAAUGGCAAAAUCUGGCAAUAUAAAAAUGAAAAGGAAGAACAGGAAUGAUAGUAUCCACAGAAAUCUGUCCAUGGGAUCUUAAUUACUGCACCUCCUGGGUUAACAUUCCAAAUGUACCAUCUUUUUCCAAACUGUUGCACGCUGAUUUGAAGGGGAAAAUCCCCAUCCAAUUGUUGUACAUCUUCAGCUGUGUCUGACUUGUGUCUCCUCAUAAAAGAAAAUCUGAGGAAAAGUUAAACAAUUAGAAUACAACAUUAAAACCAGGCAAGCAUCAUGGAUUAGUGGUAAGGAUUAAAGUCAGCAAAUCCAGUCUUAAAACAGGCAUACUAAUUGAGUACUUCUGUCAGUAUAUAUAUGGAAUGGACUCUAAAUUUGACCCAAGGUUGAAGUUGUUUAAGGAAAAGAGACCUCAUUUUAUCAUCUCCUUCAGGUAAUUACCUAAUUCCCUCUGGCCACUUGGGGUUGUGUUAGCUUGAUAUACAUUGCUAAUCCCAUUUCUUGGCAACUUUUUGUUGGAUCUAGUGGUUCCCUUUUGAAAUUAUCCCAAGGGAUAAAUUCCCAAUAGUUUUAAUAGUAAAAUAAAUUUUACAGGUUGUUAUUUUCUGGAUUCUACAUUAACACUUUAAUCAUGCUCCUUUGCAUAUCAAUAACAAAUUAAUCUAAUUAGAAACAUUGGACAUUCUUGACAGAAAUUAUUUACUUACGUACACUAAUCCAAUACUAAUCACCAGGCACUGAGUGAUCAAAAGUGAUGGAAGUACUGCAUUGGAUUGCAUUCAUUCUGUCCAUUUUAGCAACCAUUCACAACCAUAUAGGCCUUGUGGAAGCUUCUACUGACAUAGGUGUUUGCUAUGGAAUGUUAGGAGAUGAGCUCCCUGCUGCUACAGAAGUGGUUAAUCUGUACAAAAAAUAUGGCAUUGGCAAAAUCAGACUUUAAUCCAAAUCCUGCAGCACUCCAAGCACUGAGAGGGAGCAAUAUCGACGUCACUCUAGGCAUCCCGAAUGAAGAAAGCCAAUUUGGCAGGAAGUCAAGGUGCUGUGAACACAUGGUUUGCAGCCAAUGUAGAGCCCUAUGUAAAUGACAUUGUCUUCAAUCACAUUGCUGUUGGCAAUGAGGUCAUUCCUGGUUCCUUGGCCGAGCACAUUUUGCCUGUCAUGAAGUAUCUACAGAACGUCAUAAAUGACAAAAACUUAGAUGGUAUUAAGGUGACCACUGUUUUGUCAGGGACUGCAUUAGCAUCGUCAUAUCCGCCUUCAAAUGGCGCAUUCAAACCAGGGGCAAGCAAUGUUAUGAGUGCCAUUCUUGCAUUUUUAUCGGCACGAGGAUCACCCCUUAUGAUCAAUGUGUAUCCUUACUUUGCCUACUCAUCUGACCCUGCCAAUAUACACUUGAACUACGCUCAAUUCACUGCAACUAGUCUUGUGGUUCAGGACGGGGCCCUGAGCUAUUAUAACCUGUUUGAUGCCACGGUGGAUGCUUUUUUUCGCAGCAAUGGAGAAAGCAGGAGGGGGCGGUGUUGGUGUUGUGGUGUCUGAGAGUGGUUGGCCUUCUGAUGGUAAUGGAGAUUUCACCACUCCAGAACUUGCAAGGACAUAUAACAGGAAUUUCUUGAAGCACAUAACCUCAAAGGCAGGGACACCAAAAAGACCUGGUGCUUACAUUGAGGGGUACAUUUUUGCCAUGUUCAAUGAGAAUCAGAAACCUGAAGGUGUGGAGCAGCAUUUCGGACUUUUUCAUCCUAACAUGCAACCUGUUUAUCCUGUGUUUUAAAUCAAGACACACCAAGUUUCAAGUCAAAUUAUGUAUCUAUAAUGUAAUAAAGACGUGAGUGAUCUUGAAAUUUGGGAUAAACAAUCAAUUCCCAAUAGUAUCUAUGUUGGUAGCAAUACAAAAUUGCUUCACCAUUGUUGGGAAAUUGUGAUCUUCUUGAUGCCUUUUAAUUAUAAUUUCAUGUUGUUUCAUUCUCUUUCUUUAUUUUUGUUUUUUGUUUCAGUCUCUCUCGGAAAAUAGCAGAGCAUUUGGAUUCUGGUAAAAUGAAGUUGGAUUUGAGGAAUCAAAGAAAUGAGAGGAAAGGGUAGGAAGAAAAUGAGGGUAUCUUUGAUUGCCUCCUCACAUGUCGGGUUAUUUAAGCCUAACAUUUUGGGUGAUGUGGGAUGUGGGGCGUGGGACGUUGGGCUCAACACGUGGACAUUAUGCUUUGAUAUCGCAUCAAAAUAUGAGCAUGCAACCCAAAACUAAUCGACAAUGAAUUAGUAAUUCAAUUCCCCGAUAUGGGAGGAUCCUCAAAUAAAUGCAGCAUAAGGUUUCAUGAAGUAUUACAACAUCGAGUUUCGUUAACUUGGUAGUCAAGUAUCAUGCUCGAUAUCAUUUCGCAUAUCAAAUUUAAAGUUCGCCUAGAGCUAGUGAUUUUCUUUUUGACACUAGAAAUCCGAUUUUUUUUUUAAUAGAAUCGUUUACUAAAGAAAAUCAAAUCAUUAUAAGCGGUGUAAUUUAAGCCUGAACCAAUAUUUUCAUUUAUUAAAGAAAUCACAGAAGAAGAUACUCUUGCACUCCAGAAUCAAUAUUUUUAUCAUUAUCAAAGUAAUAUCUACCUGUAAAUUCCUCAAGUUUGUCUGGAUUCAUUGUAUCUGCUAGCUGUUCAUAGCUUUGCACUUGUUUUAGGGAUUUAAUUACUGCCAUAAAAUACUUAAUUUUAAGGAUUUAAUUACUGCAGUAAAUUGCUUAAGUAAAUGCAUUUACUUGCUAUUAUUGGCCAACUCUUGUAAAUAUAAAAUCUCCCCUCUAUGAGAUGAAUAAUUCUCAGAAAAUUCACAGCCUUUUCGGACCGACUGCUAGCUUCUUUUAAGGUACGGGUCAUGCUAGGGAGACCAACUUUAGAUACCAACUUGUGUACCAACUCUCUAAUAGAGGUGGAGCCCACCAAUACAAUGGGGUCCCACACUCUAUUAAAAGAGUUGGUACACAAGUUGGUAUCUAAAGUUGGUCUCCCUAGCAUUUUCCUUAAGGUACAUACUGCUAGCUCCAAACUUUUUGCCUUUUUCUUUUUUUUCUUUUUUUUGUCACUCGUUAAUUUAUUUAUGUAUACUACUGCAGGUGUAAAUAUUAGCAGGCACUCCGUAAGCAGAAAGUGAUGGCAGCAGUGCCUUGGGUUGCACUCUUUCUGUCCUUUGCAGCAACCAUCCACAACCAUAUAGGCCUUGUGGAAGCUUCAGUUGACAUAGGUGUUUGCUAUGGAAUGUUAGGAGAUGACCUCCCUGCUGCUACAGAAGUGGUUAAUCUGUACAAAAUAAACGGUAUCGGCAAGAUGAGGCUCUUUGAUCCUAAUCCGGCCGCACUCGAAGCACUGAGAGGGAAAGAAAUUGAUGUCAGUCUAGGCAUUCGAAACGAAGACUUGCCCCAAUUGACAGGAAGUGCAGAUGCUGUGAACUCAUGGUUUGCAACCAAUGUAGAGCCCUACCUGAAUGACAUUGUCUUCAAUUACAUUUCUGUUGGCAAUGAGGUUAUUCCAGGGUCCUUAGGCAUCUAUGUUUUGCCUGUAAUGCAGUCUCUACAGAAAAUUCUCGAUGAUAGAAACUUGGCUGGUAUUAAGGUGUCCACAGUUGUGCCAGGGUCUGCCUUAGGAGUUUCAUUUCCACCUUCAAGUGGCGAGUUCGCACUAGAGGCAAGCAGUGUCAUGAGUGGCAUUGUUGCAUUUUUAGCACAGCGAGGAUCACCCCUUCUGAUCAAUGUGUAUCCCUACUUUUCUUAUGCAUCAGACCCUGUCAAUAUUCGCUUAGACUAUGCUCAAUUUACCGCAACAAGUCCAGUGGUUAAGGAUGGGGAGUUGAGCUAUUAUAACCUGUUUGAUGCCGCAGUUGAUUCUUUUCUGGCAGCAAUGGAAAAAGUAGGCGGGGCAAAUGUCGAUGUGGUGGUGUCUGAGAGUGGUUGGCCUUCUGAUGGGAAUGGAAAUUUCACCACUCCAGAACUUGCAGGGACAUAUAACAGGAACUUCUUGAAACAUAUAACCUCAAACGCUGGGACACCGAAAAGACCUGGUGCUUACAUUGAGGGGUACAUUUUUGCCAUGUUCAAUGAGAAUCAGAAACCUGAAGGUGUGGAGCAGCAUUUCGGACUUUUUCAUCCUAACAUGCAACCUGUUUAUUCUAUAUAUUAAAGAUCCAAGACCAAGCACAUCAGCUAUCUUAGCCUAGUGGUAGUUUUCUUCCCAACAUCGAAUUAGGUCUAAAGUUCGAAUUCCCUCCCUACUCCCUCCCAUCAACUUAGUAUAGUGGUAGUUCUCUUCCCAACAUAGUAUUAGGUCCCAAGUUCAAAUUAUUUUCCCAUUCAUGACAAAUCAUGUAUCGAUAACAUAUCAAUAAAGAGUUAAUUAUGCAUUCAAACAUCUGAAAUCUCUGUGUUUUUUUUUUCUUGUGAGUUAUCUGAUCUUGUAUUUUUGAACAUUACAACAUUGACUAUUUAAGGUUUGGGUUGGUUUAUACACAGUAACCAAAUUAUAUUAUCCUGCUCACUUGAAUGGCUUUGAAAUGAUCUCUGUUCUUUUCUUUUUUAUUUAUCUCUGAACAAGUAAUUUAUUUUUUUAAACCGGGUAAUACAAUAUCCACAAAGAACAAGAAAAGUUUCAAAACCAAGAGAGUGGUUCCCCUUUCCCAGUUGCUUUGCUCUGAAAAGGGUAGUUUGUAUUGUAUGUACCCAACAACAGGUUCUUGGGUGUAGAAAGUCUUCCUGUUGUACUUGGUCAAGGGUGCAUUAAGCUUAAAUCUCAAAACCCAGUCAAGGUUUGAGAUAAAAAGGUGACCAUACGACACUAAAAGCAUCCCAGCAACAAACAUACCCUGUUAAGCUUUUCUUAAAGUCCUAUCUACCAUGAAACCUGUUUAUCCUUUAUUUUAAGACCAGGAGUCCAAGACAGGACAGGUUUCAUGGGAAUUCAUGAGUUCAUGCAGAAAACCAAAGCUUCAUAAGGGAAAAUGGACAACUAAACUUUUGCACCUUCUGUUUGUUCACAACAUUUCCUUAUGGAGAAAAAAAUAUAAAAGGAAUGGUACAAUGAAUAACAUGCAUCCACAGAAAAUUUUCCAUUGGAUUGUCUUAGUUAAUUUGUGCACCUACAUAGAACACAGGUUAGCAUUCUAAAUCAUUCCAAAUUUGCUCUUUUCCAAAAAAGUUCAUACUUAUCUUAACCUCUACUUAAUAUAUAAUGCCAGAUACGUAAACAAAACCUCAUGUAGAUGCUGUAGUUCACCUGUGUAUUGUCUCUCAAUUAGGACAGAACACCUAAAGCCAGACAAGCUUCAUGGACGUAGACAGUAAGAAAACUCCAAGCCAGAAAAUCCAGUCUCAAAAGAGGCACAUUAGUUGAACCUUGUACUUGUUACAUAACACAUUGUUGGUAUAUAUAUAGGAGUGGACACUUAGCAAAUACUCAAGUUAGUUAAGGUAGACAGACUCCAAUUUUCGUUAUCUGGAUCAGGAAAUCUAAUCCUUCCUGCAGCAACCGGUGUGCACCAUAAAGCCGAUCAGUGUUCCUUGAGGUAGUAUCUUCAUGCUAGCUCCACACGUUUUGCUUUCUUGUGUGUCAAACAUUAAUUUAUUAAGUGCACUUAUGCAGGUUUAACAGGCACUCAGCAAUCAGAAAGUGAUGGCAGUACUGCAUUGGGUUGCAAUCAUUUUGUCCUUCGUAGCAGCUAGUCACAACCGUAUAGGCCUUGUGGAAGCUUCAAUUGACAUAGGUGUUUGCUAUGGAAUGUUAGGGAAUGACCUGCCUUCUCCAACACAAGUGGUAAAUCUCUACAAAACAUAUGGUAUUGGAAAGAUGAGGCUCUUUGAUCCUAACCCAGAAGCACUCCAAGCACUCAGAGGAAGCCAAAUUGAUGUCAGUAUAGGCAUUCGAAAUGAAGACUUACCCAGUUUGGCAGUUAGUCAAGAUGCUGUAAACUCAUGGUUUGCAACCCACGUAGAGCCUUACCUUAAUGACAUUGUCUUCAAUCACAUUACGGUUGGCAAUGAGAUUAUUCCCGGGUCCUCAGGCAACUAUGUUCUGCCUGUAAUGCAGUAUCUACAGAAGAUUCUCGACGAUAGAAGCUUGGCUGGUAUUAAGGUGACUACUGUUGUCUCAGGGGCUGCCUUAGGAGUUUCAUAUCCACCUUCAAGUGGUGCAUUCACACUAGAGGCCAGCAGUACCAUGAGUGGCAUUCUUCCGCUUUUAGCACAACGAGGAUCACCCCUUAUGAUCAAUGUGUAUCCUUACUUUGCCUACGCAUCAGAUCCUGUCAAUGUUCACUUAGACUAUGCUCAAUUUACUGCAACAAGUCCUGUGGUUCAAGAUGGGACGUUGAGCUAUUAUAACUUGUUUGAUGCCACAGUUGAUGCUUUUAUUGCAGCAAUGGAGAAAGUAGGCGGAGCUAACGUCGAUGUGGUGGUGUCUGAGAGUGGUUGGCCUUCUGAUGGGAAUGGAGAUUUCACUACUCCAGAACUUGCAGGGACAUAUAACAGGAAUUUAUUGAAGCAGGUAACCUCAAGGGCAGGGACACCAAAAAGACCUGGUGCUUACAUUGAAGCCUACAUUUUUGCCAUGUUCAAUGAGAAUCAAAAACCUGAUGGUGUGGAGCAACAUUUUGGGCUUUUUCAUCCUAACAUGAAACCUGUUUAUCCUGUAUUUUAAAGAUUCAGAACAAAAUAUCCUUCAUGUAUUAAUAAAGAUAUAGUUACACAAACAUCUCUAACAUUUUUUUGUGAGUUUUCCACUUGAUUUGAACUCUACAUCUGAAAAUUACAACACUGAGAAUUUAAGGUUUGGGUUUUGGUUUACAAAGCAAUAAGCAGAUAAAACUACCUCAGAAUCAUGUCGCGUAAAAUCAUGAAACCAAAUUUAACUACAUUAUUUAUACCAAAUAAUACAAUAUCCAAAAGGUAAAAGUACCAUUUCCAAAACACAAAAAUCAGAGGCGGGAGAGUGGUUCCUCUUUCCCAUUUGCAUUGCUCAGAAAAGGGUAGUCUGUGUACCCAACAACAGGGUCUUGCGUGUAGAAAGUCUUCCUGUUAUACCUGGUCAAAGGUGCAUUAAGCUUCAAUCUCAAAACCAAGUCGGGGUUCGAGAUAAAAAGGCGACCAUAAGACACUAAAUCAGCAUCCCUAGAAGCCACAGCAUGAAUUCCAAGCUCCCUAGUGUACCCACCACUAGCAACAAAUGUACCACGAUAAGCAUUUCUUAAAGUCCUCAUAAACACAGCUUCCUCUUCAUCACUGCCAGGUUUGCCAGAUUCGGUUUGGCCAUAUGCUGCGUAACGGGGCUGAGUAACAUGGAGAUAAGUGAGUUUUGAGCCCCAGUCUUGUUGAAGCUUGUUGAGCCUUUCAAUCACUCCAAGGCCUAGGGUAAGUGGAGCAGAGUCAACUGCAUCAAGGUGAUCAAUGGCUGGUGAGAUUCUGACACCAACCCUAUCAGCACCUACGGCUCCAACUACUGCUUGAACCACCUGAAGCAAGAAUUUGCAACGGUUUGCAAGUGAUCCGCCAUACUCAUCUGUUCGAUCAUUGAUCCCAUCUUUCAAGAAUUGAUCAAUGAGGUAGCCAUGUGCCCCAUGAAUCUCAAUUCCAUCAAAACCUACACAUCAUAAGAUUCAAAAUUAAAGCUUACUAGUAAGCACAAAGGUGACAUGCGCUUGACAAAAUCAUUGUAUGAAUUGAGAGAAACCGACCUGCUCUAAUGGCAUUCAAGGCAGCCUGUCGAUAAUGCUCCACCACUUGGAGGAUUUCAGGGGUUUCUAAGCGUCUAGGCUUAGGGUAAGUGGCAUGAGACGCAUCCGGUAAUAGAAUUCUCCACCUCCUCGAAAUGGGAACAUCGGUUGAAGAUAUUGGUGAACCCCCACCAGGUUGGUAAACUACAUCAAUUGACAAAUUACAAGUAAAAAUGGUCACUGAAAUGCUCCAAGCUUUAGACAAAAACUACCAUAAGAAUUGCCAAAUAAAGGACUAGGGUAGUUACCUUCAUGAGAAGCACGACCUACAUGCCAAAGUUGACAGAAAAUAAUGGCACCUUUGGCGUGAACGGCAUCCACCACCUUCUUCCAUGCCUCCACCUGUUCAUCAUUGUAAAUCCCAGGAACAUGUGGAAACCUGCAUCCACCUUAACAUUUAGUAUCACUUUGUAAAAUUCCCACUUCAAAUAACUUUAAGCUAUCUAGCAUAGCAUGUUACGUUGUCGGAUUGUAAAUCAAGUAAAAUAAUAGACCCGUCCGAUUAACUAACAGCCUUAAUUUAUAAUUUGAUAAGUAAAAUCCAGUAAAUUAUAAACAUUGAUUACUUAUGGAUGAGCAAUUAUAGGAAACUAGUUCUAUCUAGUCAAUAUUUGCAAGCAAACAAUUUCUAGUUCUAGUUUACAAGUCAAAGUCAACAUUAUGGACCAAAGUUCUUAGACGAAAAGCUCCUUAAGCCCAAUAGGUCCGAACUACACAAAGUGGGGCCCAACUUGGCAAAGCUUGCUAAUCAUUGAUGAAUACGAAAGAGACACUUAGCAAACAACAAAAAUUACAAAAUUACCCGGCGCCAGUGUCGGAGACCAAAGUGCCUUCGGUGAUCAGAAAGCCGCCGUUGGUUGACCUUUGAGUGUAGUACUCGGCCAGCGCCGGCUGCGGCAAGCCGUUCAACGCUCGGCACCUCGUCAUCGGCGCAAGCACCACCCUGCCAAGGUCAAAUCCGUCAAAACACACCCCAAAGCCAAACAAUUAAAUGAUAAUUAUGCCCUCCCGGAUUUCUCCCCGCUUUUUUCAAAUUCCCGAGGAAAUCGGAAACACCAAGUGGGACCAGAGUUUCAUGUCCGAUGAAAGAAAAAGAGGAGCAGCUAACUCGACUCGAUGCAGCCGCGAAACACUGGAUCAGGUAUGACUGACCUGUGAGACAGAUUGAACUUGCCCAUCUUGAACGGAGAAAAGAGAGUGGGUCCCUGAGAUGAAGCCUCCGCCAUUUUUAGUUCAGACACCGAUCUCAGAUCAAACGAUCGAAAGGCCAGAAAUGAAGUGAGAUCAAAGAAGAAUAAAAGGAGAGAGCUUUUAUAGGAGGAAGCAGUGGCGAUCGGCUCGGCUAUCAAGGGCCGUCUGCGAUCCGACGGCUGUGGUCGGUUUCUGAAGUGUCACCGUGCUAUGAUGCUUUGGCUGCUCUUGUUAGUGGGAUUUUAAUGGUGGUGGUCGGCAACUGUGGGCGGGACCCACAGAGGGAUGUUUCCAUUGCAACGGCAAUGAGAUUCACGUGCGGAUUUAUUUAUGGCCGGUGUCGUUUUGGUUUCUAACUUGGAAUGUUUAAGACGUGUUUGACCGUCGAGCGUUGACUGGACUCGGGUGUUGACGAUGCUGUAGUCUAGUCGGGUCGGGCACCGGCAGGAGAUUGAGUUGGGUUUUGAUUUUGAUAUUGGGCCAGUUACGCUCAUUAUGUCGAAUUUUUAAUGCAUGAGGGGCCUCUUUGGAAAUUGAGAGGCCUGGCCCACUAUUUUAUUCUUGUUGCAAUUGAAACCCCCAAAAUAAAAAUGCCAAAAAUGAGAUGACCAUUAAAAAUAGAAACCCUUGUUGUUUUCUUUUGUAAUGUUAUGUUGUUUAAGAGCACUGGCAGCGCAAGACCCAACCCGGGUAGAAGGGCCCCCAGGCGAGCCCAACACAGCUCCAGCGCGAGGAAGAGAGCCCAGGCAGCUGCUGGGUCCCACGAGCCCGGGCAGGCCCAAAGGCAACUUUAGCCUGGGCUUCAGCCCGAGUUGGAUGACGUCAUGCUGACGUCAUCCCUGACAGCAACCAACUGUAACAAGCCACGUGUCGCGCCAGGGACGCUCCGAUGGAUUUUUUUCCAGAAAUCCGACGGUCCUCGUUUUUUUUGCUAAAAAAAUUGCAAAAAAAUUCUGAAAAAUUCUGAAAUUUUUUUUAAAAAAUACCAAAAAAUUAUGUAUUUUUUCCCUAUAAAUACCUAACCAUUUUAUUUACUUUCCACACAAAAUCUUCAUACAAUUCUUCUCCAUCCCCAAUAUUUUUUACUCUCCACUCACAUUAUUCACUUUCCUCACCAAUUCUCCACACAAACUAUUCUCCUUCCAAUAUUUCUUACUCUUCACUCACAUUUUUCACUUCCCACACCAAUUCUCCAUACAAACUCUUCUCCUUCCAAUAUUUUUUAUCCUCCACUCACAUUUUUCUACUACUUUCCAUUUGUAAAAAGAAAAAAAAAAUCUUAUCUGAAAUAUGAGAUUAUAAUUUUUUUAAAAUAUCUGAAAAUCUUAUCUGACAUGGGACACGUGGUACAAUUUUAGAGGGUGAAAAUGUUAUAUGAAAUCUGAGAUUAUAAUUUUUUUUAAUGAAUAUCUGAAAAUUUUAUCUGGAAUAAGACACGUGGCAAUCGAGAUUCUCAUCCGAAAAUCUUUUCUUAAAACAAUGGACACGUGACAACCAAAAAUAUUAUCCGAAAAUUUAAUUACAAAAGAUUAUCAAAAUUAAUGGUUUAAAGUAUUAAAAAAAUAGGAAAUAAAGUACAAUGAAUAGUAUUUGCCCUAGACUUAGCCCUCAUGGGUGGAACCACAAAUGGCAAGGCUGCCACUAUUCAUGUGAAUAGUGACAGCCCUUGCUUGCCCUUGCCUUAGACUUUGCCCUUAGGGGUGGAGUUGCUCUAAGAGGUGGGAAAUAUUUUCAUCAACAAUUUUUGUAUCCGUCCGGCGCAGUGUGUCCGACACUAAUACAUAACACGAAUUCGACACUAGCAGAACAUAUUUUGUUGAUUAUAAAAAAAUAUAACAUGAAACAAAAUAUAUUGAUAUUGAUAUUUAAUUGAUGCGAUUGCGGUCUGAAUCUGGGACAAGGAUAAGCGUGUAAGCAAUGACUUUUCUUUUUCUUCUGGAUAAAAAUCUACAAUAUCAUUAUCAGUUAUCAUGAUGUAAAAAGAUUGGUAUCCUAUCCAUCCAUCCAUCCAUCCGCUAGAGAGAGACUCCCAAGAGUUGCAAAGGAAGACUGGUUUGAUUAUUUGUGGCCCCGAAGUCAGCAGCGAGCAGUUUGCCCUUUUGGGAAGAUGUACAUGCAUGGGAUGAAAAGUCAUAAAUAAACAGCACACCUCUGUGAUUUGACUGUUAAAUUCAAUUUCCAUUAUAAAUUAAAUAAAUAAAUUCAAUUGGGAUUCAAAGUCAAUUAAGAUUGGAUCCAAGACUUGCACAAAAAUUGAUAUGAGUAUAUUAUUGAAAAACUCCAUCCUUCUAGAUUUUUUUAUUUUUUAUUUAUUUUUUAUUUUUUCUUUUGAGUCAGUCUUUAUGUUCGAAUCUCUAUUGACAGUGUAGAUGAGAAAAUCUUUUUCUCCAAUAUCACUUAUAUAUAUGUAUAUAAUAUAAAAAACUCAUAAUUAUGGUUGGUUAGAUUCUGUCUUGCAUAGAUCAAUCUCUAUCCCAUAUUUAUGGUAAAGCUAUUUUCAUUCACAUGCACUCCUCAAUGGACAAAUCAUAAUAAUUUGCUUUCUUGCAAAUUUGGUUUGUCUCUAUUUUGCUAUGGUGUUGUUGGUAGGUGCAAUUAAGAAUGUUGAAAGCUUAAAACAGAUAAAAAUGGCUAAGGUACAACCCACAGUGUUUUGUUGCCCUAGCAAUGAUGUAGUCAUGUUGGUGAUCAGACUUGGAGCUAUCUCAAACUGAAGUGGUGUGUGGUCCCCACUCCUACAACAUGAGUAGGAAGGGAACAACUUUGUCACACCCUCAUCAUACCACACACAUCCAUGUCCAACUCUCUAAAUCAUGAAAAAUAAAAAAGGAAAUACAAAAAAUACCAACAAAAAAAAUUAUGAGUUAAAAUAUAAAUACCCUUUGAGUGAAAAGAAAAAAACCCAUUGAGCCACGUGUCCCGGUACCACUGUAUGCGGUGCAAGCGUCUACACCUCACCAACCCCCCGCUACGUCCCAAAAAUCUCCACUGAAGAAUGGCGCAGUGCGCGCCGUGUGUACCAGAUAGAGAGGGCAACGCCGCUUGUAAAUAUAUUAUUAUUAUUAUAAAAAAAAAAACUACGAAAAUUCGACAAAAUAAAUAUAAAAUUAGGAGCAAGGCGGGGCCCAGUGGGAUGCACUGCAUAGGAUGCCCAUCGUACAUCUGUUACCAAACAGGCAGAAAAAAGGGUACUCUUUUGUGAGUCCAAUUUUUCUGUUUCUAAUUUCCAUGUGCACUCCAUGUUUCCUAUCUUAUGUUUUUUUACACCAAUCUCUCCACUAAUUUCUAACUUCAACACUGUUAACUUAAAUUAAAAAAACAAAAAUUAAACAGCCGCCACCGCCCCCCACCCAUCCAACAUGGUCAGCCAUCCACCCCAUCGGCGCCAAGAAGGAGAUGAGAAGAGAUGUGAGAGGAGAGGGGUUGCCGAUGGUGGGGUUGGGUAGGGGCUGUGGUGGCUGUUGGGUGUUUAUUUUUCCUUUAAUAAUUAACUUUUAUUUUGUUAAUUUUAUUUAAAGUUAGAAGUUAAUGAGUGACAAGUGUCAAAAAAUUAGAUGAAAAACAGGAUGGCACAAGGAAAUUGAAAUAGAAAAAAAUUGACCAGAAUAGUAAAACAGUGCUAUCCCUUUUUACGCAUGUUUCUCCAAACAGACCUGUAAAUAAUCCGGAAUAAGAAAAAGUUCACACCGUUACGCGCAAAAACACAAACCAAGCAAACAAGGAAAAAAGCAACUGCCGUUACUCUGACCGUCCCUCGUUUUUCUUCUUCGCAGCUUUUUUUAUUCUUUUUUCGACGCACAUGAGGCCUCUCUAUAUAGAGAUAUAUAUAUAUAUAUAUAGUUAAAUGAUUUAUUUUCUAAGUUUUGGUUCGUAAUUUCAUUUAAUUUUUGGUCCGGAAACUCUUCGCAAUUAAACUAAUUGAUUAAAGUUUAAAGCGGAUUAAUUUAUCACCAUCAUCCUCGCUCUCUUCUCCAUUUCGUUUCUUUGAGGAGAAGCAGAAGAACGAAAGCUUUGUUAUGGCCGCCGGAGAUUUCUCUCUCUGAAAUUCUUUCUUGAAUUUUAAGGGAAUUCAGAGGUGGGUUUAUAGUUUUGUAUUUCUCUGAGUUUAUUGUGUGCCAUGUUCGAUUUUCUAUAUUCUAAAGUUGCAAUCUUUUCCUUUUUCAUCCUGAUAAUAAAUUUUCAAUUUUACAAUAAAUAAUUGGUCUGCUAUGCUUGAAUUGUAUGGUAUCUUGUUGAACAUCAUCCAAUAUAGCAAGCAAAAAGUGAAAUUUGUUCUCUUUCUCUCUUAUAUCUGGGGGUUCAGGGAGCUUGUGUAACUGAAACAGCUGGAUAUAAGAAAGUUAACUGAUCAAUUUUAAGACAAAAAGAAUAACGUUUAAAGUCUUUAGCUUUUGAGUUAACAUCUAGCUCAAGAUUAUUAAUCUUUUGUUUCAAAUUGUUGGAAAAUCAUAUAUCUUUGUCUAUGUUUAUAUGUUCAUGUGUUGGAAAUUCUUGUAGAGUUCAGGAAUACUUGUAAAGUUAAAAGCAUGGUUGCAGUGAACAUCAAAGGUUCAAGAUUUAAGUAGGAAUAGCAUGAAAUUAAUUGUUCCAGAGUUCCUGCUUUGAAUUAUAAAGUAUCCCUGCUCUAUGUGUUCACAGUUUCCUGUGUUAAUUGUACUUGUAGCGGGACAGUCUUGAUAAUUAGAAAUAUCAAUGGUUUUGCUAAUGACUUGUAUUGUUGAAGCUUUGAAUCUUUGUUAAUGUUGAAUUUUUUGAUAGGAGGGAAGCCUUUUUGUAUGGAUAAAGAAGAAGAAACUGGUAGCCCUAGUUGGGGUGCUUCGUUUUUCGCACAAACGGAAGAUGUUGCUAGAGCAGUUGCUGCUGUAGCAGCCGCUGCUACUGCCACUCAUUCUCCGAGGCCAUCUGUUGUAUAUUCAUCAAACGAUGAUGGUGGUAAUAGCCCACUUAAAAGACUACAACGCCAUGUUACAAAUGUGCUAAAAGGUUUCUCACAUCCUCCUGAAGUGAAACGUGGAACCUACAAUCCAGAAGUUUUGACUAGCCAGAAGCGCCAAUGGGCAAGCUUUCAGUUGCAGUACUUGGUAUGCAAUUUUGUUAAUUGGUUGCUUAUUUUAUUUCUUAUUUGUGUAUGCAAUUCAGAAAUUGAUUAAUCAAGAAUCAAAGAUGAUUUUUUGUUUUAUUUUUCUUGUUUACAUUGGAACAUCUUUCACGUUCAACAGCUAUACAGCUAUUUCUAAUUACAGUUGUUACUUCAUAUUUUUCUUUUAAAAUUUUUAGAAUAGAACAAUUUAAGGAAAAAUGACAAUUAUAUAUGCUCGCUGUGAGUUUAAGGGUCAUAUGAUACCCUGAGACAUUUUUGUCUGAUAGUUCAGCGGUCAUAUGAUAACCUGAGACAUUUCUUCUUAAAAGUUCAGGGUUUCUGUAUUGUUAGUUUUGAAAUACAUUCACAUAUGAAACAAAAAUUUCAUCCAAAGAGAUUCUGUAACACCUCUGCUAUUUAAGUGUGCAGGAUCAUAGGUCUUUAAAGCUGCCGACAAGGCUUUUCGAGAGCAUGGUUGUUUUGGGGCUUCACCCAAAUUGUGAUGUUCAGGCACUUCAAAGGCAAUAUAUUGCAAGAAAGCAUGAGGGUUUAGGAAGAUUGCGCAGUUCACGUAGUAGUCAGAAUUUCUCUCGUGUGGAACCCAAUCUUGAACCUCAGGUGGGGAUUCUUGUUGCCAAAUAUUCAAUUUGUUUGCAUAUUGACGCUUGCAAGCAAUUUGAGUAGUGGGUAUUAAUAUUCAUUUCUACUUCCAGGUGUUAUUUGUUUAUCCUCCGGAAAAGCAGGUGCCUCUACAAUACAAGGAUCUCCUUUCAUUUUGCUUCCCUGGAGGCGUAGAGGUAAGGUGUUCUCUUGAUGGAUGUUUUGCCACUUGUUCUGUUUAAUUGAUCAGUUUAAUUUUAGGGAUUUAAGAUGGAUGAGCUUUUUCUUUUUUUCUCCUUAAAUCUAUUUAAGAGGAACUCCUUUUGUAAAGCUUAGGUUACAGAGAAUGAUUAUAUAACUUAGCUUGAUCUCGAUGGUAAUAUUUACAAGGGUAAAAUACCUGAGCCUUUAAAUAUUGGAGAUGUUUACCUGAUAGGUUUGAAUGUAUUGUGUUAAUGUCUGUAUUUGAGAAGAAUUUCAGAUAACAAAUAAUUGAUAUUCUGAAUUAGUAUGCUUAUAUUGCUAAGGUUUUCGCAGCUUUUAUAUGGAGAACUUCUUCCGUUUAAGGAAAGUGGGGCCAGUUGUGUAAAUAUCAUAGUGCAAUAGCAACUUGAGUUUAGCCUGAUUUCUUGAUCUUCAGUUAAAUAAUAUCAUAGGCAAUAAAAGAGACGUUAUAUCAAGUUUUACUUGAUUAUGACUAGUACUUGGUGAGAGAUGUUAUUUUUGUCCUAUGUGCAGAUAUUGAUUUGUCUUGUUAAUAUUGUGUAUUUGUUAGUUAAGAUCUAGUUAGUCAUUAUGUGCUAAUAUUAACACCUUGGAUGUGAAUGGCUUCAGGUUCAUGCUGUUGAGAGAACUCCUUCUAUGAGUGAGUUGAAUGAAAUUCUUUUGGGGCAGGUAUAGUGCUACAUUAUGCUCCCAUAAUGUUGUCGAUUAAUGAUUAUGGACACUUAUAUUGACUAUGAUGAUGCUUAUUUGCAGGAGCAUUUUAAACGGACCGAUCUGUCCUUUGUAUUCCGGUUACAGGUAAAUUAUAGCAUGUUAUGUCUCCAGGAUUCCUUUUUCCUUGGAUUUUCCCCUGAUAUGUUUCAAGAUUUCUUUAUAACUUUAAUUCCCUGUGGCAGUUUCCAUUUGACUUAUAAACCCCUACACUAGUAGUGCUGGAUGAUAGAAUCAUCACUGCAGCCUGAAAAUUAUAAUUCAAACAACUUUUUGUCUAGUUGACUGCAAUUAUUAUUUGAGUUGUAUUUGUUCCCACAGAGAAGAAGAUUGGUAACAAAAUGCGAAGCAAAUUUAAGAGGAUUGAUUGUCUUCGUUAUCUUUGAUUAGAUUUAUAUAUGUUUAAAAUGUCAUUAAAAUUAACAGAUGUUAGGUAAGCCUAUUUCUACUUCAUGUGUAUGAACAGUUUAAUUUUUAGUUGUGAAUUAUGCUCAUUUCCUGGAUGACCCAUUUUGUACAAUAUUGGUUUGAAGGUUGCUGAUGACUCAACAUUGUAUGGAUGCUGCGUGUUAGUGGAGGAGCUAGUGCAAAAACCUUCUGGAUUGCUUUCCAUGAUAGCAGAGAAACAUCCUUCUCGCCCAUCUUUGAGUCGCCAUAUAUUAACCACUAAGAGAUGCUAUUGCAUUCUCUCAAGGGUUCCCUCAUUUGAAUUACAUUUUGGUGUAUUGAAUAGGUGUGUUUAUGUCAUAUUGAAUGCUUAUAAAAAACAUAUUUAUCUCAGUGAUUUGCGUUUUUCAUUUUAACUUUGAAAUGUAUUCUAAUCCCCUCUAGACUUUCGUAUAAUUAAUGUGUUCCUCUGCUAUCUAAUCAUGCAUGAAGUUGAAGAUCGUAUUAUUAAAUUGUCUGAGAAAAAAAAAAAAAAGAGAUUCAUUUCUUAGUUCAGUGAGAAAAAAGAAAUUGUAGCAACUUCAAUAGAACACAUAAAAGCUUUUAACUACCAGUUUAUCACAAGAUCCAAAUUUAUUGAGCGACUGGUGCAUGGUUUUGUGUGAGGGGAAUGUGUAUGCUCCACUGUUUGGCCCCAUAAUUUGACAUUCUUCUUUUACUAUUUGAUACCAACAUAUAACUUUGCAAUUCAUCUGUUGCUCAACUUGACUAUGUUUGCUAUUCCCCUGUAGCAUCUUCACAGAAGAAAGGUUGGAACGAUUAACGAAAGGUAUUGAUCUUUUAGAUUUAGAAACCCCAAAGGAUUAUGGCAAUGGCGAAAUUUUAGAAGAAAAUACAGAAGAAACUUCACACAGCGUAUCACUAAGUAGUAGAACUGAGGAGAACAUGGUGAAUAGAACAGCAGAGUUUUCUCAAUCAAGUUUAAAAGAUUCUUCAUUUGGGAGAGUUGCAGAUAAUGGCAUUCACCUAGAGAAUCAAAUGCUUGAUGGGGAUUUUAACUUGUUGAAGGGAAGGGUGAUUGAAAACGUUGUUGUUCCAAUUGAUCCUGAAACCAAGACGGCCAGUUCCAAGAGAGAAUCUGAUGUUGCAAAUGCUGAAGUUUCUGAGGUCUAUGUUGAUGAUUUCUCUGCAAACAAGCAAACUGUAGAAAGGCGAUUACCAAACGCUGUUCUACCUCUCCUGCGUUAUUAUCAGUAUGAAAGCUCUGAAUCUUCCUCCAGGUAGAUCAUUGUUGUUCUUUGGUGCCUUUUCACUUGUAUUUCAUGCUUUUUAUUACUUGCAUUAGUAGUUAUUAUCUUUUCUCUCUCUCACUAAUUCUUGGAGCAGAGAAUUGCACUUUUUUCUUUGAGCUACUUCAAGUUGCUGCACUCAUGCCAUUUAUUAGUGUUUUAUGCAGUUUUCAGGGCUCUCCCAGCGAGGACAGAAAUUUUAGGAGUGAUGUUGAUGAUACAGAGACGGAAGAGGCAUCUUUCUCUGGCCAAGAUGAUUCUGACCUCAUUGAUAUUCUUGAAUGGGCUAAGGUGAAAAAUGAACUUUUCCUUUUUGGAUCUAGAUAUGAUUCUAAGCUCUUUGUAACAAGAAUCUUGUGCCCAGGCGUUCUCUUGACAAAUUUUUCCCAAAUUUUCAGGCAAACAAUCAUGGAUCAUUACAGAUAAUAAGCGAGUACUACCAAUUACGUUGCCCUGCUAGAGGUUCCACUGUUAGAUUUCAUCCUUUGGAGCACUUGCAUCCCUUGGAAUAUCAUAGACCAGAAACAACCGUUUUACAUAUUGCUGGCUCAACCAUUGAUUUGAGAUCGUGCAGUACAAGUCUAGAAUUUGCUGAGGUAGAUGGUGAUGAUAGCUUUAAGAAACUUUCCAAUUUGAUAUGUGGUGGAUUUGGUUGAACUUUUGAUUGAUUAUGUCCCGGUUCCAGACAUGAUUAAUCAUUCACAUUGCAUUGCUGUUGAUUAUUAUUAGGCACAGGGUGCACUCUCGGUAGAGGAGGAAGCAACUGCAUUAUCAGUAUGGGCUAUUGCAUGCAUAUGUGGCUCCUUACGGCUUGAAAAUGUUAGUUAAUGGCUCAACAUCACAUGAGUUCUACAGACUUCAUUGAUUAUAUUGUUAUCUUUUCCCGUUUCUUGGAACUAGUUAAUAGCUUGGCCAGUGCUAUUUAAAGUUUCUCAUAGGUUAACACUGUUUUGUUGAAAUAAUUUUUUUUAAUUAAACAAAAUGGAUUUAUUUGUUUUCAACCAACAAGGUAAAUUCGUUUUGUUAUGCUGACAGUUGAAACUGAUAGUGGCGUCUACACUUAUAAGCUAAUUGAAACUGUAGAAUUACUGCAUGAGUAAAACUGGCUCCAACAUUUACAACAUUUAUGAAGCGGGAAUCAAUUUAAAAUCUCCUCAAAGGAAUCAUUAAUUACAAUGUUGUAAGAGUGGAAUGAUAUCCUGCGUAUUAUUUGUGGGUAUUGUGCAGUGUCAGAAUGUUUUCGUUAGUAUAUUAUAUUGAAUGUACAGUUAUAUGAAUGCAUGUAGAUUUGUGUGUGCCUGCUUCAUGUCUGACUUUGGAUUAUUGAUUCUCCUCAUACUUCGCAGGUAUUAACAUUGUUUGCAGGAGCACUGUUGGAGAAGCAGAUUGUAAUUAUUAGUUCCAAUUUGGUAUGUAUUAUAAAUUAUAUCAAGUUUAUAAUGUUUUGAUGAAGAUUAUCAAUCUGAUGCAUGUAUUCUUUUUUACUCGAUGUAAAUUUUAUCAGAGAAAUUUAUUGGAUUUAUUAACAUCUUGCCAAAUGCAUGUUCCAAAACAGAACUGUAUAAGUAUCAACUGCUGCUUAUUUCGUAACAAGCUGAAAAAGCUCAACCCAAAUGAAUUUAGUUGGAGGUAGUAAAGAACUGUAUAAGUUAGCCUCAGGCUAUAGGUGCAAGUUUGAACUUCCAAAACAGAGUGGCUCCUUUCUCAACAAGUCCCAGCAAGCGAGGCCUAAGGACCAGUUACACCCAUUUAUGUUGUUUAUUAGAGAUAGCUUGGCUUAGGAACUUUUUUUGAGUGACACUAGUGUUGCCAUCAUUAUUAGAUCGUAGUUUUGUUUAUUUAUCAAAAGAUCGUAUUGUUACUGUUUCAUUUGCUUAUGUACUUAUUUUUCGGUAAGCUAAUAUUUUAAUAUGGGUGUGGACUGUUCCAUUAUUUUUAAAUUUGUUCUAAUAAUUUAGUUCUUUGACUAAGAAAAAAGAUCUACAAAAGAAUUUACAUCAAUGCUUUCUGAUGUACAGGGUAUCUUAUCUGCCUCAGUAUUGUCAAUUAUCCCUCUGAUCCGUCCCUACCAGUGGCAAAGCCUGCUAAUGCCGGUAUGUUUUCCUUCUAGCCUACUGCCUGUGAGAUUUGUCCCAUGAGAAGUUACUUUUUUUAAACAUAAUAAUUUCAUUGCUGUUUUCAUGUGAAUAACAAUGUGCAUAUACUUUCUAGGUUUUACCAAAUGACAUGCUGGACUUUUUGGAUGCACCUGUCCCUUACAUAGUGAGUUCUCAAUUUGUUGGCUGUUAUGCCUAUUAGUGCCAUGGAUUAUGAAUUCAUGUUUGUUGGUUUAUCUGGACUCUGAAUUUCCUCAAGUUAUUAGUUGAAAGCAAAAUUUUUUAAUCGUUCACCAUAUGAUUUAAUCCUUAUCUGUAGGUUGGUGUGAAGAACAAAACAAAUGAAGUGCAGUCAAAACUAGCCAAUGUAAUUCUAGUUGAUGCAAACAAGAACCAGGUCUGUUGUUUUUUAAGCAGUUGUAUUUUUCUACUUAUAUUGCAGCUCAAAUAUGUUCAGACUGGUUAUUAACCGUAUGCCUUACAAUAAACAAAGCAGAAAGUUUCUAUAUAUUAGUUUACCAUUUCCCAUGCUUAUGUAUUAUCUAGUUUUUUGGAAUGGCUAGUAUUUAUCAAAAUGCAAAAUAUUCCUCUAAAAACAAAUAAAAUGCGAGUGUCUGAUCCUUUUCCCAUUGUGUGAUCUAAUAGGUGAAGUCACCAACACUACCUCAGUUACCACAACAUAAGGAAUUAUUUUCAUCCUUAAGUCCUUAUCAUGCAAAGCUUGUGGGAGAGAGUUUUUUGGCUAGGAAAAGGCCAGUGUAUGAGUGCACAGCUGAACAGGUGUGUUCUGCUUUGUUCUUUUUUGUCUGAUUUCAAAGUUUUUAAUUAUUUACCAUUAUUCUCAUGUGUUUAUUUGCCGCAUGUAGGUUGAAGCUGCCAAGGGUUUCCUAUCAGUGUUAAGAACUUACUUGGAUUCUCUGUGCUCUAACCUCCGUUCACACACAAUUACAAAUGUACAGUCGAAUGAUGAUAAGGUCAGUUUGUUGUCCAACUGUGAUAGCUGAAAUGCUGUAUAAGGAUAUUUAGGUUUUUUUGACCUUCUUUGGAAUGAUGAGUGGUAAAUAUAAUCUUCCAGAAAAAUGGCCAGGCACACACUCACAGACACACUGCUAGUCAUUAGAUAAGCUAGACUUCACUAGUAAUGAUGAUUGCUGUAAAAGUUUAGGUAAUAUAUGUCCUGAAACAAAUAUCACUAUAUUAUUCUGUUACACUGAGGGUGCAAUGUUGGCUAAUGUUAUUUUUCAAAUUUAUUUUUGUAUGCUUUACUUGUGAUGGACUAAGUUCUGUUGAAGUGUCAAUGGAACCUCAGCAUAAUACAUCCUUAUAUCAUUCACUUCGUACCUUCAGUUAUGUUGAAUUGAUAAGUGCAGAUCAAUUUGUCAAUUCUUUUGAAUGUGAAAUGCUUGCUCAUAUAUCUAGUGACAUUCAUAUGUGAAUGCACAAUCAUAUGGUGACUUGUCUUGGAAGAAUCCAAAUGUAUUGCUGCUGAUCUGACACUGAUUUUCUUGUAAUUAGGUAUCCUUACUUUUGAAGGAGAGUUUCAUCGACUCGUUUCCUAGUCGUGAUCGACCAUUUAUGAAGGUGUGUUCCAUGACAUAAUUUUCUUUUGUUUCUCUGAGUUAACUGAACAGCCCAUUGGCUUGAUCAUUCUAUAGAAUUAGCUAGCUGUUGGGAUUUUAGUCUUAUGUAUUUCCUUAAGGUCAUUAUUAUUGUUAUCUUAUUUUUUAUUUUUGCCUAUUUUCUGAAAGUAGUUUAUAAUAGAUGGUGUUGGUUUCUGUGUUCUGUGUUCGUAUUUGGAUGAGUGUAGUAUAGGAUGUCACGCUGAAGGCAUCUAAGUUUUUAGUCGAGUCAUGUAGAUAAAUCACUGAUUUAACCUCCUUUUUCUCUUCGUUUUUGAAAGUGACUUGUAAUGAUUCUUACUUCAAUGCUUACUCGGGAUGCUCUUUAAAUUGUAAUACAGCGGAAAGCAUACUGAUGUUUCCUUUUCUCCCUAAAUGCUAUGCAGCUUUUUGUGGACACUCAACUCUUUUCUGUACAUACGGAUCUUGUUCUCUCAUUCUUCCAGAAGGAAUAGUCCUAAUCUGAACAUACGCCAUGCUGAGGUCUGGCAGUGAGUUAUAUUUUCCUGUUGUAACCUGAACGUAAGUUCGGUAUGAUGUCAAAUUAUUAAGUGACAUAAUAUUCAAGAACUCAAUCUGGCUUCUUGAAAUGGCACUUCUCUUCCCCAAAUGAAAGUUGCCUGCUUCGCAUCGCGGCAUUCUGUAUCAUGAUGAACUUGUAUUCCAGCAUAUGAGAGAACUCGCAGAAUUCUGGUAUCCCGCUUGAAGUGUAAAUAGUAAUUUUGUUUUAUUUACUUGAGUUAGUAAAACAUGACUGUUUCACCGUUCCGAUUUAAUAAAAAUUUAGCGGUUGGUUAUUGAGACAUACCCGCCUUAUGCUGUUGUUCGGUGUGGCAGGCUGGUGCUUAACUUCUUGAGGAUAUGCACAUUGGUUGUGUGGGGGCCUUUUUUUUUUUCUUUUUUUUUCCCCCCCGGAUCUUAAACUAAGUUACUUUGAAUGGUGCUAACUGCAACAUUUCCUAAAAUCCUGCAAACAAAAAUAUACAGAACUUUUUCUCCACCAAUUCGACUUUACGAAGUCUUGAAAAUUUUUAGGUUUCCUGGUUAAGUUUCAUGCCAAAUCUCAUGUAUAAUUCUUGGAAUGCAUUCAGAAAUUUUACAGAGUAAUUAAAAAGAAAGAAUAUCAUACAACUUUUGAAUACAGUAACAGUCCAGGUUAAAAUACAUUAACUUGGAGGGAAGUGAAAAAAACAAAAAAAGGGUGUCUUUCAACCAGUGGUUGGGGAUACUUGAAGGGAUGUUUUUGGCUCAAGUGGGAUCAAUAUAAAAUAAAAAUAAAAAAAGGGGAAAGGUCGGUUUGCAUUGCAUGUGUUUCAGCCUGCCAGGUGAUCCAAGAACAGUGCUAGACAAUACCCUACUUGUGCAAUUUCCGAACGUACAAUACAAGAAUAGUUUCAGGGGCAAAUAAAUGCAACCAAACAUUAGGAACUCUCUUAAAUACUUUGGUUUUUUUGUUUUACUUUUAACACCCCAGCACCACCACCACUUUCAUUGAAUUCAGUUAUAUCAUCACUAUGAGGGUCCUAAUAAUGCAAGUCUUGGUCACCGCCAAUUCAAAGAUGGCCUUCUUCUAUUUUCAAAGUCAAUAUAUAUGUCUCUAUUAUUCUCAAACCCCCAAGUCAAAGUAUAACUAUAAGAGGAAAAGGAAACGCAGAGAAUAUAUUUUUCUCUUAUUUGUUUACAACUUUGGUCUGAGUUGUGAUGUAAUCUAAAUCAGAGAAGCAGUGUCUUCUGUUUACAAGUCUUGAACUUUGACUUGUUCCCUUGGUUGGUCAGUCACUUCACUUGUAUGCUUGCAAACCACUUAAGAUUAAAAAUAAAAAAAGUUUACUUGUAUUGUAUGCUUGCAAGCCACUGAUGAUCAUGGGCCUGCCUCCUGCCACAGGCCAAGGAAACCCAUUUAUUGAAGACUUGGAGUGAAAAGUUUCAUGUAUUUUAUUGCUCUCAAGUUCUCAACAAGGUUAGAGUUCUUCUGAUAAAAGUUUAUAACUUUAUAAGCUAAAGUGAACUGAGAAAAAAAGAAAACUCCUGUCCUUUGGAUCAGUAAUGACCCUUAAUCAUAAGGUUCAAAUCAACGGUUAAGAUCUGCACACUAGUUUAUAAUGCAGGAAAAAAAGAAACUUGUCUGAAGAAGAAGAAGAAAGAGAAGAAGACAAAGCAACCACAUGAGCAUUUGAAACAAAGAAAGCAAGCAAACAAUAAGAAAUAUAUAAGAAUAAUAAGUACAGUGAGGGUUGCUGUAUUUGAUCAGAACCCAAAAGCGGUCCUGCUCUGAAUCACUGGUUUUCUAAAUUUCCGAAAUUGAAAAAAAGGCCAGAGUGUAAGUGGGGGGUACUGGGGUCUGAGGUAAAGGAACAGAAAAAGUAAAAGAGUUAGUAGCAGUAAAAGCUCAAACCGUACAAUCUUCUGCUCACACAGGCAUUAGCUUCAGAUACCAACUCUAUAGUCUCUCAGACAGACAGACAUAAUAACACUGAAUAAUUAAAUAAUCUUUUUUCCUUUUUGUUUUUGUUUUUCAAUUUUUUUUAAACAUUUACAACUUCUUUAUUCACUUCCCUUUAGUUUAUGGAUUUCUGUAGAGUUGUCAGAGACAAGAGCUGCCACAGAGGCAGAAGCUUAGCUGCAGAACCAGAAGCAACAGAGGUGCAGUCAUAAUAUGAGCACAGAGGAGAGAGAGAGAGAGGAGGUGGCAAUGGCAUGCAGCACUGUAAUCAGAACCAUUAGUUUUAUCCAUGUACAGAAGAUUCUGCAGCUAAAUGGUCCCUGAAAUAAAUAUACCUACUCUACUCUCUCUGCUCUGCUCUACUCUCAAACUCAAAGGCCCUCCCUCUCCCUUUACUAAUAAUAUUGAAAUUGAAUCAUGCAAGUGCAGCCCAACCCCAUCCUGUUUCUCUCAUCUUUUCUCUCUUUCACUGCUCUGUGAAGUCUGAGACAACCAAGUUUCAUAUUUUUCUUUCCAAUUUGUUCUUUGGAGGAAACUUGCUUGCUCUUUCUUUCUGAUUUGGAAUUUCCCUGCCUCUUCAAUAAUAGUAAUGAGUGGGAGAACCAGGUUUCCUUUUACACCGUCUCAGUGGCAAGAGCUUGAGCACCAAGCUCUUAUCUACAAGUACAUGGUUUCAGGCAUCUCCAUCCCACCUGAUCUCCUCUUCUCCAUCAAAAGAAGCUGCUUGGACUCUCCUCUGCCUUCAAAGCUCUUCUCACACCACCCUCCGCAUAGUAAGCCAACUAGUACAACACCCCCCCCUUCCACCCCCCCUCCCCCCUUCUCUCUCUCUCUCCGCAUAGUAAGCCAACUAGUACAACACCCCCCCCUUCCACCCCCCCUCCCCCCUUCUCUCUCUCUCUCUCUCUCUCUCUCUCUCUCUCUCUCUCAUGUGUGUGCGCGCUAAGAAUGGAACUUUAGAGCUUUUUGAAUGAAUAAUAUUUUGGGUUUUGCUUACAAGAAGGUUCCUUGUUAUGUUUGUGUGGAUUUUGCAGUUGGAUGGAGCUGUUUCCAGAUGGGUUUGGGGAGGAAAGUAGACCCAGAGCCAGGAAGGUGCAGAAGAACAGAUGGGAAGAAAUGGAGAUGCUCAAAAGAGGCAUUUGCUGAUUCAAAAUACUGUGAGAGACACAUGCACAGAGGCAAAAACCGUUCAAGAAAGCCUGUGGAAGUUUUCAAAACACCAAUUACAACAAACUCAAACCCAUCAUCAUCAUCAACACCAACAACCAUCUCAUCAAUCACCUCCAAGAACAACCCCCCUUCUACAUCAACCGCAACCUUCCAUUCCCUUUCUUCAUCACUCUCAUCACUGUCCUCUGACUCCCACCACGCUCAGCCCAACCACUCUAGUUACAAUACCAAUCUUGAUCAUCACCCUUUCCUCUAUCAUCACACAUCUUCUUCAAGGCCUCCUGGAUUUGGUUUGUCACAUCAAGAAAGAAAUACUUCCUUGCUUCUGGACUCUGGUUCUUAUCCCCAAGCCAGCUCAGAAUACAGGUUUGUCUAGAAACAACUCAUAAAGUUAUGGUACUUAUUUUCAAUGUGUUUUAUGUUAUUUCUUUGAUUAUUUAACCUGUUCGUGGUUAAAAUUUUGUUUUGUUUUUUGUCAUUCUGGGAGAAGAAAUAGGUAUGUUUAUGGGCUGAAGGAGGAGGUGGAUGAGCAUGCAUUCUUCUCAGAACCUUCGGGGUCUGUGAGAGACUUCUCUGGCUCUUCAUCUAUGGAUGACUCUUGGCAGUUCACACCACUGACAAUGAGUACUUGCACUUCUUCAUCUUCAAAACAGAGAAGCUGCUCUGCUUUACAGAGUGAACACUCUCACUUGCAGCUUCAGAGCAAUAUCACUCCUAAACAGCAGAAUUACUAUGCUUUGGGUAGUGACAUGAAAAUGGACAGAAAUGAAGGAACCCAGAAAACCAUUCAUCGCUUCUUUGAUGAGUGGCCCCUGAAAGACAAAGAUUCAUGGCUUGACUUGGAUGAUAAAUCAUCAAACAGUGGAUCAGUUUCAAACACCAGGCUCUCAAUCUCCACUCAUGACUUCCCCAUCUUCAGCUCAAGAAAUCAUAAUGGUACUUACACUGUUUAUUUUCAGUUUGUCAAUUAAUAUUCAUUUGUUUUGAGUUAAUUAGCUAUACUGUUCUUGAUUGUUCAGACCCAGUUGUGAUCUUUGUCUAUUAAGUUCAUUUUGUUUGGUUUUGCAGAUGACUGAGUCUCUCUCUCCAGUACUGGUUUCUGAAUCAAAGGCCAAAACUGUACUUACCUGGUGCGUCACUUUAAUUUUGGUGUUUGGGUGUUUGUGUGUAAGGUCUAAUUACAAAUUGACUAUUUUCUUUUAUUUUAUUAGCUGAAUGUGGUUGAAUCAGAUUAUUGUGUUUUAAAUGAAGGAUCCUAUGUCUCUGGCCAUCUUGGUUUCAUGUCCUACUCUACUUCAUAUAAGAGGUUCCAAAUGAGUCAGCCAAACCUGUUUUAUUUUUAGGCUACCAUUUUGAUGUUUUGUUUGUUUGAAAUCAUAAUUGAGGGGACCCAAUGGACCCAGGAUUUGCUAAAUAUUUUGUCAGUUCUGAAUCUGAGCUUACACCAGGUUAUGUUGGCAAAGAGUAAACCAUCCUUGUAAGUUGUAAUCUUCAAACCAGGGCAAGCAUUGAUCACCUUAUAAAUAUAUCCACCAGCCACUAUACUGGGAAAACGACUCUUCAUCAAAUGGCUUUUCCCUUCUUUCUUGGUCCCUGUUAAAACAACUUACUUUGUAUAUAUAUAAUAUAUAUACAUACAGUAAAAGAAACCAGAGAAAAGAAGAAAAAAACAAAUUUCAGAAGAAGGAAAAGAAAGAGAGAGUGGUAUUAGAUGCACGUGCAGUAAGCAGUGACAGUAGCAGAUGCAGAUAUAAAUCUGUGUUUAAAAUUGUAUAAGAAUCCGUUUACAAAGCUGAGGAACCAAACAUAAAUUGGCGCACGCAUGUUUUCUUUGAAAAGAUGCCAACCACUCUGCUGCUUCAAAUCUUAGAUCAUGCAAGUUUUAUUCACCCAAUAUCUACAAAAGAGCUAGCUGCCAAUUCUUCAACCCAUAUAUUAAAUAGGACAUUUAUGUUGGAUCCUCAAGCAUGUUAAGCCUAAUAAAUGAAUCUACAAUAUAUUUUUUGUUGUUUUUUUUUUUUGGCACUCACUCUUUGGUAAUAACCCCAUUGCAGUCUUAUAUAUAUAACAGAUACUGCUUGCCUCAUUUUCUGUUUUUUUUAAAAAAAAAUACUCUUUCUUCUUGUGAAUUAGAGUUUGACACAUGGAAAAAUAAUUCAUCAAAAAUACAAAAAAAAACUCUUACACAUGUCACACUGUUAUUGGCACGAAUAUAGGAGCUCCUACUUACAUAGCAAGGAGAAAAGUAUUUUCCUACGUAACCAGAUGUAGCAUAUGUUUAUUUGUUUUAAUUAUUAUUGUUUUCUUGGGAAAAGCUUGAAAAUCAACUUAAAAGGGAAAAAGGUGGAAAAAGACCCUUGAAUUAAAUAUUCUGAUGUUAUUGGAACUAGAGUAAACUGGGUUCUUAAAAGUUGAAACUGCUGAAACAGUCCUGAUCCCACUCCACAAGAAAGAGAGUGUAUGGGCGUGAAAGUUGUUUAGUCAUAUAGAAAUGAGGCAGCCAAAAUAGGCAGAAGGGAGAGGCAGCGAAGCUUUAGCAGAAACAGCAACACUAAUCUAAUCUGAAUUGUUCUGAGGCCUCUGUUGGGUGAGUGGGUCUGUGGUUGGAUACUUGGAUUGGACCAGAAAGAGGAAAGAAGAGUCUGCAGAUUUCACCAUCUUUAGAGACUUAAAAGGACUUCUACACUCAUAUCAGUUGGCAGAUAACUUGAUGUGCACUCUCAAGUCUCUAACACCUCGCAGUUUCAAAAAGAACAAAAGUGGAGAAGCUUCAUCUUAUGCACUGUCGUUUCAACUCAAGGAGAAAUCUUGAAAGGAAAACUUUUAGAUGUAACUAAGAUUUUUCAACUCAAACAUCUGAAAAUGUUGAGACUCUUUUGCUUAUAGCCACAUCUCAGACGCAUGUGGUGAUUCUAUGGUUCAACCUCCAUGCAUGCAUCUAUCUAAGACUGUCAAUCGCAAUGAGAUGCCCUCCAGAAAUAAGAUCAUCUAAUCACUAGAGGUUCAGUCCCACCGGUAAUAUGCCGUGGUGCAAUUCUGGUGCACAUGUAUUCGGACAAGCCCAGGUUUUCGAAGUACAGAAUAAAACACUCAAAAUCUUACAUUCAUAUGCAUAUGAGAUGAUCGCGGCCGCGGGGGGGAGGGGGGGGGGGGUGGGGUGUGGGGGGUUGGUUAAGCACUAGAAAUGAGGAAAUGAAGCUUCUAUUAGAAUUUUUUUCUUUUCUCUAUUUAUUUUUUAAAGUUACAGAAUACAUGAAAAGAAUUCUCAGAACUCUGGGGAUCACAAACAGAAACUAUAAACAAUGCAGUGAUCCUCAGUGAAUAACUCAUGCCUUCAUAUAAAUAUAUUUUUUGUUCAAAAUUGCAAGACAUAUUUACUCCUGAUUCCGUAGAGCUCAAGAUGAUGGAUCUUAAUCAUCAUCAUCAUCAAGAGCGGCCUCUCCAUUCACUUUAUCACCGCCUUCUCUGCCUUCUCCAUCACUCCGUAACUCUGCAGAAUUUUCUCUUACAGGACUCGACCCCGGCUGCCUCUCUUGUUGCUCAUCAUCAUCAGAUUCUGACCAUGCCCGCCUUCGUCGAACUGUGGUUGUUGAAGGUGCAGCCUAGAACAUAAGAUGAAUAUGUUACAGCCAGCAGGAAGUGAAACAUUUAGUCUCUCAAUGCAUUUCAGCAAGAAAUUUUCAGCAGGUUAGAACUCAGACAUGAGAAUGUAUAAAAUUUACCACCUCAUCCUCGGCAUCAGAAUCUUCAAGCCCAGCUGCUGCAAGAGGAUCUUGAACAUUCUCUUCAUCAUCCUGCUCAUUCAUCUGACCAGUAGGCUCCCUGUAAUUCGUGUUGGCAUCUUCAUCUUCCAGUUCUUCCUGAUCUUCCAUCAUAUCAGCUUCUGCUUCCAAUGUGUCGUAACGCGACCUUGAGUAUUUGUCCUUCUUUCUCCUUUUUCCACCUUUUCUCCUUCUCUUUUCACCAUUCCCGCCCUCCUCAUCAUCCAUUUCUGAUCUUUCCCUUCGCUUAGAACCAGGUGUACUGCUCUUCCAUUGCUCCUGAAGAUGCAAAAAGCUUGGGGCAAUUAGAAACAUGAAAUUCUUCAACCAAGUUUAGAUGUAAAAUAAAUAAAUAAAAGCUAUCCACUUCCUGUAUCCUUCAGCAUCCAUCUAUUUUCUAUGAGAAUGGCCUGUUUGGAUACUACAUUAGCAUUCUCAGAUCUAUACAGAUCUCUCUAGAACAGCAGAAUUAUUCAAAGAUAUAGUUCUUUGAUGAUUUUCAUAAUACAAGCUAACUAAUCUUUGAUCUGGUGCUCACAGUCGAGCUUGGUAAUAUAAGACUUGAAAGAGAACUGCCACAUUCCAAAUAGGGGCAACCAAGAGGGAAGUAUCAGUAUAGACAACUCAAUUAUCAAUCUUUACCUUGACGCGCUCAAACUGUUCCUCCUGUUGUCUCACUCGCUUCAGUUCGUCCUCUUGCAAUCUUCUCUCCAACUGUUAUACAAAAGCAUCAAUAAAUGUAUGAUGUAAACUCAUACAAAAGUAUUAAUACAUUAACCAUCGUCGUACACAGAAUGAAGCAACUUUCAAAUACCAAACCUGAAAUUUCCUCUGUUCUUCAGCCUUACGACGGGCUUCCUCAGCCAAUGCCAUCUGACGAGCAACUUCUUGUUUGUGCCGAAUCUUCUGCUCCUCAUGCUCAGCUACUUUAAAGUGAACUCUCGCAGCCUCAAGCAAGUGACUACAAUACUCAACAUGGGUGUCAAUUUUUUUCUCAUCAAACCCAUGAAAGUGAAGGCUGGAAGCAGCAGACAACUGUCUAAAUAAGCGAACAGCAUUUUCUAGCUCUGCAACUGUUGACCGCACCUAAAACAUUGAUACAAACAGAAAUUUAUGUGCUCAUGAGAGAGAGAGAGAGAGAGAGAGAGAGAGAGAGAGAGAGAAUGAAAUCACAAAUUAAACAUGCAUUCAAUAAAUAUACAGGCCAAUCAAAUUCCAAAGAAAUAGCAUUACAUAUAAUCACAAAGACACUACAUUCAACAGCCACCGCGUAUCAGGAAGGGAUGUCCAAUAAUACUACAAGCUGUAAGAACAGUUGUGCAACGUGACAGCCACAGGUUGGCAAUUUCUCUCACAAAAUUCUUAAUUCAGGGUUGACAAUUUCUCUAAACAAGAUAAAUCAUAAUAGGGUAAAAACAUGAAAACAGGUAUGACUAUGACUAUGAGAUAAAAAUGAAAACCAGAUAAAGUAUUGGUGGUGGUAUUGUUGAUUUUGUUGUUGUUGUUGUAUUAUUUAGUGUUAAAAAUAAUAUAUUUUUUAUUAUUUAUAAAAAAAAACCGUACAUAAAAUGUUCUCAUAUAUGCAAAAAUCAAUCUAAGACAAAUCUAAAUGAUCAAAUUCUAUUAUCUCCUAGCCAUCCUUCUUCCUGCUUCUUAUCCUACAUCAUGAUAUCCAAGGUUGAGCCACAUUGAACCACACAAAAAGCUUUUAGUGUGACAACAAAUGUAAGGCAAGAAAUUUUGAGAAGGUUUUCCAUCAAACCUCAUCAACAGAUUUCUUUGGCUUUUGUAAGGUUGAAGCUGAGAACUUUUGCAUUACAACACCUGCAUCAAACCUCAGCGUGUAAUUUGAAGGUGCCAGAUGAAUGGCUCGCAGUAAGUUCUUUUUGCAGUCUUGCCACUGCUCAGCUUCAUAGUGGGUACGAGCCAAAUAGAGUAGAAUCUGAGAGUCUGUGUUAUUAAAGAACUUUCUCAAGCAAUUUUGGUACUGCAAGACAACAAGAGUCAUCAGCACAUGUAUACGCCAUCAAAAGAAUCUGGCAAAAAGAGAAGAAGCAUAGAACAGAGAUGAGAUGAAUUCACCAUUUUCACAGCCAAUGCAAAAUUGCCUUGAGCAAAAUAAACAUGUGCCAAGUUUAUCCACACAUCUGGCAUCUGAACAAAAAUGUUCCCACUGGCAGCUUCUUGAACCUACAAUAGUACAAAUGAAAACAGUAAACCAUUCAUGUACUAAAAUGAGGUACUGUAUAGAGAUAUCGAGAGAUCGAUCAUACAACUCACCUGCGUAAAAAUGUCUUUUGAAACAUCAAAGUGACCCUUCUCUGCAAAGACCACUCCAGCACCAUUGGCAGCAUACAAAUUAGCAGAAUGUUGGGCUAGGACCUAUAAGCAUGAGAAAACGAAUAUUAGGUUUUUGUAACCGAAAAGAAAUGAAAUAUCAGGAUUUCUGUUACCAUGGUUGACAAACUCUAGAUUCAAAUAGUACAAAAUACAAAUUGAAAGAUUUUAGGAAUGUCAACUAAUAAAAAUGGUUCACAGACCACACCUAAAAUCACCCCAAUGAUAAAAUAAUAAUGCGCAUUUACAUUCAAGCCAUAGAGGUCAUAGAAAUAAUUAAUCAAACAUGUCACAAAUAACAAAAAGGAGAGAGAGAGAGAGAGAGAGAGAGAGAGAGAGAGAGAGAGAGACAAAAAAACAUACUUUAGUGUAGAGUUCUUUGGCUUUUUCUAAAUGCGUAGCUUCCAACUUAGGAGCUCUUUUCUCAUUGCGAAUUGCCGCAAAGUAGUUCCAGUUGCCCUUGAGAGUGACAAAAAAGUGUAUGAGAUGUAAAGAAUACUAAAGUAACAACUACAAUGGCAAAUGUGUUUCCCAUUGACGCAUAGAAGAUGCAAUUAUGAAAUAAAUUUUAAAAUAAAUUUUAAAGAACACCAAAAGUCAUCAUUUAUGUAUUAUAUAUCUAAAAAGAAUUGAGAGAAGCAUGCACACUAAAACAAUACACACCAGAGAAAGAGUGGCAUAGGAAUCCUUCCCCUCGGUUGCUUCACUAGCAGCCCGAAAGGUUUCUUUUGCCUUAACCCAGUCAUCAUUUUUCAAUUCCAAGUCACCAAGCAUUAAUAGUGCAUUUGGGCACUUGUUAUUCACCUUCAGAGCAUCAUUAACCUGUAGAAAGAGCAAGUCAAUGUUGGAACAAUGUGCGCAUGCAUGUGUGUGUGAGAGAGAUAGAGGGAGAGUAUUAGGACAAAGGGAGUUAAAGGUAUAAUAACAACCAGUUCAAUGCUUAGUUGAAAAUUAUUUCGAGCUUUCGCAAGGGCAGCCAGUCUCAGAUAAGCAUCUACAUAGUCUGGGUACUGCAAAGAAGAACAGAGUUUAAACAACCCAAGAAAGAAAAAAAAUUGAACCAUGACACAUCAAAAGGUCAGCUCCGCAGGUGUUUUUCUUUAUUUAUUUAUCAGUACUUUGUGGUAACCUUGGUUUUUUGUUUGAGCAUGAAAAAUUCCAUUACUAGCACCAUGAAGUAAGAGAUGCAUCGUGGUCUUUUCUAAGUGCCAAAUUCCCAAUUACUUAGAAUUGAAGACCAGGUUCUAUGUUCAUAACAACAUGGUACUGGUAAACAUGCCCAAUUAAUUCAGCAUCUGCAUGGAAAUUCUUCUCUUUGAGACGGUCUAAAAUCUAAUUUAAGUUCACAUCACCAAUGACAAAAAGUAUCAACAUUUUUUUUUUACCAAGUUUUAUACUUUAAUUAGAGCAACCAGAUGGAUGUAAGAAUAUAAUCAUGUAAAACAAUUUUCCUCCAGUGCUAUUACAACAUAAAACAAGCAUAUUCAUGCACGUGCACAAAUAGAAAAGACGUACCUUAAACAAAAUGAGACGGUACAAUAUACUUGCAGUUUCAAUGUUAUGCAACUGCUCGAGUAAUCUGGCCAGGUUAAAUAGUGUUGUGACUUUAUUCCAGGGUAACUCGACUAAGUGCCCCUCUUUCUCAAGUUGAUGAAAUAUAUGCACGUCCUUGUAUUGUGAAAUAGAUGCAUUAGCAUCAAUAGAUGGGGGUUUUUCUUUACCAUCAAUGAAGGCAAGCCAUAUUCCAUCACCUAGUGCCUCCCUGAAAGUUUGCUGAGCAAGCUGACAGACAGAAGAAUAUACAAAGAUAUCAAGCUACGUUUGCUUGGUGUAGCAAUUACAAUUAUCCGGGUAGAAAACAAACAAGCAAUCUUAAAACUACUCAAACCUACACAACAUUUUAUGAAAGUGCAAAAUGUAGAUGCUGAUACUUAGCAUCUGCCACACAGACAAUUUUAAUUGCAUCAAAGAUAUCCUUGGAGAACUGCACAAACCUCAAAUUCACCCCUCUCAAAAUGAAGAACCCCAAGAUUGUUAAGAACUUCAAUUGGUACUUCUUCACCUUCCUUUUUCAAAAGAUUACGUGCCUGAAGUAAUAAUUGACAGCUUAAUAAACCUUCAAAGGAAAUUACUAGAUUCCAACAAUGAAGGAGAAAAAGAGCUCCAUUUAAUAUAAGGAUGAUCAUUCUUGUUAUUUAGGACAGAAUAACAAGAAAUCCAUACCGUUUUUAGGCAAUCCAGAGCCGCUCCACCAUCAGAUGAAAUCAACAGUUCUCCUAGGUCAAGAAAUGCCUGCAUUGCAGUCCGAUAGAAAAAAUUAAAAUAAAAGUUUGAGCUAGGAUAUGGCUCGCCAUACAUACUAAAAUUUCAAGAUGCAUCUUCAAAAUGACCACAUAACACCUCAACUCUAUUCAUCCAAAAACAACUAUUAUCAUCUUGGCUAUGUACAGAAACAUCCUGUUUUAGUAUGGGCACAGGAUGUGAGACUCAGCCAGUUGCUAGAUAACCCAUGAGGAUACAGCUACACACAAGGGUUCCAGUGAGCAUUAUAAUAAACAUGUACCAUCAUUAUCAACACUAUUACUGUGUUUCUUUGUGAAGACUGAAGAGCAACAAAGACAAACAAUGAUGAAAAAAGUAUAUACAAGGAGAACCCCUAACCAAUUGGCAUAGCAAACCUCUAAUAAACGGAGACACAAAUGUAAGAGUGCCACACCAAUAAACAGGAAAGAAAAUAUCAGACACGUGGACUGUGGGCAUAGGUUAUGUUAGCAAAUUCACACAAACCAAUUCUCACUGGGGAAAAAAUCCACAAGGACACAACUCAUCAAAGAAUAAUAAAGAGGAUCGAUAACCUGGGAAUCACAUGGGUCAAUUUUUGUAGCCUUCCUCAUAAAUUCCAAGGCCUUCUCAGUCUGUCCAAGCUGAAAAUAUAUGUGCCCAAGGACCUAGAGAAAAGGGAAAUUAGCAAAGUAAAUCAAACUAACAGAAAAAAUAUAUCAUUGAUGCCAACAUACUUUCAUUUCACGUUUCAACUCACUUUCAAUGCGUCACAAUUAUCAGGGUACACCUCCAAAACCUUUUCAAAGUUUGAUAGUGCACUUCUAAGAUCUCCCAUCUUCAGUUGUACCUGUCCCAAACCUGUCACCAUGAGCCCAAAAAUUAUGCACAGAACUAGGUGAAUGCAAACAAUAUUACAUCAAUAUAAACCUGCUUCUCCGUGCAGAUUUCAGCAUACUACCGAAAAAUGUCUUAUUAACAGACCUAGUUGAAGUAUGCAUGCCAAGGAAAAUGAAAACAAAAGAUGUGGACUUAAAAAGAGAAAUUAUGUUAAAGUCUUGCAGAAGAUAUAUUACAUUAUAAUCAUUACUAAUACUAUGCCAAAACAUCAUACUCAGGCAAAGUAUAAGCACAGAAGAUUGUAAUGAUUGAUGGUAACUGACCAUAAUAAGGAAAUACGAACUCAAGGGGUUUACUGAUUUCCUUGACAGAUGCCAUGUAGUACACUCCAGCCUUAUCAUAGUCCCCCUGAAAUCCAGUGAAAAUAAACGUUUGUAACAUUUGUGAUCCAAUGUAUGCAUGACUGAAAUGUAUAAACUUGAUGUCAUCAAAUCAAAUGAGGCCACAAGACUUGCUAAUAAUUUAUCUUCACUUAUUUGAAAGUGUUCGUUGCCAGCAGUAAGUUAGUAACAGUAUUGAUGACAAUUUCAUUAUAGGGCCACCUUAUGCAUUUGUUUAGCUAGGAACCACAAUAGCUGGUCGAGUAGCAUGUGGAGCUAAAUGCUGCCUAAGAUAAAUCACUAAUGGAUGAUCAACCACAUUUAAACACACACACACACAGAAGUCGCCAGAAAGCAUGUGAUUGUACGGAACACAACUUCCUCCGCCUCAAAAUUUCCAAUCAACACAAUACAAAAAAUGUAAAGAACCCCUUAAUGAUAACAAGAAAAGCAUGACCUCUUCAUAAACAAAAUAAUAAUAAUAUCAUGCAUAAUAUUUUACUAACCUUGCUAUGGUAAGAUCGUGCCAAAUUGUAGUAGGAAUGUGACUUUGUCGGUCCAUGGUUGGUGACAGCAAGUGCAGUUUCAGUUAGUUGCUCAACUAGAAAGUGCUGACCAGUGUAGAAAAAAUGGUUUGCCAAAUAAUUCAAGGCCAUUGCGCAAUAAGGGUAUAUCUCAAAAGCUCUCUGCAUUUUUUCCAUUCCUCUCCUUAUUCCAGCAGCUGUCAAGUACAAUAUAUCCUGAAUAUUAGACUGCUCGAAGGAGAGAAGUAUGGACAAAUAAUAACUAUCAAACUAAACACAAGUGCAACAUAUAGAAAUGCUGACUUGUAUGGUUGUACCUGUAUUUGCAUGCAAAUCCAUAAUCGCAAGUGCAACAAGAGCCUCAACAUUUUCUGGAUCUAGCUGCAAGUAUAAAUUCAUUUUGUUAGAAACUGCGGCAUUUAACACCUUCACCUUAUAUUAAUGCAUCAUUCAUUCACUGAUAUCGCUUGCCUGUAAAACCCGUUGAAAGGCCUGCCGAGCUUUUUCAAAUUGACCCAUUUUGUAACGACAGAGACCUAUGCCAAGUCUUACAGCCGCAGGACAAUCGGGAUGUACUUGCAGGGCCCUCUUUAUCAAAUUUCACAAAAGACAAGUUAAAUCAACAAUUAGCGUUCGUAAAAGAAAUAUCUUCACAAAAUUACCAAAUUUCUACACUGCAGACCCAUAACCCCAACCAAUUCAAAUACAAAUAACCAAUUCUAGAGGUUCAGACCAUAUACAUUCUUGUGUUCUUCCCAUUAGCAAACAAUGGGAUGAAAAAUACAAACCUUGUACAGCUCCAAUGAAUCCGAGUAAUGCCCACGGUUGAACUCAACGCAUGCCUGCAAAUAACAGGGGCAAUGUGUUUACAACAAAUGAAGCAUAUCUACACUAACCAAGCCCAACCCAAUUUGGUCUCUCUUGCUCUCUCUCUGGGACAACCAGCUCUGUUAUAUUUCAAAUGAGUUCCCCCUUGGUCUUAAUUUAAAUUCUAUUCCGUUAGCUGCUAUCUAACACUAAAAUAGUCACUCCCAUGUACCAUUGCCAAUUUUCUGGCCACAGGGCCAUGCUCAUAGAUCAUGGAUUCACAGCUAGCCAAGUACCUCACAUGUUAAAAAUUUACACCCAUAAUCAACACGCUUUAGAAAGAAUUAUUGAAAGUAAAAGAGACAGUGUUCAAUAUAUGAUAUACUGAUAAAGCCAAGACGAGGAAGAGCAAUAACUAAAAAACUAACUAUAUCUUCUAUUUUCCUUAUCAUAUGCUGAUAUAUUCAUCACAUCUUUAUCCAUGCGAUCUUUGAAAAUGGGAAGCAUAAUUAUUUUGCUAAGCAGAGAAAUUCAAUGUAUAUACCUGACCCAAAAGGGCAGGAACGUUGUCCCGGUCUCCAUCUAAUACAAUCUUGAAUGCAGAAAAUGCUUGAUCAACUUCACCUUUAGCCAAUAAGAGCUGACCUGAAAGACAGGUAAUAAAAUUUCAAGUAUCAUAGGAUGCAUCAUAUAACAGCAGCAAAAAGGUUGCCCCUACAUUAUCUCACAAUAUAGAUCCUUCUGUGACACUCAUUGAGAAUUUAGACACAUAAUAGUACGAGUAAGCCGUAGAUGUAUUAUAGACCAAAACCAGCAAGUUUCAGAACAUAAAUUGCAAACACAAAGAAACUUUAUGUGCCAUACAGACAGAAGGAUACACAAAAUUUCUUUGGACAAAGAGGCUCUGGGGUAUCCACACCUUUCCCAACCCAAGUAGAAGGCUCAUGAAUGUCGAUUCUAGAUGCUUUGUUGUAAAAUUGUGUAGCUAGAAUGAAAUGCUCCUCCUUUUCUCUCUGUUUGGUCUCAAUUUUUCCGAGGUAGGUGUAGUAGGCCCCUAAAGCAUUCAAGAUCGCAAUCCUCUCAUAUCGAACAUCAGCAUAAUACUCAUCAAUCUCUGCACCAAGAAAAAAUAAUAAUAGCCAACAUUACUCCACAAUUUAAACACAAUUCGAUAGACAUUAAGCACCUAUAGCAAGUACGAAACAAAAAUUAACAAAUAAAACAAUUUCGGAUAUUGCAAGUGCCGGGAAAGAAUGAUUACCAGAGCCAGACCCUUCCUCCAAAAUCUGGCGGAACUGCUCAAGUUUUCCUUGUUUGAAAUACUCUCUCUGCAGCAUUCCCAGUUAAAAAGUAAACCGCAUAUUCAUCGUUUUGUAUUAGAAAAAUAAAUACAAAAUUCACCAUUAUCUUGCAUUAGCGUAAAAAUUGAAACGUAAUUGUUCAGCAACUCAAACAAUCAUGCCAUGAACAAAACAUUAAGCAUAUCCUCUAACAGAAAAGGCAUUUAAAUCAAAAACUAAAAUGCAAAAAAGACGAACCGCGAUAAUGAGCCAGAGAUCGAGAGAGGCUUGCUCGGCUUUGAGAAUGUCGAUGAUAUCAGUAGCUUCCCUUGGGAGUUGAUCCAGAACCACCCUCACUUCCUCCUCUGAAUUCUGAACCGGUAUGUACACGCACGCCAUUGAUUCCCCCAAUCACCCAAAAGCCCAAAAAUAAAAAAAAUAAAUGACAGUUUAUCCAAACGAAACCCUAACUCUCUGUCUAUCUCUCUCAACUCGUCUUCGGUGAACUGGCCGGAGGGCGAGAACGGCCACCAAUUAGACGCAAAGAACGCAACUUUUCUUCGCGUUUGAACUUCGAAGGUUGUGCUGUGAGAAGAUGAAAACCGCUCACACAGUCACUGUCUUCUUUAUGGUGUUUCUCAUACUAUACCAAGCUCUCUGUUUUAAAAUACAACCGAAAGAAAUAGACUUCUUUUUUCUUUUUUUAAACCGCCUCGCGCUAAAACCUAGUCCUUUUGGGAAACCCAAAAAAAGAAAAAGACCAAUUUACUCAGCUCUCUCUCUCCUCUCUCUCUUCUCUCUCUCUAAGGCUUCAUCUUCGUCAGCGGCUCACGGCGACUAUAAAGCCCUAAGCAGAACGGUUGGAAUCUGAGACAAUGCCACUGAAAUGGUAAAGAUUGAAAACCCUAUUCUUAGGUUCGGAGUAUUAUGUAUAGUAAGUUUUGUGUUUGAUUUUCUUUUGGGUGCAAUUUUAGGGUUUUGCAUUGGCAGCCCAAUGCAGGGACGACAGUAAACAGCCAAAUCAUCAACGAAGUAACGCAGUGCGUUGAGAGCAUCAAUGGCGUUAAGGAAGGCAGGUGGAAAGCCACUAUCACCUUCUACAAACCCAUGAUUCGAGGUAAAUUUCUCAUCUUUCGUGUUUUCAAUUUUGUUUUUCUCAAUUUUGUAUUAUGGGUUUUGUCAAUUGUUAUGAAGUUGGAUUUUGAUAUAUAUGUACAUAUAUGUACAUCAGAGCAGGCUUUAGCAGGGGACUUCCCGCGUGAUUUUCUGGGGAUUGCGCUGCCGGAACAACCGAACAAGUACUACCUGAUAAUCCGAUUGCAGCGCAUAGUUCUUGAGGCUGAUUCAUCUAUUCAGAUGAUUAUGGAGAAAUUACAGUCUUACAAAUCGAGGGUCUCUCUUAAUUUUGAGGUCCCCUUCCUCUCUCAAUUAGUCUAAUUAGGAUGUUUAAUAUCCUGAUAAUUUGAGGUCCAAACAGAGAAAAUGGUAUUAAUAUGAUUCUAUGUUGGUGUUGUAGGGAUUUCAAUAUCAACUUGGGGACUUCCAAUUAAGAGUGGGGAAAGUUCUUCCUACUCAUUCUGAAAAUUUGAGAGGAAUAGUUAUGGAGGUACCUCUAAGCUUGAAAUUUGUUGGAGAUUUGAAUACUUUUUUAUGGGAUUUUCCUUUUCUAUAUUUGGCAAAUUUUUUACUAUUGGAGAAGUAAAUAUGCAUUUUGUAAUAUCUGAGAUUGAUAAGGCUUUUAUUUUAUUUUUUGGGCAGUUUGCCAUUGAGAAAGUGCCUUUCGGUUUCAUUUGAGUGUGUUGGUGUCUAACUUUGACUCUAUUUACCACAAAAGCAUGGGAUUAAUAUGCCUAAAGGAGAGAGCUAUAUCACAGUAAAAUUAACCUAUGAAAAGUGUGCAUCCCCCAAAUGUGUUUUGGAGCACUUUAUAGUAAUGCAUGAUGGAAGUAGUUUACCUGUUUAGCUACCUUGAUAAGAGUUUUCUCACAAGAUUGGAAUACAGGCUGGAUUACUAUUUGCCGAACAAUGUGAAUUCCAAGCUCUCGUUAAUAUAUGAUGUUGGUUUCAUGAUGAUUAUGUUCGGCAUGCAAUUUAUAUAUUGGCUUAGAUUGAUUUCUGAAUCUCCCUGUUGACUUUGAUUAAUUUCUAAGAAAAGGCAAAUUUUUUUAACUACAAAUGUAUUUGGUUUCAGAUCAGUGCUUUAGCAUAGGAUUGUGAUUGUGCUCUAUGAAAUAUUUAGCAGUGUAUGAAUUUGCUAGUCUUCAGAUUGUUGGUCCUUAUAUGGUCUUUUUUCCCCUUGUUUCCCCAAGUACCCUUGACUAUUUGUGUGCUAAAAUGACUGAUAUUUUAUCCAACAUCUAUUUCAUAUUUGCUAGAUGUUAAUAUGGGAAAUAUUUUCAUGCUGUCAUCGUCUUGGAUCCUUUUAAUUGAAGUUGCUUGUGUUGUACAGGUGGAGUACCUUCCCAUUUCUUCGAUGGAAAAAGCGAGGCAAGUCAUGGAAGACUUUAUGGAUAUAUGGCAACAGGCUUUGUCAAAGAGAUCAUUACCAGGGCACUUUAUGCACAUGGAACCAAACUUUGCUGAGUAUGGCCUUGCAGACCAGUAUACUUCACAACAUACUGCUGUCCAGUAUGCUACUGUUAUGGCUCAACUAAUUGCAACAGUGCAGGCAGUGCAAGCAAGAAACUAGGAACUGAAUAAGAAGAAUUUGUUGUUUGUCACUUGUCAACUGGUUUUAUGAAUGGAUAACUUCAAUCCCAGUUUCUUUGGGACUCACACUCCCUCUGUUUGGAUAGAAGAAAAUGAGGGAGGAACGAGGGUCUGUACACAGGUUUGAUUGUUCAUGGAAGACAAGAAAGUAAAGGGUUGGGUUCUUUAAAUGGAAAAAUAGACUUCUUCAUUACCCUUUGUACAUCACAUUGUUAACUUAUGCUUUCGAGUAAAGCUGCUUCUCCAUUUAUUUCGUGUUUUCCACAUCCCAUUGAAGAGGGCGAAUGUCCACAACUUAGUUCUUAUUUCUCUGACAACUAGUAUAAACGUAUCAGAGAGAUUUUUUAAAGAAUAAAGAUUUGCUAUUUUGAUAAACAUCUUGAAAUAACAGGUAGACAUACAUACACAUGCAAAAAUCAAAUAAAGAUUAGGAGUUGCGCAUAGCAUUUGCCCAAGUUUAGAAAGAAAAUAUGACAAAAAUAGAAUUCAAGAAUCAAAUUUGAUAAGAGAAAAAUGAAGAAAAAAACUCAGAAACAAAUAAGGCAGCAGGCCUAAGUUUCUCGAAGUGGGCCUUGCCACUUUUUUUUUUUUUUUUUUUUUCUCCAAACCCAUGGGAGUCAGCAAAGAACUAAAAAGCCGAGACAACCCUUUGCUUUUUGCACGUACUGAAAGAUGGUGUGCGAGUAUAAAGGGGCGCACGUCCACGUGAAGGCACACAGAAGCACAGCUUAGGGCCUAAGCGGCGCGCUAUAAAAGCUGGAUUUGUUGAAAGCGAGAGAGGGGUUUGGUUUGGUUUGAUUAGCGUUAGCCACCCUCUCUGCCUCUCCCACAGUCAUCACUCUGCUUCAUUCUCUUUCAUUACAGGUUAGCCUCCAUCAUCAUCAUCAUUAUCAUCAUCAUCAUCAUCAUCAUUAUCAUCAUCAUCAUCAUCAUCAUUAUGCAUAGAAGAGGCCAAGCAACAGCCUUGGCACGAACCCACUUGACCAAAAUCUGGUUUUUGCAUUUGUUAUACAUGGGCUGAUGAAUUUGUUGUCCUUAAUUUUAUUUUUUUGUUUCCUGCAGAUUGUCAUUUAAUCUCCAAUGGAGCCAGAACGAGCUCCCAGGAAGGUUUGUUUGAUACCCUGCUUUUGUUGAAUUAAUGUCCUUUGUUUUUCUUUUAAAUUCUUCAAUAGUUUUACUUUUGUUUUCUUCUGAUUUUCUUUGCUCUGCUGCAGAUGAGAUUCAUACCAAAAGCUCCCCGCAGAGUGCCAAAGCCUGAAGUCAAAACGUAUUUGUCACUUUUUGUUAAACUUGAAAGUUGUACCCUUUUCUGGUUUAAUCUGUUUCUUAACUUCUGUUAUUCUUAAUCUCUCUAUAGCGAAGUGGACCAUGGGGCGGAGGAGUCUGAUGCUGAAAAGGCUAAGGAAUUGCUGAAACGCUUCAAUGUAACUGUGUUUUUCAUUGAUAUGGAUGUCAUGGUUUCAAUUUCGUUUCUGAUCCCCAUAUCUCAUGUUCUGUUUUGUUUGUGUGUUUAUGUAUGUUUUUUUUUUUUUUUUGGGUGCUCUUUUCUUAUAGGAACAAUCAUCAAGGGCGAGGCUCAAAGUUGAAAAGAAAGGUAAGGCUCUUCGGGUUUAAAUAAGCCUGAUAUCAAUGCACACUUGUUUUUUUCAUUUUCAGUUUACUCAAUAACAAGUGUAUAACACAACAUAUGUAAUUCUUCACUUUUAUUUCGGCAUCUUACACCUGCAAUUAACUCAAUAAAGUUCAAAUCAAAUAAAAUAGUCAAAUAAUAUGUAGUGGAGUUGUGAUCCAAUGGAAAAUAUGCUAUAAAAUUUGUAUCUUGUGGAUAUUUUGUGGGAGUAGGUUGAACUUGGCUUAAGUAGAGGAAAUUUGCAUGUCAUGAUAUGUAUUCUCUGAAUAAGAUAAUAUUUCCGUACAAUUUGUUGGGAUUAGAAUUCUCUGUCAUUUAUUUUUUGAAAUUUGCAGUGGUGCCUACGCAAAUUGUAUUUGGUUAUGGUGGUGCAUCAACAACCAUGAAAUCAUAUGGUGCUCCCAAAGGUGGGAGCGCUAGUUCAGCCACCAAUGGUAUAGUCUCCUUCAAUGUACUCUUUUUGUUUAGCUGCUAAUGAGAUGCUUCUAGUACAUCACCUUGGAUGGUGUUUCUGCAGCUGGUGCCUCAGGCGUGAAAGAGGAGAAAGAAUACAGUUCACCAUGGGUAGGUUACAUUAUGAUUCAAAAUAUACAAGCCAACUUGACUAUGCAUUAUUGGUUUCUGGUUUCUGCUUUUUCUGUGAACGUCUGUGUGUGUGUGUAUGACUUUAGUUAUUUUUAUUUUGGAUGUUGUUGCAGGAUCAAUACAGUUAUUACCCUGUAACUCUUCCUCUGAGACCGCCAUAUUCUGGAAAUCCUGGUAUGUUUUGAGAAAAGCAUAGGAUUAUCAAUGAUGCAACAUGGCACAUUAUAGGUUGUCUAGUCAUUGCCUUUUACCUAAUAGUAUACGCAUUUACAGGUGGUUUGAGUCGUUCUUCUUUUUUUUUGGUUUUGUUUUGUUUUCCAUCUGAUCAUUUCUGUUUCAUCUACUGUCAAGGUGAAAUUCGACUUGUGUUACAAUAAAUGCACCUAAUGUUCUACCUAUACCACUUGCAGAGAUUCGUAAUGAGGAAGAAUUUGGGGAGGGUUCAGAGGAAUCAACUUAUGAUGAAAAUUCAACAACACCAGCAAAUGAUCUUGGGCUAUUGGUUAGUAAUCCCACAAUUGAAAUUCUAACAUUACAUGCUUAAAUCCUUUGAUUUACUUUUGAUAAUUUGUUGGCAGGAGGAAAAUAAAGCAACAAGUAUGUUCUUUCUUCAGUUACCGCCAAAUAUGCCUACAAUAAAACGAUCAGCUACAGCAGAUAGUCAAGAGGUAACAAAAAGCUCAGGGCCACCUGGAGGUGCACGCAAUAUGCAGAAGCCUUGUUCUUUGUCCGAGUUACCCGCUGGCUUCAUGGGUAAGAUGCUGGUGUACAGGAGUGGUGCUGUCAAGAUGAAGAUAGGAGAUAGCCUUUUUGAUGUGAGUACAAUUUCAUAAUAAAGAUGAAAAAUGGAAUGCCUUCUGUUGCCCCACUUAACUGUCCAUGCUAUUAUACAUGCAUGAAAUAAUCUUAUAUUUUUGCACAUUUUAACAAACUCCAGUUAACUUUUAUGUUGCAAUUAAUUACUCAAGAAAAUAUUUUUGUGCACGUGUAUAAUAAUCUUAUACUUCCUUCUUACCUUUUGAAUUGUUGCAGGUCUCCCCAGGAAUGAAUUGCGAUUUCGCCCAGGAUGUUGUGGUUGUUAAUAAAGCAGAGAAAGGCUGUGGCAUUAUCGGGGAGCUGAACAAGCGAGCCAUAAUAACCCCAGAUGUAGACUCCAUUUUAGCAAGUAUAGAUGGUUUAUGAUAGUUUUUCCUCAUUUGCAAUACAAUUUUGGUUCCUAGGUCUAUAUACCUUUGAGAGGGAAAUUAUCUUUGUUAGAAACUAUCAGAGAAAAUAGUUGACAAGUUCCAAUAGCAAGACUAGUUAGGAAUUUUUUCCAGUAUACCAGCAGCCACCAUAAUAUGCAGAACAGUGGAUUGUUUUAUACUCAUUUCAAAUGAACCUAUUGCAACUAAUCGUCUGUGUCUAAUGGCAUUGAAAUAAAAGUCAUAUCCUACCAUUUAAGUAUAUAUGCUCUGCUCUCUGUUCGAGACAUUUGUCAAUUCUCCUAAGUUGAAUGUAUUUGCUUUAUAAAAUUAUUGUAACAAACCAUCCUUAGGAGGUGAAUUGGCUCUUGAACGGUUGUUGCCACUUUCAGAAGACACUGAACUUAAUGAGCAAACGCAAAAUCUCGACUUCUUCAUUAUGAACAAAACACAUUAUGGGAAAUAUAACAGGCACACAUUUUUAAUAUCACAUUAUUGGAAGUGAAAUUUAGACAUGGCAGGCUUGUCCAACCUAGAGUUGGUGUAACAUAAUUUGAGCUCCAUGCUGUGGUUGAAGAAUGGUAACAGUAUAAGGAGCAUGAGUGUAAGAAGGUGAGAGCUCGAAUGAGAAAUGUUGCAGAACCAUAGCCAAAGCAAGUUUUGCUUCUAUCAUGGCAAAGUUUUGGCCUAUGCAGGUCCUUGGACCCCAGCCAAAUGGAAAAAAUGCUUGCUGAUCCUUCGAUGCCUUUAAAACUCCUGCGGAAAAUCUCUCUGGUUUGAAUUCCCCUGCAUCAGCACCCCAAAGCUCCGGAUCAUGGUGAAUGAGUAGUGUUGGCAGAGUAAUAUCAACUCCUGCUGGAGCAAUGAUGUCCCCUAUUUUGGUUUCCUUGUAAGCAUGUUGAUACUGAGCAAUCGCCGGUGGAUACAACCUGAGAACUUCAUUAAGUAUCAUGGUUACCUGCAAGAGAAUUUUAUACAUGUAUGUGAUUGUAAAGAGAAAAGAGGAUGCGUUAAUCACCCUUGUAUGUGAUUGCAAAGAGAAAUACUCACAAUCUUGAGGUGGCCUAGAGCUUCAAAAUUAGGUUCUUUUUUCCCACAAACUUGUAGGACUUCUUGCCUUGCCUUUUCUUGCCAGUCUGGGUGCAUGGCUAAAACAAUCAUGGUCCAUGUUAGCCAACUUGAGGUUGUUUCUUGGCCAGCAAGGUAGAACUGCUUGCACUCUUCUAUCACCUCUUCAAUUGUCAACAUCUCAUUGCUUCUUGUGUUCCUUGCAGUUUCUGAAAAGUCCGUCUGAUUAUUAGACUGCAAGAGCAUGCCCAGCAAGUCAUCAACCCUGGAUUCUCCGGCCCUUAUUGCAUUCAUUUUCUUCUGGAUUAUGUUUCGCAGCAUUGAUGUGAUAUCUUUGGCCAAUUUCUUUCUCCUUUGAUUCUUUUUUGUUGGAACAAAUCUGUAUUAAAUGGUUAAGAUGUUAAUUUUCUCAAGAACUGAUAUUAAAUACUAUGCGGGGAAAUAUUAGGCAAUGGAAAUGCACCUGAAACCAGGAAUGUAUAAGGUAGUCAUUGCUUCAAAUGUUAGCACAAGAAGCUCUUUCUGAAGCUCAAAGACCCUCUUCCCUUCUUCAUAGGUGCUUCCGAAUGCAGCUCGAGAAAUAACAUCUGCACUAAGUUUCUGGAUUUCAGGCCAUAUAUCCAUUUCCCAAGCUCCUUGAAGAGGAACCAUCCUCUUCCACUGCUCUAUCAUUUCCCCACAACUAACUGCAAAAACUGGUACCAUUUCCUACAAUAAAAAAAAAAAACAGAAGAAAUGACUUAGUCUGAAAAAGAAUUGAAUCUGUAAAAUCAGAAAGAGAUGUCAGGCAAUAGAUAGAACCUGUAGCCUUUCUAGGUGGAAAGCAGGAUUGAUUAUCCUUCUGUGUUUGGCCCACUUCUCACCCUCUAGACUUGCAAGUCCUUUGGUCAGUAUGAGAAUGAGAGGGUUCAGGGGUGGCUUAUUGAAGUGACCUUGCUUGUUAGACAAGAUUUCUUUCAUCAUCUCUGUAUCCAUGAUGAUCAGUCUUGGUGUUGUCCCAACCCAAUACAUUGAUAUCUUCCCUGUGAUCAAUAAAUUGGGAAAUUAAGAGAUAUGAACAAAGACACAAUAUCAGCUGACAAAAACAUAAGCAGAACUAAUUAACAAGGUGGUUACCAUAUUUCUGCAUAUUAGUUAGGGUGAAAGGGUCAACGCGUGGCGUAACCUGGUGAGUUUGGCUCAUAGGCUUAGACCAUGCUUCCUUUAUGAGCUUCACAAACUCCUUCAUGUCUCCAAUGAGUGGCCUGUAAGGGGUGCCUCUAAUCCCUUGGCGCUUCAACUGCCUCUCAAGCCAUUUGGGUUUCCACCAAAUGGAGUAGGAAACUCUAGCAGCACCAUACAACAGCAGAACCAGUGCAAGAGAACAUAAGAAUACUACAUAUUCUUCCAUACUUGAAAAACUGAGAGAUUCUUUGAGUGCUAGAUAUGAAUGAUGGUUCACAAACUCAAAACUUGAGCAUAUAUAUAGAUAUUGCUGGAGAGUGAGAGCUCCCUUAACGUUAUUUGUAGAAGAUGUUUGAAUUUUGAGCUUCCAGUCAAACGUUUAUCUUGUAAAGGAAACAACUUGUCAAAUCUAAGGUUGUUUUAUAUUGUUUAGUUGACAUUUUUGUUGCCAAAUGAUGUUUAUGUUCCUUUGAUUAAUUUAUCUCUUGGGGAGAAAGGAACAGAGUACUAUUGGGAUUAUAAUAAUCCUGUGAUUCUGGAUACGUGGACAUGCUGAUACAACUUUUGACUUUGUGUCCGGCAAUGUUAUGUGUUUACUUGAGGCCCAAAUUUGUAUUUUGAGUGAGGAACAAGCCUAGACCCACAAAAAAUAAAUAAAUGUAUUUUGAGUGUGUAGACAAAUUAAUAGUAAAAUACAAAAUAAUAGAUAACGGAAAGUUUCAUCAGUACUUAGCAAGCAGAGAUAGAAGCUAAAAAAAUACAAUUCGCAAGUGAAAAACAGAACAUUUAAUUAACCUAGUUACUUGAUUAACGAGACCUCUUCCAGCAUUGAGAAGAGAAGUAACACUAGACUAAUUGAGAUAGAUGCAUGAAAACUAAUUACCUAAUUUGCCAGUUUUUGUUUUUCAUUACAAUGAUAAGAAAACUUCGUCUGCCAUCUGUUUACCAACUUCAGUCAACUUCAGUCAUUUGUCACGCCUUUGUACUUCUUCUGGUGCUGUCUGAUCCUGUAAAUCAUUCAAAUAACCGCAAAUAUAUAACAUGGCACACAUAGAUCCAGCUUGUUCUGCCCUCUGCACAGCCAUUGCCUUUGAAAUCGGACUAAGUAACGCCGAUCCUACCACAGCCGUCGGAUGAUAAGACUUUAUCACGCAAAAUCCACAGUCAAUGACAUAAUGAAUACCAGUCAGCAUUAACAAUGAAGUUUCAGCUACGCUUGUUGCAAGCACAACCUUCCUGGCCCCUUGAGGUGUAGGCUCAAGAGCUUGUGCAUGAAUUAUGGGACAGAUAAUCAGCUGGCCAUGGCCGCAAGCUUUUGUUAAUUGCCUCAACAUUUGGUCAACGGCUUCAAUUUCUUGUUGACCAGGCAAAAACACCAAUAUGUCACCAGGUUAUUGUGUGAGUCGUGAGUCGUGACUGUGUCACAUGAGUUUCAAGUGUUCUCGCCACUGCUUGGUUCACCAAGCCUUCUUCCAUCUUCUUCAUGUGGCUUAUCAGAUUCCGCAGCCUUCUUCGGGGAAUUUUGAAAACCGGAGCAGAAUCAAAAAAGCCACUCAAUUUCUCGGCAUCUGUUUCAGUUGAACAUGAAAUCAGCAGUUUAAAAUCACAUUGCCUUGAUAGAGCAAUAUCCUUAAGUUUUCCCAAUAAAAUAUCAGUUGAUAAAGUUCUCUCAUUGGCCUCAUCCACCAUCACCACACCAUAUCCCUCCAAAUCUGCCUCACCAUCCAAAUAUUUCACGCUAGAAGAUGGUGCAGAUGCCAUGCCCACCACUGUUGAUGAGAUUGGAGGACUUAUUAUACCAAAUUGUGCAAGUAAUAGGAUUACUUACGACCCAAGCAAACGUACUGAACCAAAUUGGGCUUUAUUUGGUACCAAAAAUAAAAUAGUCAAAUUGGGCUCUUUAAUUCCUCCUUUCACUGCCUUCCAUUGAUCCAGUCCAAGAAUUAGGGCCCAUAAAAUUGGGCUGUGUUUGUCACACUAGGACUUUAGUCAAUUAAAUUAUAUUUUUAUAGGAGUUAUUACCAGUACAAAGUUAUUAUUGGACUAUUAUUGUAGAAUCUCCCGAGUUGUUAUUGGCGGUCCAAAAAACUCAUCGUAUACUCUCCAAUUGUAAUUUUUCCGAGCUCUUUCUUUCUAGGGUCAUAACGGUGAUGGAAAAAUCAAAUCUAGUUGAUCCAAUAUUUGUCCUUCUACUAAUUCACAUUUCAAACUGUACACCAAACAAUUCAAAAGAAAAGUGGUUCAGGUUUUUGUCACACUGUAAAAUCUAAUAUAUUUCCCUUUGCUUUGCCUGAUCCAUUAUAAAUUUUAUAGUUUGGAUCUGGCUAGAAAGAGCAUUCUAAGCUAGAAGUUAAUCUGGGUCUAGCUAGAAAGAGCAUUUCUAGCAUGCUUUUCAAAAGUCCCCUCCAUAUAUGGCAAGAGUUGGUGAAAACCAAGUCAAUAAAAAAUCAAAAUAGUAUUCCUUCUGAGUCGGUAGAAGAAAAUAGAUGUCCCUUUAUUAAGUUUCAGUAAAACCCUAGCUAGCUAGCUCCUCUAUAUUCAGUCUUUUACCUUUUUUGAUUGGUGCGUUUAGAGAUGCAUAUGGUGAUUUAGAGUAUACAUGUUAGGCAGUUUACUUGCCGUAUGAAAAUAAGUAAUUGACUAAGCUCAAACCAUAAGGUCAUAGGAGAAAUACAUUGAAUUUUAACUUUUCUACGACACAUUCACCUGCUCAGUAUUAACGUAUGAAAAUAUCAUUUUUGUUGAGUCGUCAUGACCUAUUGAAUGAUACAUUUAAUAUAUUAAGUGGUGUAAUGAAAUAAACGGAUUCCAUGAACUAAAAAUGCUUCAACCUACAAAACCAAAAUUUUGACUGAAGAAGAAAUACCAAAAAACCUCGAGGGUCACGAUGCUUCCAAAUGACAUGAGACAUCACUUUGUCAAAGUUAACUUUGACAAUGUGUUACUAUAUUAUUAUAUGCAAUGAUGAAAACAAUCCAAUCUAUCUUCAAAAAUCAAUUUAUAUCCAAUAUAUGAUGAAAGCAAAACACAAGUUUCCACAAAGUUAAUCUUGUAACUCAUUGAUUAACAGAGUGAAUACAUCUCUUACGGUAAGCUAUGCGUCUUGCUAAGAAAGAAAAAGCAAAAAAAAUUGGGUGCUCAUUGUUAAGAUUUCAAAAGGACGGAUUCUUGGCUCAUUACUAAUAACAUCAAUAUUGUACCCACUUAACCACUUACAUAUUCGGCAUUUGGAGAUGUAUAUGGUGCGCUUAGAGAUGUAUAUGGUCAUUUGGAGAAUACACGUUUAGCAGUUUACUUGCCGUAUGAAACUAAGUAAUUGACUAAGCUCACACCAUAAGGUCAUAGGAGGAAUACAUUGAAUUUUAACUUUUCUACAACAACAUUCACCUGCUUGGUAUUGACGCAUGAAAAUAUCAUUUUUGUUGAGUCGUCAUGACCUAUUGAAUGAUACAUUUAGCACAUUAAGUGGUGUAAUGGAACAAAACCGAUUCCAUGAACUAAAAAUGCUUCAACCUACAAAAUCACAAUUUUGACUAAAGAAGAAAUACAAAACAACCUGGAGGUUCAUGAUGCUUCCAAAUGACAUGAGACAUCACUUUGUCAAAGUUAACUUUGACAGUGUGUUACUAUAUUGUUAUAUACAAUGAUGAAAAUGAUCCAAUCUGUCUUCAAAAAUCAAUUUAUAUCCAAUAUAUGAUCAAAGCAAUACAGAAGUUUCCACGAAGUCAAUCUUGUAACUCAUUGAUUAACAAAGUGAAUACGCCUCUUAAGAGUAAGCUAUGUGUUUUGCUAAGAAAGAAAAAACAAAAAAGAUAGGGUGUUCAUUGUUAAGAUUUCAAAAGGAUGAAUUCUUGGUUCACUACUAGUAAUUUCGAUAUUGUGCUCACUUAACCAUUUACAUAUUCGGUAAGUAUAGAGUUUUAUCUCAAAAAAUUUCAAUACUAUUAAUAAUAGAAUCAUUCAUUAUAUUUUAUAUAUUUUAUAUUUUAUUUGAUCAAGCGUACAAUGUGUAACUUCAUAUUCUUCGACAGCUCAUCUAUAAAAGAUUUCGUUGCUUGCCAUGAAGAUCACAUUGCUUCUAUUGAACAGAAAAAAUCGACAUGAGCUGACAUCAUAUCUGAUUUGAUAAGAUUUUCAAAUAUAAAAUACCCAAAGAAGGGAAAGUGAUAUGAAUUUACUACAAGUGUCCAAAAAUAUUCUUCCUUCAGAAUUAAUUCAACCCAUUGGUAGCAGAAAAGUAGAGGGAAAUAUACAAAUGCAAGCAAGUUAAUGAAGAAUUUAGACAGUAGAAUAAUGUUAGUAUUGCACUUAGGUAGAUCGGAUAGAAAAAGGUGUAUGCUUAAGCUUCAAGUAAAGAAGGUGUAUAGAAAUGAAACUUGUGAUCGUAUAUAUCCAAUAUUAUUAUUUUUGUUAAUGGUUAAAAUUAAUGGGACUAAUCUCAUUCUUUGUAUUUUAAUUAUUUAUGUGGACAAAAAUGUGCUAAAGGUCACAGUCUCGCAUAUCAAAAGUAAAAAUAAGAAAACAUAAAAAAUAAUAAUAAUCAGUCCUACAUACAUGCGAUGAACGUAGUAAACCGCGAUAUAAACAGGAAAAAUUGAUGGCAAAUGUAACUGAUGUAUUGAAAAGAACAAGAAAUAAUUGAUGGAUGGAACUUCAAAUUGAAAGUAUUGGUCUCUCUAUUUUCAAUACCUAAUUGAGAUUACUCAUAUCUCAUGCCAAGGAACACCAAUGGCAAUGUGUAUCCAAUCUUGGGGGACACCUUGUAUUUCUCCCUUAAUUAUUGUAUCAUAUUUACAUACAUCCAUUAAUGUGUAACUUUCAUUAUAUUGCAUAUGCAUCACGCCUCACAUGGUGAGUUCUGAAAUAGUAACUUUGUGUCAAACACAAAUUAUACAGAUGAGAUGGAGCUUAUAGAAACAGAGAUGCGAAGAGGUAACGGAAACGCGUUAUCGUCAGUUUUGCAAAUAAAACAAAAAAGCCAUUGAAUUAUUUGAGCGCUCCAAAUUUUAUGAAAUACGGGUAAAUGCGGAUGCUCUAAAUGCAUAAGCUCGGGAUCAUAAUUAUCACAUGUUGAAAAUAUGAACAUCUUUAAGAUAAAUUUAACAUCCAUGUCUUCCAAUAUUUGUCAAUCAUAUAAGUUAUAAUAACAAAUUACCAUGAAAGACUCUUCAUGGAGCUAAGGAUCUAGAGCGCUUAAUUAUAUCAUCUAACUCUCAAACUUGUUUAGAAGAUUUGAUUUUGUUUCAUGGACGAAGAGUGUUAGAUGUUGACCUGUAAUUAGAUUUUGAUUUUGCUUUUGCUGCUGGCCACCACUGCCACCCCAAGUUGGGUAAAUAUAAUCAUAUUUUUUAUCAUUAUUUUGGGCAUGUUUGUCCUACAGAGGAAUCGUGGGCCCCCAUCUUCCCUAAAGGCCUAAAAGGCUGACAUGAGUGGGCCCUCUCGAAGUAUAGAAGUCAUUUGUGCGAUAGACACGUGAUUGCUAGUACUGAGAGACAGAUAAGAGAGUGAAUGUGUGAAUUCUGAUUAGGUGUUCAGUUACCUACAUAAUUAUUAUGUUUUAUUUAAAUAGAAGCACAAAAUCAUAAAUUGCGUAAAUAUUAAUCCAUCUAUUUAGAAUAAAAUAAUAAAUAAAGAAUGCUAUUAAACGAAUUCUAAAAUUAAUUGAGUACAUUUUACUACUGAAUUAUUUAUUAAAUUAUUAAUUUAUCCUAAUAUAAAAUGACAAAAAAUAAUAUAUUGAAUUGUGAAAAAAAAUAUAAUUUUAAUAAGUACACUCUACUCACCAUAUUCAACCAUAAUCAAACGUAGAGAAAUUUUUGUAUUACUUGGUGCCAGUAAAAAGAUUUUGAGUCUGUUUCAGCGAAAUGAACAUCACGAAAGUUAUCUUAUUUCAAGUACCAUCUAAUGACUUAUAUAGAUUUUCUCAUCAAAUUUCGCCUUUCAAGAUGAUUGGUGCUUAACAAUGAUGGCCUCCUAUGUCUACCUCAAGAACUGUAACUGUAUUUCGGUUUGAAGACUGACGCUGGCCUAUUGGGAUCACUUCUUUGAUUAUGUUUCUCUGUAAAUCAAUUUAGGCCCUCUCUUCUUUUCACUGGUUGUAGUUUUAGCCCCAUUUUCUUUCCAAUUGUUUAUCUUGCCUUUCCAUUUUGGUAUCGGCUUAUCAUCAAAUGGAUCUCUUUAUUGACUUGCUGUUUUAUGAAAUCACAUCUACUUUCGAACAAAAAAAAAAAAGAUUGGUGACAAAAGAUUUGGUGUUCCGUUGAAAAGAGAAUUAAGAUGAUGAAGAUUUGAAUUGAAGGAGCUAGUAAAUCUACUCCUACAGCAGUUUACGAAAUUAAAGAUUUUGAUGCAAACUCAAAAUCUGAAAAGAUGACACGAAUUCAUGUACAAACAUAAAUCUGGUUUAUGAUUGGUAUUAGGGCGUUGUGUGAUAGAUUGUAUUAUGGUGUACUAUGGGUAUUUUUGGUAGUUAAAUAAGGUGUACUUAGUUAAAUUUGUAUUUUGAUUAAAAUAUUAUGAUGUAUUUAAAUCAUAAGGUGUACUCAUUUAAUUUUAGGAUUCGUUUGACAGCACUCUAAAUAAAUUAAGAGGGGAUGUAUAGAAUUUUAUCUCAAUAAUGGACAAUUGAUAUGAAAAAACCCAUAAGGCAUGCAUGAUUGUCUAACAUUUUGGUUUAAUAAACCAAUUUAGCUCGUUGAAUUUAUCUUAUGGAUUGUUGACCUUCAAAGUUUGGGUGGAAAGACUAAUUGGUUUAAUAAAUCAUUUUUAACCUCUUGUUUUUAUGGCAUUAGUCAUACUAGUUUUAAGAAAAAAGGUGUCACACUCACACACAUGCUUAUUUUUUUUUCAAACUUCAACUAUUUUGUUUAGAACAAAGCUUGACUCUUCAAACUUUGCUCGAGUUAUGUUUGAUUUAUUUUGAAUUUAUCAUAAUUAAGAAGAAUGAAAAAUGGAAGUUUUUUUUUUUUUUUGGGUGGUGAAAUAAGGGAUUAACUCCUAAACACGCAAAAACUAAAUAACAAAGAAAUCGAAGUCAUUGUCUUGAUUUGAGAUAAAUUAUACAUGUUUAAGUAGGUUCUUAACAAUUUUCCAAUAUAAUUAAUUACACAAAUUGGACCCCAUAAAUAAAUGUUAACCAUGUAUUCAAUGGUGAAAGGGCUGAAUCUAUCACCUCUUUUAUGGUCAACAUCGAUGACUCUUAGCACGAACUGUACCAAUUUUGUUGAUUUCCUUCUCAAUCAUAGGGGGGGUCCUCCACCCAUUCACGUGUAUCAAAAUCAUUUGUUGCAAUGCUUGCCUUUUCUCUUUUCCCUUCUUUUUAUAGUAGGUAUUUUCGACACUGUAGAUGUAGUUUAGGUCAAUGAUUAAAGUAGUGUCUACUCCUUGCAUUUGAGUUCGAUUUCCCACUUCGCACAUUAGAAUAAUUUAAAAUAUACCUUUGUAAAAAGAGUUAUACAUUUACCGCGAGACCAUUGCCUUCUCUCCGAGUGGAAUUCAAAAUUUGAUUUCCAUUUGUUAAUUCUUAAUAAAUAUCUAUUAACUCUUGAUUAAACUUAACGGUGAGGGAAUAUAAAUAAAGAUGAUUGGCACUGUUUAAAAAAAAAACAAAUCACAGCUGUCUGUGACAAUUGACAGCAACAAACAACGAUCAUACAAAUUUUAAUCACAAUUUGGUAAAGUCCAAGUUCGUAUAAAAAGUUAUUGUUCCAAUGCAGGACAUAUAAAAUACACCAUGAAAGCAUAUUCCAUCGAUGAAUAAUGCACCUCAAAAAGCAACUUAAAUAUAUUUUCUCCUGGAAUAAUAUAAACAAGAUAAAAGUACGACUGCAACUGAUAAUAAAUAAAUAAAAUCUGAUUUAUAUAAUUAAGGGUCCUCCACCACUCAUUUAGUACAUCUUAAUUGGUUUGAUUUUCGUUUUACGUAAAAGUGGCAAGAAAAAUAUAAUUAUUUUAUUAAUAAUGAUGGCAAAUUAUUCAACUACUCUCCAAGCCAUUCUUCCCCUCCUUGAUCCCCAUCGAGAAAAGAGGUCAAGGAAUGGAAAUUAAGAACCAAAUUUGGUUGAACUUGAACACAAUCGUGGCUGCCAACAUUCAAAUGCUGCAACAUUUCCUCUGAGAAAAUUUGAGCUGUUUGAUCCACACAGUGUGACAAACUAUUGUCACGAUUUUGAUCAACAUCGUCACAAUUAAUGGCCGGAAAAUCAGAAUUCAGGAGACUUGCUAGGCUAAUCUCGUUCAUGUCAAAAUCCACUAGAAAAUCCGAGGACGAAUUUUCUUCAUCAGCGAUAUUAGAGAAGGAGGACAAUGACGAUGACCCAUUGUUCGUGUGGUCAUCCCCUGCAUGCCUAUCAAACAUCAAUCCUCCUCUGUUGUCUUCUUCACAAUGUUGGUGGCCAAGUGGGAGUUUGUGAGGGUCUGGGUUGAUGAAAACUUUGGUGCACUUAGCAGCUUUGGUUCUGACCACUGGGGACAUCUUGGAUGGUGAUGGUGAGGUCAUGUUGGGAGACAUGUCCUCCAUAGUCUUGGCCUUUUUGGAAACUGGUUCACCAUUUUUGUUGUGGUGCUUGAGAUUUGAAGCAGAGCCUUGCCGCUGUUGGUCUUGGAUUUUUUUGCCUAAAUUGGUGUUCCAGUAGUUUUUUAUUUCAUUGUCUGUUCGCCCUGGAAGCCUACCAGCUAUUAGAGACCAUCUGGAAAAAAAAUAAAAAUAAAAAUUUUCAAAAUCAAUAUCAAAAUCCCAAUUGAUCAUGAUGAACUUUUUUCUUUUCUUUUCCAAUUACUAUAAUUUCAUAAUUAAUAUAUUAUUUAAAGCAAUGAAAUGGCACAAAUUACCUGUUCCCCAAAAGCUUGUGAAGCCUGAUGAUAAGCUCUUCUUCAUCUGGUGAUAUGUUGCCUCUCUUAAUGUCUGGCCUCAGAUAAUUCAACCACCUAAGCCUGCAGCUCUUCCCACAUCUUUUCAGACCUGCAUAAAUUAAGCACCAAUUAAUCAGAACCAUUGAUUUGAUUUUCAAGCACAAUUCAGAAAACCCACAUAAUCAGAUACAAUGAGCUAAGCAGUGCACAUUUCUUUUCUCUUUUUUUUCACCUGCUUUUUUGGGGAGGUUUCUCCAUCUGCCUUCACCAUGGAGUUUGAUGUAUUCACUGAGAACUUUGUCUUCAUGGGCAGUCCAAGCACCUUUGUUCAAGCCCUCCUUUGCACAACAAGCGCUUCUCCCCAUUGUUUUGGUGCCUGCCUUCUCUGCUCACACCCAAAACUCUCCUUUUCACUAUAGAAACUGUUUCUUCACUGCCUCUGGUUUUUUUUUUUUUCCUCCCAGUCGUGUGCUUGUUCGAUUUGGUCUCCUGUGUGCUUGGAAUAAGAUACUUAUAGCUGCACAUUUUCCCCACGUUAUUAUUUUAUUUUAUUUUAUAUUAUGGUCCCUUUUUUUUUUAGUUUGCCCAGUGGUCCUGGUUUUACCUAGCUAAUCAAUGGUGACAAUAAAUAAAUCCUUUUUUUUUGCAAUAUUUGCUUUCGCAUAUGGUUGUACAAUUACUAGUUGGUAUUGUACAACUAUAUGCGAAAGCAAAUAUUGCAAAAAAAAGGAUUUAUUUAUUUGAUGUGCAGCUCUUUUAUCACUCAUCACUUAAAAAUGUAAGAAUUAAUUAGAAAUUAAGCACUUUUUAUCCCAAAAAUAAACAAAGGAACCCAACAUUAUUAUACUGCCUUCAUUAGCAGAGUUGGUGGAUUAUUUGGUGUUGUGUGAAGAUUUUGUGAUGAAGAAAUCUGGACAGAAGAAUCUUCCAUACCAUUACCAUGUAUAUUAUAUAAAUUUAUAAAUGACUAGUUAAACAAAAAUAUUAUGUUGUAAACCGUUAGAUGAAAACAUACAAAUGCUAAACACGACGUAUAUAUAUAAUGCAGAAAGGUUACUGACACAAUAAUAUUAUAUAAUUUUCUGGUCCAAUUUGACUUUGCUUUGCUUCUUUUACUCUCAAACUAACAUUCCAAGACACCCUUGAAAGUUUGUUAGGGCUGCCACCUCCCUGUCCUCUCUCUCUCUCUCUCUCUCUCUCUCUCUCUCCUUCUCGAGUAUGUACUAUGGCCUGCAUGAGGUAGAGGUUCAGCAUCUAGUUUCAAUCGUCCCUGUCUCCAUCACGCAAAUCAAUUGCAGUUUCUAUUUCUUUUAAUUAUUUAACCAAACCCAUUACUUGGUCCUCUGAUUGAAUUGAUGAUAAACGAUCAAACUAAGGCCACAAAAUAACGUAUAGGAAAAACGAGUAGAGUAUUAUUAGUUGGUUGAGUUGUGUGGUACUCUUUUUCUUUCUCGUAAGAAAGGCAAAGUUUUAACGAUGCCACUCUAAGAGCACCUCGGUUUCUAAUUGAAGUUCUUCUACUCCAUCAAAAAAAAUAUUGAUGAUAAAUGAUAAAACACAAAAAGAGUAACCACAGCAAGAUUAGCCUUAAUUUGAUUAUCAAUUAUAAUCACUCGUAUAGUCUUUUCAUAAAGUACGUCCGCACACGAGAAUUAUUGGUGUCAUUGAAGUUGAUGUGUCCUUGCUUCCACACACUAUAACAUAUGUCAGUGUUGAUUAGUUGUUCGUUCGUUGUACAUGUUUCAUGCAGCACAGCUCCACAGAGCACUAGUUUAUAGACAAAAUAACGAAAAAACCAAGAAAGACUUGGCUAUCGAUCCAUUUUUCUUUGUCAUACAUUCUAGAUCAAAAUUUGGACUAAUUUUCAGUUAUAUAUAUAGAGAGAGAGCGUUUCAAUUGAGAGAUUUCUCAAAUAAAUUUGAAGAACACUCUUGUAAAACUCGUUCUAUAUUUUAUUUCAUUAAUUCAAAUGUCUAUUUUAUAUUAUAGCACUUUUGAUUGCAUGCAAGUAUACAUAUUGUUGCGGCCAAAUCUGGACCUUGAGACUGAUGUGAGUUUAGGUUUAGAAUAUUGGUACUUUGUUUUGUAGAAGAAAUUCGUUUAGGUUGACCCAUAAAACGAAAAAACCAGAAAAGAUAAAUCUAUGGUGAGAGCUAUUUAUGUGAAUUUGUCAAGGGGUUGUUGGCAUUGGAGUAAUAAAUUAGGUAGUUGGUAUUGCAUUAUAAAACUAUGAAAUUCUUAGAGCAUUGACUUUAACUUUCACCUUGCACAUGAGAAAUAACUUCAAGCAUUUUGUUUCCUUCAGAAAAGGUAAACUUUGGUAUCUAAAUCCAAUAAUUGAGAAACCACACCCAACUUUCAACUCCUCUUGAUAGUAAAUUAGUAAUGGCCCCAUCACUUUCUUCUCUAGAAAUGUCAACAUGCAAAACAUACUGUCAACAUAUGCUGUUUUUGGGGAGGGCUAUGAUAUGUUCACCAUACUCAAAAUAGGUCUCCAUGAUAUAAGAAAUGUUCAAAAUGAAAAUGACAAGAAUUACAUAUACUUAUAAUAUAGUACCCUCCAUAAUAGAGACGGGUAUGAAAUUAAGAAAAAGAGGAUGCACAACUUUCCUUGUUUCGUUUAGACGGGUAUGAAAUUAAGAGGGGACGAAAAAGGUUUUAGUUAAUGAAACGUAUUCUAGAUGUUGUAAAGAAUAACUCACAACACAUAAAUUUCACUUUUUUGUUGGAUCUUUCCAACUUUUAGAGAGAAUUAACGAAUAAAAAGUCAAUCAAAGAAAAAGUGAGGUGCACAAUUUUCUUCUCCUUCUCUCAAAAUACUCCCUCGAAGUCGAAGUUCAAUUAAAAGUGGGUUCAAUUCAAGCAUCUUCAAACAACAAGUCUAAGAAGACUCCAAUUAAUUGAAGCUAGGAACGUCACAAGGAAACUUUUUGAUGAGUAGUGGUUAAGCCCAAUAUAAACAGGAUUCAUGAUUGUGGCUUUAUUUCUAUUCUUUAUUCUUGAAAUAUUAUUGUUUUCAAAAGUAACUAUAUAUAUAUAUAUAUAUAUGUGUGUGUGAUGUUGAAAAAUAUAAGUCUUGGAUGAUUGAUUAAAUAAAAUUCAACUUAUAAUAAGUGAUUUCACUUCUAAUAUCACUGAGACCUUUUGUGAUAAAAUCUCACACCUAUUGGAGCUUUAUAGGUGGUUAAGUUGGAUAAUAUCAGUGUUGCUAUAGUAAUGGACCGAUAACCUCUCUCUUUGAAAUUUAACAUACAAUUUAUUGAAAACGAUGAAAUUAUAGAAACUAAUAUAGGAAGAUGUAAUUGUGUUGCAAAUAUAUCUUAAUAAGAAAUACUCUUAUUUGCAUGUGUGGGUUAAAGCAGUUGAGUAUGAGACAUUGAGUCCGGCUUCCUUACAACAAAAUUCGAAUCCCCUUUCUAUUUUCACUUAAGUUCAAAUAUUUAUUCCCAUAAAUUAGAUUAAAGUGUAGUUUAGAUUAUGCAUUGUUUUCAAAAAAAAUGCUUACUGUUCUUAACGAUUGCCAUGCUCCAUGUGGUUGGUAUAUGUCGAAGUCGUAUACAGACACUGAGUGAGUGACACGGUACUGGUGGAUUAUUAAUUGCAAAUUUGAAUAUCAUCAGAUUGAUAAUUUUAUUAAAUGGUUUGUGGUUGUAAAAGAAUAGCAGGAAAAGAAAUGGAGGAUUAUUAUUUAUUGCACUAUAAAUACGAAAGAGAUGGCAACACAAAAUUCCAAUUUUGGAAAUUCAGGAAAUUAGACAAAAGUCAUUAAUUGAUGGUCAUGUGUCCCUUAACGAGGUGUAUCAGCUCAAUUUCGGAUCAAACAAAAUCAAAUCAGUCCUCGACAAAUAGAUGCCUAGCUAUUAGCGAUGGGACAGUACAUAUUUGAUUUUUUAAAUUGAAGAUGUUAAUUAAUACAAAAAAAAUGUGGUUCCGAGUCAAACUUAAAACAAAAAUUUUAAAAAUAAAGAUCCCAAUGUGCAAGCUCGUCGCUCCGAUAAAAACUUGGAUGCAACGGGAUGUAUAUUUCUGUGUGUUCGAUCGUUUUCUUUAUGUUUGCUGUUUUUUUCACAGUAAGAUAUACACGAAUUAUAAGAGAGAGAUUUUACACAUUCUAUUUCAUAAACAGUAAAAAUUUACGACUCUAAAAAAAAGUACGAAUAAUAAUUAUUUUAGAGUGACAGUAACAUCUUGCUUCCAUUAUUGUAUUUUUGGUGAAAAACAACAUUAUUAGUUGUUUGUGAAAUUUAGUUGGUGUGUAUUAGAGUUUGAAUAUCAGAUAGGUUUAGUGAUAUGGUUUACACAAAUCACCAAUCAGAUUAAACCCAAAAGUUCCUUUGCUUUGCUACAUGCCAAAUGACAUGUGUAUCAUCCCGGAGCUCUCGUUUUCAAACCAAUGAAAGAGCAAUGAUGUGCAAAGCUGCUGAUUUUCAGCAAUAAUUCUGGGUCCACUUCAGUUUUGAUAUGCCUACUGUCAAUGCUAAAUGAUGCAUAAUAUGUAUGUAGUCAAUUGGCAAGCAUGCUAAAUUCACAGUAGAUUUGAUAUUCUUGGCUUCAUAAUUUCUUGGUUUCAUAUCUCUAAAUUAACAAUUGUAUUGCGGAAGUCCUUGUACUUAUUAAAAGUCGAGAACCAUAAUUAUUGGGACCACUCCGAUUUUGUAAUCUAUCAACUGUGCCAUUUAAAUUAAAUGGUUCUUGGAAUUUUCUCUUAGGUUUGUUCUUAUUUUGGAAGUACACACAACCAACUAUUCCAUUGGUACUUGUUUUGGUUGGAGGAGGCCUUGUUGGAGUUGCCUCGCUUAAGGAUGCAAAGGAUGGUGGAAGAGCUUCUCUCAGCAAGAAAGCGAUCGAUCGCUUUUGCCAGGUGAUUUUGAGCUCGGCGUGUUUUUUGGUUCCAGCAUGAGUUUUGGGUAAGUUCUUGGUCUAGUUUGAAUAGGAUUGUAUUUUCUUUUCCAUGUAACUUUGUACUAUAGUCCUAUGAUCUAUAAAUAGGCAUUUUAGCACUAUAAUUUUCACUAACGAGUGCAAGAGAGAAAACAAGGCAUCAAAUUGGGUUUGAACCAAGGUGAGAGAAAAGAGAGAUAGGGUUUGUGAGAGAUCAAAAGGGUUCUUCAUUGUAACCAAAGAGAUUCUUCUACACUAGUGAAUUGUUCGGGGAUCACUAAAGAAGACAUAGGCACAACGAUGAGUUUGAUAUUUAGUUAAUGAUGGUAUAGCCUUAUUGUAGAUGUAUGGCCAAUUGUAAACUGUAUGAACACGAGAUACUCCUAACUAAAUAUUGUAGCUAACUUUAACGAUCAAAACCACUUGUAUUAAGUUAUAAACAUCAAACUUUCAACGAUAGGAUCAGUUGGUAAUGAAUCUGAAGCUUAUCAUACGAUCCAUGCACAUGAAGCAUUGAGGAAAGUUAAAAACGCAAGUGUCUCUUUACACAAAUUGCUUUUGCAAGUUUAAUUAAGCUUUGGUCGGCCUGAUUGGCUCCAAUUUAUCCAAAAAUAUAACUAUUAUCAUUAAAAUCAGUGCCUCACUGGCACACUCAAAUAUAAAUCUGGACAAAGAUUACAUUUUAUCAUCGAAAUUCGAAAAGCAUGCAUCUAAUAUGUUGUUUAUUGUAUUACAACCUGCAUCGCAUGUGAGAUAUAUAUUUUAUCCAAAUUACUUUGCAGCUGUAGAAGUUAUUGAGCUAAGAAGAUCAAGCUUAAUUAAAUUAUAAAUUUCAAGUGGACCGAUCCAUUUUGAUUUAUUAUAUUAACACGUGAUUUUUUUUAUAAGGUCUUUAUGGGAAAAAAUAUAUAUAUUUUGGUUGGGUAAAUAAAAGCAUGUGGGAUGGUGGAAGUAAAUAAUUGUGGGCUCAUUGGAUCAAUCAUACAAAUUACUGACAGCCACUAGCUGGGAGGAUGACAAGGUUUCAGAGCUGCUGAUUCAAUCUCGCCAUGCAUCGCCCAUCUCGAAUAUUAAAUUUAAAUAUAAUUCAGACAGAAAAAAAUAGCACUAAUUAUAAUAAAUAAAAAAGAAAACUCCCUCAACCUACAUUCUCAUGGUAUUGAAAGUCGGAUGGCUUUAGCUUUCUCUGGACCACGUUUGUUUAAGAAAUUUCCAGUGUCUUGACUUUACGUACAUCAUCAUCACCAGUUUGGAAGCUACCUUCCCACAUCUAUGGGAUUGGGAUUGAUAUUGUCCUUUUCCAUGGAAAAACAAAACAAAAACAAAAAAGUAACGGAAGUUUUUUUGCUGAAUUUUCGUGCGUACAUAUACAUAUGCGUGUACAAAUUAUUUGUAUAUAUGCGAAGAAAAAUUAUACACAUAAAUUUAUUUGUUUGUUUGUUUGUUUGUAUGCGACAUUAUAAAUUCUAUUUUAUAGUAAAAAUGCUUAGAAACAUCGUUUCGAAGAAAAAUGAAAAACUCGUGGAUCCACAUUUGAAGGCAUAGUAAAGUAGACGACAAUAAUCUUUCAUACUUUUUGCCGAUACUUUUAACCUCUAAAAUUUCACGUUCACACUUGAAACUCACUGUAUAUAAUAUGCACAACACACAUCAAGAAUCUUUGAAAAACUUGCCUUCAAUACAUACUGAAGUUGGUCAUAGCAAAACAUACGUACGUCUCCAAAUGAUUGACAACAAUGUUCAACUACAAACUAACAAAUUUCAUCUCAGUAAUGGAAUGUUUUUAUUCAGUACAACAGAUUUGGAAAGUUUUGCAAAGUGCAAAGCUAGAGGAGCUAGCUUGAUUUUAACUAAUGAUCCACUGAUCAUUAUCUACUGAAUUCAGAAAAGACGAAAGUGCAUUGAAGCCGUCCACAUCUCCAUGAUCAUCAUCAUUUGGUUGAAGUGGGUCAUCUUGAUCCUCAUCACCAGCUCUCCAUUCUCCCAACCUUGCUUCACCCAUCAAUAAAUCUUCAAUCUUGGUAAUUCCACACUCCAACAUGUCCUGAUCACAGUCGUUGAUUUGUGCUUGUUGGAAAUCAGAACUCAGCACAUCCGGUAUGAGCAUGUCAUUGAUAUCAAAAUCCCUCAGAAAACCAAACGAAGAAUCAUGCUCCUGAGCCGCUGAAGAACACGGGCUUUCGCUGUCGGAAACAGGAGCCACGUUCGAUCUUUCAAGCAUUUGAUCAUGGCCAUCCAAAUGUGAGGGGAUGGCAACCUUCCUGCACUUAAAUGCUUUCGUACGGAUCACCUGGACAGAAGACUUUGAUGCCGGAUUAUUCGAUUUUUUCGUGUCGUCUUUCGAACUAGUGCUAGAACUCCGUUGAUCCUGAUGAGCCUUGUCACUUCCUUGCUCUGACCUCUUGCUCAAAUUGGUGUUCCAGUAGUUCUUGAUUUCAUUGUCUGUUCGUCCCGGCAACCUUCCAGCAAUGAGUGACCACCUAAUUCAAAUUAGACCAAAUUAGAGACACCAAUUUCGUCAUAAUAACUUGAUACCAAGAAGAGAUGUCAAUCUUCCAUAUAUACAUACCUGUUUCCAAGAAGCUUAUGAAGUCUAACAAUGAGCUCCUCUUCUUCAGGGGAAAUGUUGCCUCUCUUAAUAUCAGGCCUAAGAUAAUUCAGCCAACGCAAUCUGCAACUCUUCCCACAGCGGUUUAACCCUGCAGAAAAAAACAGUAGUGUUUAGUUAUGAGUACAUUGUCCCAAAUUGUAGAAGGAAAAAACAUGAAAAUUGUCACAUAUAUAUAUAUAUAAUUGUUAAUUUAAAUAAUGAACCGUACGUACCCGCUCUUGGUGGAAGGUCCCUCCAUUUUCCUUCUCCGUGAGUGUUAAUGUAGUUAGCAAGGGCUUUAUCUUCCCAAGCAGACCAUGCUCCCUUGUUCAGCCCUUCUUUAUCACAGCAUGGUUUUCUCCCCAUCUGUCUCUCUCUCUGUUUGAGUUCAAGCACAGAAUCUAGAUUGGAGUGUUAAAAGCUCCGCUCCACAUGGUGAUCUGGACAUAUUUAUACAUGUGUGCAUGUGAAUGGCUGAUGGGGGUCAAAAGCUUAGCUCCCACUUUUGAAGGCCAAUCAAUUAAUGCUGGAGAAAUUCACCUUAACAUUUUAAAUCACCAUAGUACAAUAAUAAAUGAAUGUGUAUGUAUUCGGAGUGAAGCUAACAUGGUGGCCGAUGCUCUUACAAAUUUAUGACAUAAUUUUAUUCAACUUGUGCUUCGUUUCUUAAUAUGUGCAAACAUCCGUUCAGAAAUAUUGGGAUCCCUAGAUAGGGAUCCUAGUUUGUAAUUUUUUUUAAGUUGCACCGGAGAUGAGCAGGGUUAAGCGAUCUGCCGAAACCGAGAGAUGUAAAAAUACACCAAUACCAUAGAAGAGCAUUCUAUUUUAAAAAUAUUCUGUUAUCAAACUUAGAUUGAAAAAUGAAUAUUUAUGCCAUUAAACUGGGAUAUAAACAUCUUACAUAUAUUAUCGAACAGUCUAACAAACGAAAACAUUUCCCUGCAAAAACCAAUUGGGUGUAUGACAUUAUUCGAAAAUUACAGGUUUGGGUGGAAUAUGUAUCGAGGCAUCAUGUGUGGAAUAUUUACCAGUUCCAGUGCCGUAAAUUAUGAGCAGAAUCUGAAAGUUUGGUGUUAUCUUCCCAGACUUCACUGCCCAAUAGCAUAAUUCAACCCACGUUUCACCCACUACAUGUACUCGGGACAUGGGAAGAGCCAUGAAUCACGUGGCCUUCAAAAUAUUAACUUUAACCACCUUUUCUUAUUUUUCUUUUACUUUUGAUCCAGGGUUUUUGUUUGUGAGUGUAAUUUCGUUCGUAGCUGUGGAUGCAAUAAGAAUCCAAGGGGACCACGACGCAUGAUGUACUUCAGUCCAGUCUUGUUCUUCUUGUUCUUCUUCUUCGUCUUCUUCUUAACUUAACCUAACAGUAAUAGUUUUGAACGUCAUAGUCCCUGAAAACUGAUCAACAGACACCCUGAAAAUAAGAAACAAAUGGUUGCUUUCAUCCAGGAGUACAUGUCAAUUUCAAAAAAUGACGAGACGAGGAGGUCUUUUAAUGAAAAUUCCUUGAUUUAAGGCAUUGGUACUCUUAAAUUUUGAAUUUGACUUUUGAACAUUUAUAGCUAAAAGAAAAAUUAAUAACUCAUAUACAUCAAAUAAAUCUAUUUGAAUCUUGAUAGGAAGUUACAUAAACCCCCGCUGCCUAGGUACUGGCAAAAAGAAGGAGGAGAACCACCACCGUUGAGACCUUUGUGUUGAAGGAAUAAAUAUUUGAAUAAUUGGGUGGUGUAGAGUUUAAUAAUUUUUUUCUUUUUUUUGUGGUGUGGGAGAUUUGAAUAAAAGUUAUUUUAUGAGUUUUUUUCUCGCUCAUCAGAUUUAGGAGCUCCUAGAAAUCUCUCUAUUUUAAGAGUGCUUAUUAGGACUUGGUCUAACAUAAUCACGUGGCCUUGAAAUUAUUAACUUUAACCAACCCAAGAUUAUUGUGACGUGUAUAAAAUUUUGCACAUUUUGGUUCUUUUUAUAUGAAUGCAUUAGUCCACCAAGCCACAACGAGAAUUAAUUCCACCACAAAUUGCAAAGGGACCACGACGCACGAUACUCCUCCUACCUCUUAUCACCAAGGCACCCUCAAAACUGAUCAGCUCAUGCACCAUGUUCUCCGGAAACCCAGAAUGCCAUGACAGCAACCCCAAGGAUCCAAGACACCAGCUUAUGACAGCUCACGUUGGAUAUUAUGAACCACAAAAUUAAUAAUUUGUACUCUUUCUAAAAGACAGCAAAUUCCCCUUCUCGUUCUAAUUUCUAAUAGAACUUCCAACAAAAACUAGUUUGGUUGCCUCUCGUAGUUGUUCCUUGAAUUUCUCCAGACGUACAUGUCAUCAAUUGAUGUUAUUUUUUCCAAGGCAAAAUGGCGAAACCAAAUUCAACCCAAAAACCAAAGCUUAAAUGAUUAUAAGAAAGAAACAGAAAUUCCAUCGAACCUGAUUGAUUUUGUCUUGGUGGGAGUACUGAAUUAUUCCCAAAGUCCUUGUGAGCUGACAUAUCUCCAUGCCUACUAUUUUUUAUGCAUCAUAUUUCUUAGAUUUUUACAUUUGUAAAUACCCAUGAAAAUAAAUGAAAGAAAAACAAGAGAGAUUCCAUGAGAUUUCGUAUGGUGUGUGUAAAGAGCUAGAAUAUGUACAAAUACAAUGAUAGGCAAUGACAGCUGUGAGAAUAGCAAUAUUGAACAGAGUUUAACAGAGAAAAGCAGAGAUCUUAGAAGAAGAAUUGAUGUAUUCAUACUUGAUUAUUCAACACAGUACAGUAAUCGGUUUUAUACUAGCUUGACAAAGCUUUGUGUACACGUUUCUAACCUCUUAGCCUUUCUAACUACUUUAACAGAACUCUAAAACUGCCUAACAGUCUUAACAAUAUUUCAACAACUCUCUUCUUCAAUCUUCUGACAUGUGGCAGAAUUAGGACCUUUGAUAUCUUUACAUGCCCCCUCAAUCUCAUGCUUGGAGGAGCCAAGCAUGAGAUUGGAACAAUGAUGCUGGAAUAAAGGGAUAGACAGCCCCUUAGUGAGAAUGUCAGCAAAUUGUUCUGCAGAAGAGACAUGUUGCACAAGUAAAUCACCCCGAAUGACUCGUUCUCGAACAAAAUGAUAAUCAAUCUGUAGAUGUUUCAUUCGGGAAUGAAACACUGGGUUGGAAGAGAGAGCAAUAGCAGAGAUAUUGUCACAAUGAAUUAAAGGAGGAACAUGUAAUGGAACGUGCAGAUCACAGAACAACUGUCUGAUCCAUGCAAGUUCAGCAGCCGUAAUCGCCAAAGCCCUAUACUCUGCCUCAGUGGACGAACGAGAGACAGUAUGUUGCUUCUUAGAAGCCCAAGAAAUAGGACUAGAGCCUAAGUAAACAAUAAAUCCCGAAACAGAUCUGCGGUCAUUAGGAUCCCCAGCCCAGUCAGCAUCACUAUAAGCGUGCAGAUGAAGAAGACCAGGCUUAAACCAAAUGCCAAAAUCAAUGGUUCCUUUCAAAUACCUCAGGAUUCUCUUAACUGCCACAACAUGAGAUUCCAUAGGAUUAUGCAUAAAUUGACAAGCUUGAUUCACUGAGAAGGCAAUAUCUGGCCUUGUGAAAGUGAGGUACUGCAAAGCACCAACAAUGCUUCUAUACUGCUCUGGAUGAGAAUAAGGUUUGCCAUCAUCUUUCAAGAGUCUGUGAUAAGGAAGACAAGGAGUAGGACACGGUUUUGAAUCCUGCAAAUCAACCUUGCCAAGCAGUUCCUUGAUAUACUUAGUUUGAGACACAAACAAGCCAGCAGACUGAUAUGAAAUUUGGAGCCCCAGAAAAUAAGUCAAUUGGCCUAAAUCCUUCAUAUCAAACUCCUGAGUUAAAGCACUAAUUACAGAUGCAAUAAGAGAUGAAUUACUGCCAGUAAGAAUGAUAUCAUCAACAUAGAGAAGCAAAACCACAGUACCAAGUGACGAAUGGUGAAGAAAGAGAGAUGGAUCCGCAGUUGAAGCUUGAAAACCCAAGCUUGGUAAGAAGCUAGUAAAUCUUUCAUUCCAGGCACGAGGAGCCUGUUUUAAACCAUACAAGGACUUCUUGAGUCUGCAAACAAAAUCAGAAGAAUAAAGCUUACUCUCAAAGCCUUGAGGUUGUGUCAUAUAAACCUCCUCUUGAAGAACACCAUGCAAGAACGCAUUUUUAACAUCAAGUUGCCGUAAGGACCACUGAAACUGAGCGGCCAGAGCCAGAACUAAUCGAACAGUGGUUGGUUUAACUACCGGACUGAAGGUUUCAUAAUAAUCAAUACCCUCCUCUUGACUAAAUCCCUUAGCAACCAAGCGAGCCUUAUGCCUAGCAAUAGAACCAUCUGCAUUCUUCUUGAUCCUAUAAACCCAUUUACAGCCAACAAGAUUCUUAUGAGCUGGGAGAGGAACCAAAUCCCAAGUACCUUGAGCAUGAAGAGCCUCAAUUUCCUCCCGCAUGGCAGAUUGCCAUUCCGGUGAUUGAGAAGCAGCCUUGAAAGAACUAGGCUCAAUUGUAGAGAAAUCAGUAGAAGUAGAAGCAGAAAAAGCCUUCCUCUUGGAGAUGCCAUUUUUAGACCGUGUUGUCAUAGGAUGCAGAUUUAUAGAUGGUAGAGGCAAGACAACACGAAGACUUUCAGGCUGAAAAUCAGGAUCCACAGGGAGAGGAGACUGUGUAGCUGAAUGUGUAGCAGAAGGGGAAGUAGUCAAAGGUUCAUUGGCUUCAAAGGUGGAAGGAGAAGGUGAGGCAAUGGAAAGAGAAGAGAGAGGUGAUAAGACAGUAUUAGUGAAUGAAAUGGAUGGAGGAGGAGAAGAGGAAGGGAGAUACGGAGAUGAAGAGAUACUUACUGGAUGGACAGAUGUGAAUGGAAACAUAGUUUCAUCAAAUAGGACAUGUCUAGUGACAAAUAGUCUAUUGGUAAGGAGAGAAAAACAAAUAUAGCCUUUAUAUUGUCCUGCAUAGCCUAGAAAGACACAAGUAGAAGUUUUUGGCUGAAGUUUGUUUGUAUUAUAAGGCUUGAGCAAAGGAAAGCAAGCACAGCCAAAUACCUUUAGAUGAGUAAUGGCUGGGGCAGAUCCAAACAAUAAGAAAUAAGGAGAUUUUAAAUGAAGAGUUUUACAAGGCAUCCUAUUGAUCAAGUAGACUGAAGUAGCACAAGCAUGAAACCAAAAUUUUGGUGGUAAAUGAGCAGUUUGCAAUAAAGUGAUAGCAGUCUCUAAGAUGUGUCGGUGUUUUCUCUCAGCUAAGCCAUUUUGUUCAGGUGUAUAGGGACAUGAUUUAUGAUGAAUGAUACCUCUAGCAAGAAGAAAAUGUUGAAAUUUAUGACUAAGAUACUCACCACCUCCAUCACUUUGAAAAACCUUAAGAGAAGCAGAGAACUGAGUGACUAAGUAAGCAUGAAAAUGAACAAAAAUAGAGUAAACUUCUGCUUUAUUGAUCAUUGGAAAGAGCCAAGUAAAUCGAGUACACUCAUCUACAAAGCUAACAUAAUAUUUGAACCCCUCAACAGAUAUUGUUGGAGAAGGACCCCACACAUCACUAUGAAUCACCUCUAAAGGUUUGACAGAUUUUACUGCUGGAUAAUGAAAAGGAAGUUUAGCUAGUUUGCCUUCUAAACAAUGAUGACAGAUAGAUUGGACUUUGUCUGAAGAAAAAGGAACCUGUGUUUGAUGUAAAAGAGCAGUAGUAAUGAUAUUGGAGGGAUGACCAAAUCGCUUGUGCCACAGACUAGUGUUUACUGGAUGUCCAAGAAAGCAGAAAUGUUGUUUGAGGAGAGAAGCAGCUGGAGUAGGAUGAGGCUGUGAAGGAAAGAAAGGAAUUGAAUAUAGGCCAGCUCUACACAGCCCCUUGAGAAGAACACUCCCCGUGAGUUUGUCCUGAAUCCAAAAGCCAAAUGCAUCACAUAUAAAUCUGCAGUUAUUAUCUUUACAUAACCGAUGCACAGAAAGCAAAUGCUGAGAUAUCUUUGGCACAUGCAAAACUUUCGAUAAUUGGAAAGAACACUGAGGAGUAUUCAAAGAAGAAGAGCCAACACUAGAAAUACUCAAACCUGAACCCCCCGCAGUGGUGAUAGUCUCAUUUCCUAAGAAAGGGGUAGCAAGACUGAGUUGAGACAAAUCAGACGUCAUAUGGGCUGUUGCUCCAGUAUCAGCUACCCAAAAUUGCUCAGCUGAUGAGGAAGGAGAACAGUCGGCAUGCAUUGCAGUAAGAUUGGAUGAAGGAGGUUUGCCUUGAUAGGAAAAAUUGCCUCUGUGGUAACACUGAAUAGCGGUGUGGCCAUACUUCCAGCAAAUUUGGCAUUGAACAGAGGAACUAGGACUUGUGAAUUGCUGAUGUCGCUGAUAACAAUCAGCAGCAAGAUGACCUUUCUUGUUGCAUAUUUGACAAGUUGGAAUAUCAGUACCCGAACCAAGGAUGCCAGGGCCAGAAUUAGGUGGAGCUUGAUACGGUCUUGGACUAGAAGAAAACUGAUGCCGAGGUCUGCCUCUUCCUCGAUAAAAGGAACCUCUAUUAGGGCCAGAUUGGAAACCACCAUUAUGUGAAAAAGAGCCACCAUUAGAGCUAGAGUGGACACCUCCAUUGAGACCACCAUGAACACCACCAUUGUGGCUAGAUGAAAUAGAAGAUGGGACAGACGGGGAAGUGUCAGCAAGAACAAGAGAUGUUCCUUGGAAUGAUUGAUUGUUCGCCAUCAUUGCAGAGGCAAAAGGAGUGGCAGAGCAAGUAUGUUCAAGAAUGGCCUCUUCAGCAAGCAACUGAGAUCUAAAAUCUUUAAGAGAGAGCACAUUUUCCCUGCCUCGAACCAUACACCGAAAUGUAUUAUAUUCUGGGGGAAGACCAUUAAGAGCCAAGAUGACAAUAUCAUCAUCAUCAAAAGAAACCCCAGCAGCAGCAAGAUGAUCUCUAGCAUCCUUUAUCUUGUGCAAGUAUUGAGAGACUGGGUCAGCACCCUUCUUGAUAUUCUGAAGCUCACUUUUCAUCUGAAAAAUCCUAGCUUUGGUAACCAUAGAAAAUCUGUCCUUCAACUGAACCCACAUAUCAUGAGAACUAGUACACCCAAUGACAUAUGAGAUUGCAGCAGAAGAAAGGGUGGCAAUUAGCAAUUGCAUCAAGGCACGAUCAUGCAUCUUCCACACUGCAUAAGCAUCAGUUUCCACACCUUCAACAGCAGAAUCUUCAUCAAAACGAGGAGGACACAGCCGUGAACCAUCAACAAACCCCAAUAAGCCAUGACCUUCAAGAAGAAGCUGCAUCUGAAAAUUCCAAGUGAGAUAAUUUGCAUCAUCAAGCUUAACUGUCACAGAAGUAGAGACAGUGGGAAUUAAGGUAGUAAUCGGAGAUUGAACAAUUUGAAGUUGAGUAGCAGUCACCAUGAUGAGUAUUCAGGAAGAUAAUAGGUUUGAGAAGAAAAGAAAUGGGCAAUAGAACAAGCAGAAGUUUCUGUGAGGUAAAAGAACAAACAGGUGGUAGGCAGAGCAAAGACUACGAAAGGGAAUAGUGGGGUUGAAGAGGGAAAGAAGCUCGAUGAAUGAACAAAGAAGAAGAGAAGAGAGGAUAGAGACAGAAGAACAGAAAUUGCAGCAAAGAAAAGGAAUGCGGAAGCUCAGGAUCGUACUAUGGCGAUGAUACCAUGUGAGAAUAGCAAUAUUGAACAGAGUUUAACAGAGAAAAGCAGAGAUCUUAGAAGAAGAAUUGAUGUAUUCAUACUUGAUUAUUCAACACAGUACAGUAAUCGGUUUUAUACUAGCUUGACAAAGCUUUGU
rnacentral:lncRNA from 1 species